AAAAAAUUAAUUCAAGAUAAAUUCCUUAUAAAUAUUGUCAUGUAAUUGUUGAUGCUCUAAAUGUUGAUAUGCAUGAAUAUAUUAAAUAUGUACUAAAAAUAAAAAAUUAAAAUUAAUUAUAAGAAAUGUAAACUAUAAAGAAAAUUGAAGCAAAUAUAUACUAAAAUUUUCAACUUAAAAUAUAUAUUUAAAACUUAAAGUAUAUUAUUAAAGACGCAUUUUAAUAAAGAUUGAUUAAAGUAAAUAUAUUUAAAAUUCUUAAUUAAUUUAAACAAAACUCAAUUAUAAAAAAAAUUAUUAUUUUCUUUUUCAAACUCUAACAAAUUUAUGGGAAAAUUGAAUGUUCCAUAUUCUUAUCCUUAGAAUGGAAAUGCUGGGCUAUUAUGGGAAAAGAAAUAUUGACAAAUAGUCUCACAAGUAUACGACGAAAAUGAUUCUUCUCUUUAAGGACAAAAGCAAGACCUAAGAAAGUAUACCACAAAGGGUAGAGUAAAGUGAAGCAAACUCAAGGGUUUUCUUGUAAUGGGAAUGAGUGAGUGUGAGAGUAGGACAGAGGGGGAGACCAUGGAACUUCAACAUUUCAGUCAUCCACAUCCUUUGGUCUUCUUCAAAUGUCAGACUGUUGCAAGCGAAGAAGUAGACCCAGAAGCAGCUCUUUGCCUUGGGUGUGAGAAACCUGUAGAGGGCUGGAGCUAUGGUUGCAAUCAAUGUGAGUUUUAUCUUCACAAGGGAUGUGCUGAGUUAGAGUUAGCCCCCAAGAUUCAGCAUCCCUUCCACCCCAAACACCCUCUCACUCUUCUGCCAAAUUCAGAUCGUUAUAUGUCAGGAAUUUGCGAUUUGUGUGGUAAGAAAUUUGGAGGAUUUGUUUAUAAUUGUAGUGAUUGUAGUUUCGAUCUGCACAUCAAUUGUGCUUUGCUUCAAUCAUCCAUUGCUGCAAAUUUUCCUAAUUCUUUGCACCCCCAUCCUUUGUUAUUCAUUCAAAAUCAUAACAACGAAAUCGAGCCUCAUUGCUCCGGAUGUCAGAAACCAAUAUCUGGUCCAAUUUACCACUGCUCAGAUUGCACAUAUACUAUUUUUAACCUUCAUAAGGAAUGUGCUGAACUACCCCUUGAGAUUAAUCACCCCUAUGACCGUAAGCAUCCUCUUACUCUCUUGCCACAACCGCCUACUCAUCCCCAGAAAUGUAGUUGCUAUUUGUGCAGAAUCCAAUGGAAGGGGUUUGUUUAUUCCUGCUCUUUAUGCAACUUUGAUCUUUCACUUGAUGAUUUUCUUUUUUCACCACCAACAAUCACAGUUGCAAGUCAUGAACACCCGUGGAUGCUUAUAUCUAGAAAAAUGUCGUUUGUUUGUGAUUUUUGUGGCACUGACGGAGAUCACUCCCCUUAUCACUGUGAUACCUGUGUGCUUUUUGUCCACAAGAAUUGCAUUUCAUUGCCACGCCACAUCAUGAUAACACGACAUAGUCACAGGAUUUCUCUUUCCUAUUCUCUUCGACAAAUUCAAGUUGAGGAUUGGAUGUGAAAAAUUUGUUACGAGGAAGUUGAUAUAAGGUAUGGCAGUUACCGUUGUCCUGCUUCUCGUUGCCGUUAUAUUGCUCAUGUACGUUGUGCAACUGAUAGAGAAAUUUGGGGUGGAACAAUUAUGCCGGAAGGCUAUGAUGAGAGGUCUGAGGAAGUGGUGGAUGAACCUUCGAAUUUGAUUACUGAUGUUGUUGAACAAAUUCGUAUUGGAGAGCUAAUGGUAGCAAGUGAGAUCAAGCAUUCCUAUCAUGAUUAUAAUUUAAGACUCACUUUUAGUGGGAAGACCAAAGAUGAUGAUAGUGAGUGCAAUGGGUGCACCAACUCCUUUUUAUAGUUGUGAGCAAUGCAAGUUCUUUCUCCACAGAGAUUGCGCUGAAUUGCCUAAAGAAAUGCCACACCCAUUUCACAUGCAUUUGCUUACUCCCUCAAACUCACACAUUAAUGGAUAUGGUUAUUCAUGUUGCCAUGCUUGCUUUCGUGCGUAUCAAGGAUUUAGCUACAGAUGCUACAAAGGUUGCAGCUUCGAAAUUGACGCGUAAUGUAUGUUAUUAUCGGACACCUUGAAGCACGCAAGUCAUAAGCAUUCACUAUUUUUUGUCCACAACAACGAGGGAUCGAGUUGCAGUGCUUGUUUCAAAAGACAACGCUGGUGGAAUGGUGCAUAUAGAUGCAUGAGGCGCUGUGAUUUCAGUUUAGAUGUAGGUUGUGCAACACUACCACUCACUGCUUGGUACAAGUAUGACAGGCAUGCUCUUACUUUGACUUUUUCUGAUGAUUCUGAGGCUUCUCAACUUUACUGUGAUUUCUGCGAGAAAGAAAGAGAGCCAAAUAGUUGGUUUUAUUACUGUGCUGAGUGUGAUAACUCUCUUCAUCUCAAUUGUGCUAUUGGGGAUGACCCAUAUAUGAAGCUUGGGAACAAAUUGGAAGAUCCUGGGCAUAAACAUUCAUUCACUGUUGUGAAAAACAUCUGGAAUUGCCCUCCAUGUAAGGUAUGUGGUGAGGUUUGCAAUAGGCAGGCCUUAGAAUGUAAAGAAUCUGAAUGCAAUUUUACCGUCCACUGGAAUUGCCGUUGGAGACUCCUGAGAAUCAUUUGAAUGAUAUUCCACUCAAGUUUAAGAAACAGAGAAGGCACAAUAUGAGAGAUGUGUGGUGUUGUGUGGAAGGGUGUAGCAGAUUUGGUAAAAAUGGGUGAUGACCUUAGUUGUUGUAAUCUGCAUUAUGUGAUGUUUAUGGUUGUUGUUUGAGGAGUAGAAGGUCGUGUUAGAUGAAACAUGAUUUGUAACCACACAUCUGUAUCUUUCACUUUUCUAUUUGCUUCUUAUGCAUUCAACUUUUAUCUAAAAUUAGUGAUGAGAAGGAAGAAAUGGUUUUUAGGUUGUCAUAAUAAAAUAUUUUUAAUAAUAGAAGUAUGAAAAUACUAAAAUAAUGUUGAGUUUGGAAAUUUAAAUACAAAAUCAUUCUUCCCUUUAUAACUGCAUACAAAAUUGUGUGUGAUUUUUAAGCCCAAAAUAUAAGCGGAUUUGGUAUAUCUUAUUAUUUUUGCGCAAAACUGUAUAUAUGUUUUAGCUUUACAAUUUAAGUUAAUUAAGUCAACUUAAUUAAUUUUAUUUCUACUCCAUUUUCUUUAUUUUAGAUCUUUUUCUAAAAUUUGGAAUUCAGCCUUGCAAAUUUGAUUCUUACAUCAGAUUUUACUGUUCACAAUUUAGAAAAGACUAAAUUCAAUUUAGACAAAAUGUCUUUUUUUUUCGUUGCCCUCAAAAUAUUAAAAAUAAAAAAUCUUCAACUCAUGAAUAGGAGUAUAAUGUGCUUCCACGCACUUGAAUCCACAUCCUCCUGCAUUAACAACAAUACUCAUGCUAAUGAACUAAAACUCAAUCGGCUACUUUCUAAUUUUCAAAAUAUUCAAAAUUAUUUUCUUAAAUAAUUUAAUAUUAAGCUAUCAAUUUUAAAAUAUUAAUAUAUUAAACUUAAAAAACUCUAAAUGGAACUUCGAUCUCUUGAAUCUACCUAAACUCAAAUAAGAGAAAAUAAUUUUGAUACCUAAACUUUAAUUCUAUUUAUUAUUUCCAUAUAUCCUUCUAAUGGAGUUAAAAUCUUGCCUCACUUUCAAUGCAACCAAUUGUGGGACUAUUAGUUAGAAAAGUUUUAAUCAAAGUCAAGGGAUUUGAAGAUAAUUAUACCAAAAUUUAUUUUAAACCCCUAAAUGAAAAAUAGUAAGACCAACCCAAGCCCGGCACAAUUUAGCCCAUCAACGCAUCUACCCUAAACUUAAACUUUGCCCUCACGCUACCCAAUUCAAUCUAGGCUUAAUAUAAAAAUUGCCCCCUAAAUUAUAUUCAUUUUUUCAGAUAGGUAUAUAGUUUUUUUUUUCCGCAUUGGUACCCUGUUAGUUCUCCCUUAGUCAGCCAUUAGUCAACAUUGUUCAAUGUUUAAUGAUGAUGUGGCCCAAUCACUAAUGAACACGUGGCCAAAAAAGCCACAUAUAUAAACCAUCUCAUUCUUUGUAUAAAAUAAUUCCAAAAAAUAAAAAAAGUUAGAAAAAUUAAAAUUAUUUUUUUAUUUUAUAUUAAUAUUAAUUAAAAAUAAUAUUAAGAAAUAUUUUCACACCCUGUCCCUCUCCCACCGUCCCCCACCAUCCUCACCCAACCCUCUCCCUCUGCUAAUCCUUCAAUUAUAUUUUUAUAAAUAAAAAAUUCCCUCCUUUCUUUCUUCAACAUUGAUUCUUCGUCUCACAAUUCCCUUCAAAUCUAUCCACCACAUGUUUGGGAAAAUGACCCUCAAAAAAAAUAAAUUUUGAGCCUCAAAUUGGUGUUUUCCUUCAUCUAUUGGAUUGCUUUCUUAUAAUAGGAUUAUAAGUUUGUGGGUGAAGGUUUUGUAUUUGUUAGUUUGGUUUAGUGGACUCUUAAUUUUAUUUAUGGCCUUCUUCCAAUCUAGAAUUUUGUUUGUACUCUGAAACUCUAAAGUGUAAAUAGCCAAAUUAAGUAUCUUUAAUGUACCAAUUGGUUUGUGUCUUUUACAGAAAAAUAAUUUUUCUAAUUUCUUUAUUUUGCCACAUGUCUAUUGGUGAUUGAGCCACAUCAUCAUUGACCAAGGUUGAUUAACGGCUGACUAAUGAAGGACUAACGAGGUACAUAUGUAAGAAAAAAUAUAGUUUAGAUACUCAAAUUGAUCAAAAAAGUGUUUAGGUAGUUAUUUAAGCAAAUGAGUGUAUUUUAAAGGACAAUUUUAAUAUUAAGCCUUCAACCUAUAAAUAGAUUUAUUUAUAAUUAAUUUAAUUUAAUUUAAUAUGAUCUGAUUUAAAUUAAUUGUUAAACACGUUUAAUGACUUAAAUUUUAGUCACAAAUGACAAACUUCUAAAACAUGAUUUUUUAGUUCAAAUUGGUACUUUCAAGUAACUAAGUAUUAAUUUAGAUAAAAAAAUCAAAUUCAGGUAGUAAUUUAAAUCAAGAAGCAAAGUUUAGGUAUUUAAUUGGACCAAAAUACCAAAUGUAACUUUGAAGUCAUGUUCAAGUACCUAAUUAGAAAAAAAAACCUUAGGUAUCAAUUUGAACUCUGAAGCUAAGUUCAAGUACCAAAAUGUAUAUUUCCCUUACUUUUCCAAUAACCAUUGAAUGCUCUCAUUUUCAUCCACCAGAUCGGAGCAAACAUUAAUUAUUGACAGAAAAUAAUAAUUCUAGUGAUUAUGUUGAAAGUAAACCUUAAUUUUCUGUCACCGACAAUCACAGUCCUUUUUGCAUUAUUUCUCAAUUUUUAGUUCAUCAACGAUCAAGAAUACUUUUUUCUUUUUUACAGUGAUUAUGUUGAGAUUUCCUAUAAAAUUCUCUUUUUAUUUGCAAGGAAUCUACAACUCUAGUGUGAAUCAGGGACAUUGUCUUUGAUCGCAGGGUGUUCGCUGAAAUGCUUGACACAAGCAUGCAGGCGCGGGAAGCUAUCAGCUUUGAUAAACUUAAAUCCCACCGCAUCUUCCAUAGGCGCCAACAUAUGAAUAACUAUUCCUAAAACGAGGUCAGCCAUGCCAAUUCCAUUAAAAAGAGGCCUAAGCUAAGCUACCAAGCAAAGAGGAAGAAGAAGAGAUGGUUUCAGGGUGAGGCAUGUGCUCCAAAAGGGUAGCGGUGGAUGCAAGGCAUCACAUGCUGGGAAGGUUGGCUUCCAUAUUGGACAAGGAGUUGUUGAAUGGCCAAAAAGUAGUGGUGGUGAGAUGUGAAGAGAUAUGCAUGUGGGGUGGAUUGGUUAGCCAGAAGAUGAAUCUCAUGAGGUUUCUUAGGGAGCGUAUGAACACUGAUCUUGCGUACCAUUCGCGGGUGUGUUUUUCUUUUCGAGAGUCUUUUUUCCCUUUUAGUGUGUUUUCAUAGUUCUUUAUUUGGUCUGUGAAUGAAAAGGAUGGAAAUUUCUGGGUUUUUGAUGCUUGGUAAUUUAGGAAGCCUUUAUUAUAAACUUUUUGAGAGAUUUUUUUCUAUUUAUUUGAAGUUCUAUGAUUUGGAUAUUGGAAUAUAUAUUGCAAAAGAACCAAUGGAAUCUGCGUGUUUAGUUGUGUUUGAUAUCAAAAUUAAUAAUGAGAGUUUGCUAUUGAUUUUUCUUGUUAGAGAUCUGUGUGUUUUGUUAUAUUUGGUUAUUGGUAAAAUGUAGGGACGAAGUGAAAGAGAGUAGAAUGAGUGUGCUUGAGGUUAUUAUUGUUGGAUUGAGAGAAAACUAAUAGCUGAGAAAGUCUAUGAAUUUUAUGGUGCAAAGGCAAUGCUUUUGGCUUCAGCAUAUAUGAAGUGAAGUAUAUAACUGGCUUCAUUUGGACUUUCCUUAUGGUAAUUGAUAUUUGCUUUGAUUGCAGGAUGAUUCCUCGCAAAGACUAAGCACGGAGUGGCAGCUUUCGCUGGUGUGAAUUGAAGGCGUAUGAGGGGAUUCUUGCACCAUAUGAUAAGACUAAGAGAAUGGUUAUUCCUGAUGCUCUCAAGUUUUGCAGUAGUUGGUUUCUUUUGAGGAAUUUAGAAUUUCGUUUUCUUACUUGCUUCUGUGGAUAGUUAGUCAUGCUCAAUGUUUUUUAAAUUGGUGGAGAAAAUAGCAUUACCCUGGAGUAAAUAUGAAAUAUAACAUUGAACGCUUUUAUGUAGGUUAUCCAACAUUGAAUGCUUAGGACUUGGUUUGGAGCUUCAGGAACUACUGAUGAAGAAGUUUAUGAAGACAUCAAAAGAGUCAUUUCAUUGGUUUGGCAGUUCUAGGACUUGGUUGUCCUUUACUCAGAGCCAGAGCAGGUAGGUUCUGUUUUUACUUGGCUGUUUGUGAUUGAUGUUUGUUGCACCUUUUCCCCUCUCUUUUGUAACUGUAUUGUAGCUUUGGGUCAGUGGUUGGGCUAUGAAUUUAUGAAUAUCAAACUGUUGUGUCUGGUCAACAUUGCAGACUCCUCGAAUUGUCUCCUUACCGUCUGAGUCUUACAACCUACCAAGACAACACCGAACCAAACCUUCCGCAUACAGAAGAAAAACAUUCCUUGCAAUAAAAUUAAAAUUGAUACAAAAACUACAACAUCCAUAGGGAAGCAUCAAAACACUUCAAAAAGAUAACCACAAUGACACUUGCGUACACCACAGCUCAUAACACAAAUCGAAAAAGAGAUCAACUUCAAGACAUCAUCUCAUGUUAUCAAUUUGUGAGCAUCCUUUAGAAAUUAAAUAAACACCAUAAAAGAAGCAUCCAACAAAUUGGCAGCAAUGCAGUAACUGCAAACCUAUUGCCUCCGUGACUCUUUAAUUACAACCCCAAAUAUCAUAUGCCAAAACAAGGAGCAACAUCAAAAUCUUCAUAAUUAAACACUCUUGAAAGUUGCCUACACACCCUCUUUACUCAUCCUUAGGUUAAAACAUGUUCUUAUCACCCCUAAACACCACCAGUCAAAAUCAUAUCUUACUCGAGUUGAAAACACCUCCUAGUUGAAGAGAAGACAAUCGAAAUCAUCCUUAACCCACCAACCCUUAUCCAACAUCGAUCAAGAGGACACUAAACAUGAUUCCAUAAUAAGCUUGUUAAAAUCCCUCAAGAAAGGAAAGCCGGAUCAGCAGCAUUCAACAGUGUUCCUCAUCAGUUAUGGCCGUCGAUGAUGAACCUCAGCCCCCUCAGCCUUACGAGUUCACAUCCUGAUUUCGCUUGGAUUUCGUUUCGAUGAUAGUUUUUAGAGACGAUUUGUGUUCAGUCACAUUCUUUAGUUCUGGAGUUCUCUACUAAAUCAGUUACAUUCUUUCUAAUGUUCUUUCUAGGAAAAUCUUGUCAUAUACAUGCUCAACCAUUAGGGAAUUUGACUUUGUUGCCUAAUUUCUUUUUGUUGAUGUUCUCAAUUCUUUUCAUAUUUUUUUAAAAUCAUAUAUAUAUAGGUUACAACAAUGUGGCAUAGCUUUUAAAUCAUUAUUUGUCACGAUAAUAAUAUUUCGCAUGUUGAUUAUAUUUAAAAAAUUAAUUCAAGAUAAAUUCCUUAUAAAUAUUGUCAUGUAAUUGUUGAUGCUCUAAAUGUUGAUAUGCAUGAAUAUAUUAAAUAUGCACUAAAAAUGUAAAAUUAAAAUUAAUUAUAAGAAAUAUAAACUAUAAAGCAAAUUGAAGCAAAUAUAUAGUAAAAUUUUCAACUUAAAAUAUAUAUUUAAAACUUAAAGUAUAUUAUUAAAGACGCAUUUUAAUAAAGAUUGAUUAAAGUAAAUAUAUUUCAAAUUUUUAAUUAAUUUAAACAAAAUCAAUUAUAAAAAAAUUAUUAUUUUCUUUUUCAAACCCUAACAAAUUUAUGGGAAAAUUGAAUGUUCCAUAUUCGUAUCCUUAGAAAGGAAAUGCUGGGGUAUUAUGGGAAAAGAAAUAUUGACAAAUAGUCUCACAAGUCAAGGACGAAAAUGAUUCUUCUCUUUAAGGACAAAAGCAAGACCUAAGAAAGUAUACCAUAAAGCGUGGAGUAAAGUGAAGCAAACUCGAGGGUUUUCUUGUAAUGGAUGUGAGUGAGUGUGAGAGUAGGACAGAGGGGGAAACCGUGGAACUUCAACAUUUCAGUCAUCCACAUCCUUUGGUCUCCUUCAAAUAUCAGACUGUUGCACGCGAAGAAGUAGACCCAGAAGCAGCUCUUUGCCUUGGGUGUGAGAAACCUGUAGAGGGCUGGAGCUAUGGCUGCAAUCAAUGUGAGUUUUAUCUUCACAAGGGAUGUGCUGAGUUAGACUUAGCCCCCAAGAUUCAGCAUCCCUUCCACCCCGAACACCCUCUCACUCUUCUGCCAAAAUCACCUUAUUCUGGGGGCUUAACCGCGUGCAGUUUUUGUGGUAAGAAUUUUGAGGGAUUUGUUUAUAAUUGUUUUGAUUGUGAGUUCGAUCUGCACAUCAAUUGUGCUUUGCUUCAAUCAUCCAUUGCUACAAAUUUUCCUCAUUCUUUGCACCACCAUCCUUUAGACUUCAUUCAAAACCAUAACGAGGAAGUUGAGCGCGAUUGCUCCGGAUGUCAGAAACCAUUAUCUGGUCCAAUUUACCAUUGUUUAGAUUGUUCUUAUCCUACAUUCUUUACUCUUCAUAAGGAAUGCGUUGAACUACCCCUAGAAAUUAAUCACCCCUGUGACCGUAAGCAUCCCCUUACUCUUUUGCCUCAACGACCUGCACAUCCCGAGAAAUGUAGUUGCUAUUUGUGCAAAAUCCAAUGGAGCGGGUUUGUUUAUUCCUGCUCGCUUUGCAACUUUGAGCUUUCAGUUGAUUAUAUUUUUUCACCACCAACAAUCACCAAUGCAAGCCAUGAACACCCGUGGAUGCUUAUAUCCAAAAAAAUGUCAUUUAUUUGUGAUUUUUGUGGCAUUGUCGGAGAUCACUCUCCCUAUCUUUGUGCUACAUGCAACCUUGCUGUACACAAGAAUUGCAUUUCAUUGCCACGCAACAUCAGGAUAACACGACAUUGUCACGUGAUUUGUUUUUCAUAUUCUUUUCAACAAAAUCAAGUUGAAGAUUGUAUGUGCAGAAUUUGUUUCACGGAAGUUGAUACAAGUUAUGGUAGGUAUUGUUGUUCUGCUUCUGGUUGUGAUUAUAUUGCUCAUGCACAUUGUGCAACCAAUAAAUCAAUUUGGGAUGGAACAAUUAUCAAGGAAGGCUAUGAUGAGAGGCUUGGACCUUCGAAUUUGAUCACUGAUGUUAUUGAACAAAUAAGUAUUGAAGAGAUUAUGGUAGCAAGUAAGAUCAAACAUUCCUACCAUCAUCAUAAUUUAAGACUCACUUUUAGUGGUGAGAUCAAAGAUGAUAGCCAGUGUGAUGGGUGCAUGAGGCCUAUAUCAACUCCUUUUUAUAGUUGUGAGCAAUGCAAGUUCUUUCUCCACAAAGAUUGCGUUGAAUUGCCUAAAGAAAUGCCACACCCAUUUCACAAGCAUUUGCUUACUCUCUCAAACUCCCACGAUGAGAAUGGUUGUUCAUGGUGCACUACUUGCCGUCGUCUGUAUCAAGGAUUUAGGUACAGAUGCUACAAAGGAGAUUGCUACUUCGAAAUUGACAUUCAAUGUAUGUUAUUGUCGGACACCUUGAAGCACCCAAGUCAUGAGCAUUCACUCGUUCUUGUCCACAACGAGGGAACGAGCUGCAGUGCUUGUUUCAAAAAUUUACUAUCAAUGGAUGUUGCAUAUAGAUGCAUGAAGCGCUGUGAUUUUAGUUUAGAUGUAGGUUGUGCAUCACUACCACUCACUGCUUGGUACAAGUAUGACAGGCAUGCUCUUACAUUGACUUUUUCUGAUGAUUCUGAGCCUUCUCAACUUUACUGCGAUCUCUGCGAGAAAGAAAGCCAAAUUGUUGGUUUUACUACUGUGCUGAUUGUGAUAACUCUCUUCAUCUCAAUUGUGCUCUUGGGGAUCUCCCAUAUAUGAAGCUUGGGAACAAAAUCAAAGGUACAGGUCAUCGACAUCCACUCACUGUUGUGAAAAACAUCUGGAAUUGCCCUCCAUGUAAGGUAUGUGGUGAGGUUUGCAAUGGACAGGCCCUAGAAUGUAAAGAAUUUGAAUGCAACUUUACCGUCCAUUCGGUUUGCUGUUGGUUUCUCUAUGAAUCAUCUGAAUGAUAUUCCACUCAGUUUAAGAAACAGAGAAAGCACAAUACGAGAGGUGUGUUGUGUUGUGUGGAAGGGUGUAGCAGAUUUGGUAAAAAUGGGUGAUGGCCUUAGUUGUUGUAUUUUGCAUUAUGUUAUGUUUAUGAUAGUUGUUUGCGCAGUAGAAGGUUGUGAUAGAUGAAACAUGUAUCUGUAUCUUUCACUUUUUUAUUUGAUUCUUAUCCUUUCAACUUUUAUCUAAAAUUAUUGAUGAGAAGAAAAUAUUUUUAUUAUCUUUCUAUUCCUCCAUUCUUAAAAAUUGUGAGUGAAUGUUAAGACCAUGAAAUGUAUAAAUGGUUUCUUAAUUUUAUUUAUUUAUAAAUCUUAAAUUUAAAAUUUGAAGAUCGAAUUUGGUAUAUCUUAUUAUUUUUAAAAAGUGAAAAUAUAUGAAAUUUGUGAAAUAAAUUGAUCAAGAUUUUGUGAUCUUAAAUCAACCAGUCAUAAAAAAAAAUGUACGUCUGUUUUAGUUUUAGAAUUUAGAUUAAUUUUAUAUUACUUAAUCAGUAAACAUUUGUACUCCAUAUUCAAAAUAAUAUUAUUAUGCCUAAAUUCUAGAAAAUAAUUUUUUCUUUAUUUUAGAUUUUAUCCUAAAUUUUUUGAAUCUUCCACCAGAUUUUAUUGUAAUUUCAUUUUAAAGAUAAAUCAACAUUUUUCACAACUUAAAAAGGAAUAAAGUCAAUUUAAGCAAAAAAAUCCUUUUUUUUCCCUUUGCCCUCAAAAUAUCAAGAAAAACCCCCUUUCUUUUAUUUUGGAAAGAAAGAGAAACCUGUAGAGGGCUGGAGCUAUGCCUGCAAUCAAUGUCGGUUUUUUCUUCACAAGGGAUGUGCUGAGUUAGAGUUAUCCCCCAAGAUUCAGCAUCCCUUCCACCCUCUCACUCUUCUGCCAAAAUCACCUUAUUCUGGGGGCAUAACCGCGUGCAGUUUGUUUGGUAAGAAUUUUGAGGGAUUUGUUUAUAAUUGUUUUGAUUGUGAGUUCGAUCUGCACAUCACUUGUGCUUUGCUUCAAUCAUCCAUUGCUGCAAAUUUUCCUAAUUCUUUGCACCCCCAUCCUUUACACUUCAUUCAAAAUCAUAACAAGGAAGUCGAGCCUGAUUGCCCGGGGUGUCGGAAACCAAUAUCUGGUCCAUUUUACCACUGUUCAGAUUGCACUUGUCCUAAAUUGUUUUAACCUUCAUAAGGAAUGUGCUGAACUACCCCUUGAGAUUAAUCACCCCUGUGACCGUAAGCAUCCUCUUACUCUCUUGUCACAACCGCCUACUCAUCCCAAGAAAUGUAGUUGCUAUUUGUGCAGAAUCUAUGCAACUUUGAUCUUUCACUUGAUAGUUUUCUUUUUUCACCACCAAAAAUCACAGUUGCAAGUCAUGAACACGCGUGGAUGCUUGUAUCUAGAAAAAUGUGGUUUGUUUGUGAUUUUUGUGGCACUGACGGAGAUCACUCCCCCUAUUUGUACCCUAAACUUAAACUUUGCCCUCGCACUACCCAGUUCAAUCUAGGCUUAAUAUAAAAAUUGCCCCCUAAAUUAUAUUCAUUUUCUCAGAUAGGUAUCUAAACCAUUUUUUUGUCAAAUUGAGUACUUAAAGUAAUUUUUUCCCGCAUUGGUACGCUGUUGCCUGUUAGUUCUCCCUUAGUCAACCAUUAGUCAACAUUGUUCGAUGUUCAAUGAUGAUGUGGCCCAAUAAGUAAUAAGCACGUGGAAAAAAAGCCACAUAAGUAAACCAUCUCAUUCUUUGUAUAAAAAAAGCCACAUAAGUAAAUCAUCUCAUAAUUAAAAAUAAUAUUAAGAAAUAUUUUCACACCCUGUUACUCUCCCACAGUCCCCUACCAUCCUCACCCAACCCUUUCCCUCUGCUAACCCUUCAAUUAUAUUUUCAUAAAAAAAAAAAUCCUCCUUUUUUUCUUCAACAUUGAUUCUUUGUCUCACAAUUCCAUUUAAAUCCAUCCACCACAUGUUUGGGAAAAUGACCCUCAAAAAAAUAGAUUUUAAGCCUGAAAUUGGUGUUUUCCUUUUCAUGUAUUGGAUUUGCUUUCUUAUAGUAGGAUUAUAAGUUUGUGGGUGAAGGUUUUGUAUUUGUUAGUUUGGUUUAGUGGACUCUUAAUUUUAUUUAUGGCCUUCUUCCAAUUCGGAAUUUUGUUUGUACUCUGAAUCUCUAAAGUGCAAAUAACCAAAUUAAGCAUCUUUAAUGUACCAAUUGGUUUGUGUCUUUUACAGAAAAAUAAAUUUUCUAAUUUUUUUUUAUUUUGCCACAUGCCUAUUAGUGAUUGAGCCACAUCAUCAUUGACUAAGUUGAUUAAUGGUUGACUAACGAAGGACUAACGAGGUACAAACGUAAGAAAAAAUAUGGUUUAGAUACUCAAAUUGAUCAAAAAAGUGUUUAGGUAAUUAUUUAAGCAAAUGAGUAUAUUUUAAAGGACAAUUUUAAUAUUAAGCCUUCAACCUAUAAAUAGAUUUAUUUAUAAUUGAUUUAAUUUAAUAUGAUCUAAUUCAAAUUAAUUGUAAAACACAUUUAAUGACUUAAUUUUUAGUCACAAAUGAUAAACUUCUACAACAUAGUUUUUUAGUUCAAAUUGGUACUUUCAAAUAACUAAGUAUUAAUUUAGAUAAUAAAAAAUCAAAUUCGGGUAUUAAUUUAAAUCAAGAAGCUAAGUUUAGGUACUUAAUUUGACCAAAAUACCAAAUGGAACUUUGAAUUCAUGUUCAAGUACCUAAUUGGAAAAACAAAACCUUAGGUAUCAAUUUGAACUCUGAAGCUAAGUUCAAGUAUCAAAAUAUAUAUUUCCCUUACUUUUCCAAUCAAUAAUAAUUCUAGUGAUUAUGUUGAAAGUAAACCUUAAUUUUUGGUCACCGACAACCACAAUCCUUUUUGCAUUAUUUCUCAAUUUUUAGUUCAUAAACGAUCAAGAAUACCUUUUUUUUAUAGUGAUUAUGUUGUGAUUUCCUAUAAAAUUCUCUUUUUAUUUGCAAGGAAUCUACAACUCUAGUGUGAAUCAGGGACAUUGUCUUUGAUCGCAGGGUGUUCGCCGAAAUGCUUGACACAAGCAUGCCGGCGUGGGAAGCUAUCAGCUCUGAUGAACUUAAAUCCCACCGCCUCUUCCAUAGGCGCCAACAUAUGAAUAACUAUUCCUAAAACGAGGUCAGCCAUGCCAAUUCCAUUAAAAAGAGGCCUAAGCUAAGCUACCAAGCAAAGAGGAAGAAGAAAAGAUGGUUUCAGGGUGAGGCAUGGGCUCCAAAAGGGUAGCGGUGGAUGCAAGGCAUCACAUGCUGGGAAGGUUGGCUUCCAGAUUGGCAUGGUCUCAUCCAGUUUCCUGCUCCUCUAACACCCUCUGGCGUACCAUUCGUGGGUGCGUUUUUCUUUUCGAGAGUUUUUUUUCCCUUUUAGUGUGUUUUCGUAGUUCUUUAUUUGGUCUGUGAAGGAAAAGGAUGGAAAUUUCUGGGCUUUUGAUGCUUGGUAAUUUAGGAAGCCUUUAUUAUAAACUUUUUGAGAGAUUUUUUCUAUUUAUUUGAAGUUCUAUGAUUUGGAUAUUGGAAUAUAUAUUGCAAAAGAACCAAAGGAAUCUGUGUGUUUAGUUAUGUUUGAUAUCAAAAUUAAUAAUGAGAGUUUGCUAUUGAUUUUUCUUAUUAGAGAUCCGUGUGUUUGUUAUAGUUGGUUAUUGGUAAAAUGUAGGGACGAAGUGAAAGAGAGUAGAAUGAGUGUGCUUGAGGUUAUUAUUGUUGGAUUGAGAGAAAACUAAUAGCUGACAAGGUCUAUGAAUCUUAUGGUGCAAAGGCAAUGCGUUUGGCUUCAGCAUAUAUGUAGUGAAGUAUAUAACUGGGCUUCAUUUUGACUUUUCUUAUGGUAAUUGAUAGUUGUUUUGAUUGCAGGAUGAUUCCUCGCAAAGACUAAGGACGGAGUGGCAGCUUUCGCUGGUUUGAAAUUGAAGGCUAAUGAGGGGAUUCCUGCACCAUAUGAUAAGACUAAGAGAAUGGUUAUUCCUGAUGCUCUCAAGUUUUGCAGUAGUUGGUUUCUUUCGCGGAAUUUAGAAUUUGGUUUUCUUACUUGCUUCUGUGGAUAGUUAGUCAUGCUCAAUGUUUUUAUUGUUCUUUCGGUUUUUUUAAAUUAGGGUUUUGAGGUUUCAGAAAGGAGACAAAUUGGUGGAGAAAAUAGCAUUACCCUGGAGUAAAUAUGAAAUAUAACAUUGAACGCUUUUAUGUAGGUUAUCCAACACGCUGAAUGCUUAGGACUUGGUUUGGAGCUUUAGGAACUACUGAUUAAGAAGUUUAUGAAGACAUCAAAAGAGUCAUUUCAUUGGUUUGGCAGUUCUAGGACUUGGUUGUCCUUUACUCAGAGCCAGAGCAGGUAGGUUCUGUUUUUACUCGGCUGUUUGUGAUUGAUGUUUGUUGCACCUUUUCCCCUCUCUUUUUGUAACUGUAUUGUAGCUUUGGGUCAGUGGUUGGGCUAUGAAUUUAUGAAUAUCAAACUGUUGUGUCUGGUCAACAUUGCAGACUCCUCGAAUUGUCUCCUUACCAUCUGAGUCUUACAACCUACCAAGACAACACCGAACCAAACCUUCCGCAUACAGAAGAAAAACAUUCCUUGCAAUAAAAUUAAAACUGAUACAAAAACCACAACAUCCCAAAACACCUCAAAAAGAUAACCACGACGACACUUGCAUACACCACAGCUCAUGACACAAAUCGAAAAAGAGCUCAACUUCAAGACAUCAUCUCAUGUUAUCAAUUUGUGAGCAUCCCUUAGAAACUAAAUAAACACCAUAAAAGACGCAUCCAACAAAUUGGCAGCAAUGCAGUAACAGCAAACCUAUUGCCUCUGUGAGUCUUUAAUUACAACCCCAAAUAUCAUAUACCAAAGCAAGGAGCAACAUCAAAACCUUCAUAAUUAAACACUCUUGAAAAGUUGCCUACACACCCUUUUUACUCAUCCUUAGGUUAAAACAUGUUCUUAUCACCCCUAAACACCACCAGUCCAAAUCAUAUCUUACUCGAGUUGAAAAACCUCCUGGUUGAAGAGAAGACAAUCGAAAUCAUCCUUAACCCACAAACCCUUAUCCAACAUCGAUCAAGAGGACACUGAACAUGAUUCCAUAAUAAGCUUGUUAAAAUCCCUCAAGAAAGGAAAGCUGGAUCAGCAGCAUUCAACAGUGGUCCUCAUCAGUUAUGGCGGUCAAUGAUGAACCUCAGCCCCCUGAGCCUUUCGAGUUCACAUCCUGAUUUCGCUUGGAUUUCAUUUCGAUGAUAGUUUUUAGAGAUGACUUGUGUUCCGUCACAUUCUUUUGUUCAGGAGUUCUCUACUAAUCAGUUACAUUCUUUCUUAUGUGCUUUCUAUUUGUACGGAAAAUCUUGUCAUAUACAUGCUCAACCAUUAGGGAAUUCAAUUUUGUUGCUGAUACGAACUCGGUUGCAUCAUGUUACGACACAACUGGACGGCAUCGGCAUUGGCCCAAACACGAGGGUCCCAAGUGCAAAAUGAAGUGUUAAUUCGAGUUUGUUAAUUUGGUUGCUGGAAAAAAUGAGGAUGACUAUUACUUCUAGAUUUCUUAGCUAUAGUUUAAUUGCUGGAAUAAAAGUUAAUUCGGUUUUAGUUAAUUAGUUAAUUAAUUAGUUAAGUUCCAUAAAUAUGUCAUGGUUUAAACAUCAAUAAUUAGAAUUUAAAUUUGUCAAAAAAUAUGGACAUUUUAAAUGUGUUUUAAGUUCAUUAAUUCUGUCCAAAAUUCAUACUGCUUUAAUAUGAGAUUUAACUUGGUCUUAGUUUAGAACAAAUUAAAUAGGUCUUAAUUUAGACAACUUAAUUGUGACUCACUUCCAGACCAAUUAAUUGUGUCUAACAUUCAGCUUUUAUGUUGCAUUAAACCGAUCUUUAAAUAUGUUUUGUAGGUUGGCUGAAUAGGCUGCCCAUCAACCAAUACAUUGGACGGCAUUAAAGGGACAGCAUGCACCUGGACGUACAUGCACCUAGCACCUGCUGUUUGCUCUCCUCCAAGCAUCUCCUCGUGGAAGCAAUAGCCAAGAGUGUCCCAAUUUGUUUCAUCAGCUGAUUAAUUCGGUUCACACAUAAUUGUCCAGCCAAUUCGAGCCAUUCACACCUAGUUGACCAUUCAUUGCCGGCUUUUCACCUUUGAUGGCUGUCCAUGCGCCACCAACAGUCACAAUUUAAUUAAAGCUUGUUUGGCUGCCCAAGGGAGGUUAAUGCAUGUUCAUUCAACUUAGCUGAUAAGGAACUUGUUAGAUUCAGCUAAUUUUCUAAAUACAUUUAGCUGACCAUUCGAGAACAGCAAAGGUUAAGGAUGUCGGCGUGUCCAAUGAUUGGAUGCAUUCAUUUGCUGACUCAAUUACUCCAGCUCAAGAACCGAAUUUAUCCAGAUGAAUUACUCAGCUAUUUCGUCAGUCCAUGGCUGUUACUCCAGCUCAAGAACCGAAUUUAUCCAGAUGAAUGCUCAGCAAUUAAGUCAGUCCAUGACUGUUCGGGCAUAGCAAGAGCCAGCUGAUCAUUAAGCUAAACAUUGGAUAAUUUCAACUGGAAUUUAAGUUAACAUUUGUGUUUAAUUAAUUGUUAUAAAUUGAGGCUAUUCGGCUGGACCUAUGUGAGCUUAUAAAUAGCUUAUUGUAAACCGUUUAGAAGGUUACUUAACUUUGAAAUUUUAUGAAUAUUAAGCCUUGAGUUAUUCAACUCUUGUAAGAGUUGUUCGUUUGAGACUCGAUUGACUUAUCUAGCUCCGUCUAGUGGCGUCAACCCGAUUCUUGUUUGAACUUAUCACUUCCAGCAAGUGUGGCGUUCAUCCUAUACCGUAGGUUCCUAUCUCUUUAGAUAGUGGGUCUCGGUUUACUAUCUUUUUAUCCAAUUUCAUUUCCAAGUGUUGAUAUAAAAAUUGGGUCGAUAUUCACCUUUAAUAUCGGUCCAUUCUUCAAACUUGUUUUACCCAAACUUAGCAGAAACUAUCACAUAUUAACCUUUACAAAUAUACCAACUUAAAAGCCUUCUUGUUUCAGCCUUCAAAUACGAUACUUCUCAAUUUACGAUCGGAAAACUUAGCAACACGUAAUCAACUCCAAGCACGGGUUCGCAUCAGUUGCCUAAUUUCUUUUCAUUGAUGCUUUGCUCUCAAUUCUUUUCACAUUUUUUUCAAAUCAUAUAUAUAGGUUAAAACUAUGUGGCAUAGCUUUUAAAUCACUAUUUAUUAUGAUAAUAAUAUUUCACAUGUUGAUUAUAUUUAAAAAAAUUAAUUCAAAGUAAAUUCCUUAUAAAUAUUGUCAUGUAAUUUUUGAUGCUCUAAAUGUUGAUAUGCAUGAAUAUAUUAAAUAUACACUAAAAAUAUAAUAUUAAAAUUAAUUAUAAGAAAUAUAAACUAUAAAGCAAAUUGAAGCAAAUAUUUAGUAAAAAUUUGAACUUAAAAUAUAUAUUUAAAACUUAAAACAUAUUAUUAAAGACGCAUUUUAAUAAAGAUUGAUUAAAUUAAAUAUAUUUCAAAUUCUUAAUUAAUUUAAACAAAACUCAAUUAUUAAAAACAAAUUAUUAUCUUUUUCAAACUCUAACAAAUUUAUGGGAAAAUUGAAUGUUCCAUAUUAUUAUCCUUAGAAUGGAAAUGCUGGGGUAUUAUGGGAAAAGAAAUAUUGACAAAUAUGCUCACAAGUCAACGACGAAAAUGAUUCUUCUCUUUUAAGGACAAAAGCAAGACCUAAGAAAGUAUACCACAAAGGGUGGCGUAAAGUGAAGCUAACUCAAGGGUUUUCUUGUAAUGGAUGCGAGUGAGUGUGAGAGUAGGACAGAAGGGGAGACCAUGGAACUUCAACAUUUCAGUCAUCCACAUCCUUUGGUCUCCUUUAAAUAUCAGACUGUUGCACGCGAAGAAGUAGACACAGAAGCAGCUCUUUGCCUUGGGUGUGAGAAACCUGUAGAGGGCUGGAGCUAUGGCUGCAAUCAAUGCGAGUUUUAUCUUCAUAAGGGAUGUGCUGAGUUAGAGUUAGCCCCCAAGAUUCAGCAUCCAUUCCACCCCAAACAUCCUCUCACUCUUCUGCCAAAAUCACCUUAUCCUGGGGGCAUAACCGUGUGCGAUUUGUGUGGUAAGAAUUUUGAGGGAUUUGUUUAUAAUUGUAACGAUUGUAUUUUCUAUCUGCACAUCAAUUGUGCUUUGCUUCAAUCAUCCAUUGCUGCAAAUUUUCCUAAUUCUUUGCACCACCAUCCUUUACACUUCAUUCAAAACCAUAACGAGGAAGUUGAGCGCGAUUGCUCCGGAUGUCAGAAACCAUUAUCUGGUCCGAUUUACCAUUGUUUAGAUUGUUCUUAUCCUACAUUCUUUACUCUUCAUAAGGAAUGCGUUGAACUACCCCUAGAAAUUAAUCACGCCUGUGACCGUAAGCAUCCCCUUACUCUUUUGCCCCAACGACCUGCACAUCCCGAGAAAUGUAGUUGCUAUUUGUGCAAAAUCCAAUGGAGCGGGUUUGUUUAUUCCUGCUCGCUUUGCAACUUUGAGCUUUCAGUUGAUGAUAUUUUUUCACCACCAACAAUCACCAAUGCAAGCCAUGAACACCCGUGGAUGCUUAUAUCCAAAAAAAUGUCAUUUAUUUGUGAUUUUUGUGGCAUUGUCGGAGAUCACUCUCCCUAUCUUUGUGCUACAUGCAACCUUGUUGUCCACAAGAAUUGCAUUUCAUUGCCACGCAACAUCAGGAUAACACGACAUUGUCACGUGAUUUGUUUUUCAUACUCUUUUCAACAAAAUCAAGUUGAAAAUUGUAUGUGCAGAAUUUGUUACACGGAAGUUGAUACAAGUUAUGGUAGGUAUUGUUGUUCUGCUUCCGGUUGUGAUUAUAUUGCUCAUGCACAUUGUGCAACCAAUAAAUCAAUUUGGGAUGGAACAAUUAUCAAGGAAGGCUAUGAUGAGAGGCAUGGACCUUCGAAUUUGAUCACCGAUGUUAUUGAACAAAUAAGUAUUGAAGAGAUUAUGGUAGCAAGUAAGAUCAAACAUUCCUACCAUCAUCAUAAUUUAAGACUCACUCUUAGUGGUGAAAUCAAAGAUGAUAGCCAGUGUGAUGGGUGCAUGAGGCCUAUAUCAAAUCCAUUUUAUAGUUGUGAGCAAUGCAAGUUCUUUCUCCAUAAAAAUUGCGCUGAAUUAUCUAAAGAAAUGCGACAUCCAUUUCACAAGCACUUACUUACACUCACAAACUCAAGCACGCUCGGUGACUUUUCAAGUUGUGAUGCCUGCAGUCAUUUGUACCAGGGAUUUAGCUAUCGGUGCUACAGAAGAGGUUGCAACCUCAACUUUGACAUUCGGUGUAUGUUAAUGUUGGACACCUUGAACCAUCCAAGUCAUGACCAUUCACUCUUACUUGAGCAUAACCAGCAAAGAAAUUGCAGUGCUUGUUCCGGAACAAUGGAACCAUGGAGAGUUGCAUAUAGAUGCAUGAAGCGUUGUGAUUACACUUUAGAUGUAGGUUGUGCAACACUACCACCCACUGCUUGGUACAAGUAUGACAAACAUCCUCUUACUCUGACUUAUUCUGAUGAUUCUGAACCUUCUCAACUUUACUGCGAUCUCUGUGAGAAAGAAAGGCAGCCGAAUAGUUGGUUUUACUAUUGUGUUGAUUGUGAUAACUCUCUUCAUCUCAAUUGUGCUCUUGGGGAUCUCCCAUAUAUGAAGCUUGGGAACAAAAUAAAAGGUACAGGUCAUCAACAUCGACUCACUGUUGUGAAAAACAUCUGGAAUUGUCCUCCAUGUGAGAAAUGUCGUGAGCUUUGCAACGGACGUGCCCUAGAAUGUAAAGAAUUUGGAUGCAACUUUACCAUACACUGGAAUUGUUGUUGGUAUUUGACCUUCUAGGACUCUGGUGAACCAUUUCAAUGAUACUCCACUCAAGUUUACCAGACAGAGAAGUCGCAACUUCACAUGUCUGUUCUGUCCAUCUGCAUGCAUGUACCUGAUUUGCCAACAAGGGCUCAUGUCCGUUUGUUUUUCUUAAUUGCUUUUUAUUAUGUUAUUGUUGUCUAAGAACUUAAACCUUGUUUAAAUCAAACAUGAUUUCAGGCUAGUCAUGAGACUUCUUUUAGGGUAAAUAUACAUUUUGAUGCCUGAAUUUGGCUCUAAGGUUCACAUUGGUACCUGAACUUGACGUCUCGGUUCAAAUUGGCUUUUAAGUCCAAAUUAGUACUAGAGUUAGAUGAGGUAUUUGAACCAAUUUUAACUAUGAAGUCAAGUUUGGUACUAAUUUGAACCAAUAUGACAAGUUCAAAUGCCUAAUUGAACAACAAAAAUUUAAGUACCAAAUUGAACCUUGAGGUUAAGUAUUUAUCAUUUUAAGUUUUUUAAUCAUUUGAAUAAAUGGAAAAAUAGCAAUUUUGGCCCUUUGUGAAAAUUAAUCAUAUAAUUUAAGCUCUUUUAGAGUGAAACUUUUAUCUUCGGUCUCAAAAUUUUAAAAUUUUGGCUUCGUCACUAUAAGAGACUAAAUCACAAGAAAAUGAGCAAAUCCUGAAGGGGCAGGUAGGGGACUGUUCAUAUAAAUGAUGAUAUUAUAAAUUAAUAUAUAGUAAAAUUUUAUUUUAGUCCUUUAAAAUAAAACAAUUCUAUUUAAUCCCUUUAAAUAUGAUAAAUUACAUUUUAACCUUUCAAAAAUUUACAUUUUAAUUUAUAAUUUUUCUAAUUUUUUCAUUUUGCCACAUGUCUAUUGGUGAUUGAGCCACAUCAUCAUUGACCAAGGUUAAUUAACGGCUGACUAACGAAGGACUAACGAGGUACAAAUGUAAGAAAAAAUAUAUAGUUUAGAUACUCAUAUUGAUCAAAAAAGUGUUUAGGUACUAAUUUAAGCAAAUAAGGAUAUUUUAAAGGACAAUUUUAAUAUUAAGCCUUCAGCCUAUAAAUAGAUUUAUUUAUAAUUAAUUUAAUUUAAUAUGAUCUGAUUCAAAUUAAUUGUUAAACACAUUUAAUGACUUAAAUUUUAGUCACAAAUGACAAACUUUUACAGCAUAGUUUUUUAGUUCAAAUUGGUACUUUCAAAUAACUAAGUAUUAAUUUAGAUAAUAAAAAAUCAAAUUCGGGUAUUAAUUUAAAUCAAGAAGCUAAGUUUAGGUACUUAAUUGGACCAAAAUACCAAAUGGAACUUUGAAGUCAUGUUCAAGUACCUAAUUGGAAAAAAGAAAAACCUUAGGUAUCAAUUUGAACUCUGAAGCUAAGUUUAAGUACCAAAAUGUAUAUUUCCCUUACUUUUCCAAUAACCAUUGAAUGCUCUCAUUUUUAUCUACCAGAUCGGAGCAAACACUAAUUAUUGACAGAAAAUAACAAUUCUAGUGAUUAUGUUUAAAGUAAAAUUUAAUUUUAUGUCACCGACAAUCACAAUCCUUUUUGCAUUAUUUCUCAAUUUUUAGUUCAUAAACGAUCAAGAAUACUUUUUUUUUACGGUGAUUAUGUUGAGAUUUCCUAUAAAAUUCUCUUUUUAUUUGCAAGGAAUCUACAACUCUACUGUGAAUCAGGGAAGCAUGCAGGCGUGGGAAGCUAUCAGCUCUGAUAAACUUAAAUCCCACCGCCCCUUCCAUAAGCGCCAACAUAUGAAUAACUAUUCCUUAAACGAGGUCAGCCAUGCCAAUUCCAUUAAAAAGAGGCCUAAGCUAAGCUACCAAGCAAAGAGGAAGAAGAAGAGAUGGUUUCAGGGUGAGGCAUGUGCUCUAAAAGGGUAGCGGUGGAUGCAAGGCAUCACAUGCUGGGAAGGUUGGCUUCCAUAUUAGCCAAGGAGUUGUUGAAUGGCCAAAAAAUAGUGGUGGUGAGAUCUGAAGAGAUAUGCAUGUGGGGUGGAUUGGUUAGCCAGAAGAUGAAUCUCAUGAGGUUUCUUAGGAAGCGUAUAAACACUAAGCCUUCUCAUGGUCUCAUCCAGUUUCCUGCUCCUCUAACAUCCUUUGGCGUACCAUUCGUGGGUGUGUUUUUCUUUUCGAGAGUCUUUUUCCCUUUUAGUGUGUUUUCAUAGUUCUUUAUUUGGUCUGUGAAUGAAAAGGAUGGAAAUUUCUGGGUUUUUUAUGCUUGGUAAUUUAGGAAGCCUUUAUUAUAAACUUUUUGAGAGAUUUUUUUCUAUUUAUUUGAAGUUCUAUGAUUUGGAUAUUGGAAUAUAUAUUGCAAAAGAACCAAUGGAAUCUGUGUGUUUAGCUAUGUUUGAUAUCAAAAUUAAUAAUGAGAGUUUGCUAUUGAUUUUUCUUGUUAGAGAUCUGUGUGUUUGUUAUAGUUGGUUAUUGGUAAAAUGUAGGGACGAAGUGAAAGAGAGUAGAAUGAGUGUGCUUGAGGUUAUUAUUGUUGGAUUGGGAGAAAACUAAUAGCUGACAAGGUCUAUGAAUCUUAUAGUGCAAAGGCAAUGCGUUUGGCUUCAGCAUAUAUGAAGUGAAGUAUAUAACUGGGCUUCAUUUUGACUUUCCUUAUGGUAAUUGAUAUUUGCUUUGAUUGCAGGAUGAUUCCUCGCAAAGACUAAGCAUGGAGUGGCAGCUUUCGCUGGUGUGAAUUGAAGGCUUAUGAGGGGAUUCUUGCACCAUAUGAUAAGACUAAGAGAAUGGUUAUUCCUGAUGCUCUCAAGUUUUGCAGUAGUUGGUUUCUUUCGCGGAAUUUAGAAUUUGGUUUUCUUACUUGCUUCUGUGGAUAGUUAGUCAUGCUCAAUGUUUUUUAAAUUGGUGGAGAAAAUAGCAUUACCCUGGAGUAAAUAUGAAAUAUAACAUUGAACGCUUUUAUGUAGGUUAUCCAACAUUGAAUGCUUAUGACUUGGUUUGGAGCUUCAAGAACUACUGAUGAAGAAGUUUAUGAAGACAUCAAAAGAGUCAUUUCAUUGGUUUGGCAGUUCUAGGACUUGGUUGUCCUUUACUCAGAGCCAGAGCAGGUAGGUUCUGUUUUUACUCGGCUUUUUGUGAUUGAUGUUUGUUGCACCUUUUCCCCCCUCUUUUUGUAACUGUAUUGUAGCUUUGGGUCAGUGGUUGGGCUAUGAAUUUAUGAAUAUCAAACUGUUGUGUCUGGUCAACAUUGCAGACUCCUCGAAUUGUCUCCUUACUGUCUGAGUCUUACAACCUACCAAGACAACACCGAACCAAACCUUCCGCAUACAGAAGAAAAACAUUCCUUGCAAUAAAAUUAAAACUGAUACAAAAACCACAACAUCCCAAAACACCUCAAAAAGAUAACCACAAUGACACUUGCGUACAGCACAGCUCAUGACACAAAUCGAAAAAGAGAUCAACUUCAAGACAUCAUCUCAUGUUAUCAGUUUGUGAGCAUCCCUUAGAAACUAAAUAAACACCAUAAAAGAAGCAUCCAACAAAUUGGCAGCAAUGCAGUAACAAACCUAUUGCCUCCGUGAGUCUUUAAUUACAACCCCAAAUAUCAUAUACCAAAACAAGGAGCAAUGUAAUAGCCCGAUUCUGGGCCUAGUCGGAAUAGUGGUUUCGAGACCACAAAUCCGACGAGGGAAAAUAUGGUUAUUAUAAUAUUUUUAUGGUCUACAAUUUCACGGAAAAUUUUCGUAAAAAUUUCGUUCGAAAAUUUCGACGUUUGGGCACUCAAUUUAGUCAAAAGGACUAAAUUGUAAAAAGUGCAAAAGUUGAGUUCUAUAUGUAGAAGUGUCUAAUUGAUAUGAAAUUAUAAGUUGGGCAUCCUUAUGUGGUAAUUAGACCAUUAGUAAUUGAUGGACAAAAUAGACAUAAGAAAUGAGAGAAAUAGAUUUUUUUAAGUGGGGGCAUUUUAGUCAUUUGGUUAUAAAAAGAAUAAAAUGGGAAAAAGAUGACAAAAAUCAUCAUCUUCUCCAUAAGUUGCUGCCGAAUUUUAAGGGACACCAUAGCUAAGGUUUCUUUGCUUUCUCAAGGUCAUAGUAAGUGUAUCAUAGCCCCGUUUUUAAUGUUCUUUGCAUUUUUGAAAUCCUCGUAGCUCGGUUUAGCUUAUUUUACUGUUAAUUCAUGUUAGGGUUUAUAUUUGGAAAAAUACCCAUAGGUGAAAAGUGUUUAUUCUGCUGUUUUAUGGUGGAAUAUGAAGCUAGAAAUUAUGUUAAACAACUUUUGCUAAGCGAUUUUAAACGAAAACGGGUAAAUUGACAUAAUCGGUAAAACUAGUUAAUGUUCAAAAGUAUGUGUUAGAGUGAGAAUUUGAUGUUGCCAUAGAAGGGAAAAAUAUUAAGCAUGUCAUAAGACAUAAGAAUAAGUGAUGAAAUUUAACUUCCGAGCUUGGGAACAAAAAUGUAAUUAUGCAAAAGUUUGGGGGCAAAAUUGUAAUUUUUCAAAAAGUUGGGUGGAGGAUUAUUUUAAUAAAUGUGAACCUUAAAUAAGUUAAAUUUGCUAUUAUAGAUCAAGAAAGACGAGAGGACUACCUCAAACGAGGAAAAGAAAAGAUAGUGGAAUAAAUUGCAAAAUUACGAUAUUUUGCACCGAGGUAAGUAAACACGUGACUUAAUGUAUUAUUUUGGUAUUAUUUGAUAUGUGUUGAGAUUUAUUUGAAUAUAAAAUAAAUGUUUGGCAAGAUUCCAAAAAUGUUGUUAAUUUGGGAAAGGUGGUAAGGAGUUGCAAAACACGGUUUUUGGUUGAACACUCGGAAUAGGCCGGAGCAUAUUGCAUAUAAAGGGGUUGCUGUGUGCUGAUUCCCCUAUUCAUUGGUGGUUGCUAAGUGCUGAUUCCACCGUAUUUUAAAUGUGGAAGGGGGUUGCUAAGUGCUGAUUCCCCCGAGGGGUUGCUAAGUGCUGAUUCCCCUACCUAUUGGUGGUUGCUAAGUGCUGAUUCCACCGUAUUUUAAAUGUGAAAGGGGGUUGCUAAGUGCUGAUUCCCCUGAGGGGUUGCUAAGUGCUGAUUCCCCUACCUAUUUGGUGGUUGCUAAGUGCUGAUUCCACCGCAUCUGAAAUGUGAAGGGGGUUGCUAAGUGCUGAUUCCCCCAAGGGGUUGCUGUGUGCUGAUUCCCCGAUUCAUUGGUGGUGCUAAGUGCGGAAUCCACCAACAACGGUUAACAUUCCGAGUGUUCAACGAGUAAAUUGAGAAGGUGAAUAUUCAUAUAUGUGGUGGACGAGUUUAUGGGAGGAAUAUCGGGUUUGAUACUUAAUCAACCCAUGUAUAAGAUGGGAGGAAAAAUCAAAAAUACAAAAGAAACAAUUUGAAUGCAAAACUGUUUUGAAUGGCAGCAGUUGGGCAACUUUGAAAAAUCACCAUAAAUGGUGAAAAAUGAAUUGGAGGUUGAAUAAAACAUGAAAUUGAAGCUGAAUGAGUCUAUUUUCAUAAGAAAUAAGUGGGGAAAGCAAAGGAAUUAUAUAUUUGAGGAUAUUUAAAUUUUACUGAGACAGGGUUGGAUUGAAUUCGAAAUCCCCUGUUCCAACUUUGGAAAAUCACCAAAGAUUCUAAAAAAAUAAUUAUGGCUUGAAAUUUAUAUUUCUGGAUUCCUUUUUGAGUCUAUUUUUAAUAGAAACAAACGAGAACAUUUUUUGAAACUUGUAUAGAGAGUUAUGUGAAUUUUUGUAAGGGGAGGUCAGGACUGUCGGGUAGUGAAACAGGGGAAACUUUAAUGAAUAAACUGUACUAAUUGGCCAACCAAAAAUUCCGAAAAUUUUAUGGUGGAAAUAUAUAUGAAUCUAGUUUCAGGGAAAAUUUACGGAAUCUGAUUUGGAGCCCUGUAGCUCCCGAUAAAAAUAAAUUAGUGACCAUGACGCAGAAAUACUGCUUGCUGGAAUUUGACCAAAUAAUGAAAUUUAUUUGUGAUAAAAGUUAUAUUUUGGUGUAAUCAUGUGGGAAAUUUAUCUACUUGUCAUAUGUUUACUUACUAAGCUAUAUGCUUACUUGCUUUUAUUUUUCCCUUGAUUAUAGUGAUAUCCAUCAACUUGGAAUUGGGACGGAGUCGGACAAUCAUCCACACUAUCAUCCGCGUUUGGGUAUUUUGCUACUGGUAUUCCGGAAAUUAUGGCAUGUAUAGACGACUUUAUGUAAUGUGGCGUCACUGUAUAUAUAUAUGUUAUGGUUCGAGCUAAAAUGUGGCGUUUAUAAAUAGUUAAAUUGUGUAUCUUUAUACAACUGUUUUGAUUGGAAAUUUGAAUUGUGGUUGGAAAUUGCAGGAGGUUUAAGCAAAAACAAGCAGAAAUGCUGUCGAAAUUUUUUUAAAAAAAAUUUAGUAAUACCUCGUACUCUGUUCCGGUAAGGAAUACGAGUAAAGGGUGUUACAUUUUAGUGGUAUCAGAGCUACGGUUUAGUCGGUUCUCGGGCCAAUAAAAUAUGUGUGAAAGUCAGUCUAUACAUGCCAUAAAUAUAUUGUGAUAGUGUGAUGAUUUCUGACAAUUUAAAAUUUUGUUUUAUAUAGUAAAUGGAUCCUGAGCGAAGUGUGACAGAUGAUGUUGAAAGUAACGCGCCGGCUCCCGGACAAGGGACCGCGCAUGAAGAGAGUAGACAUGAGACACAUGGACAGGAUGAGGCUCGGGAAGCCUUCCUCCGGAUGAUGAGUAUUGGUAUACAGAAUAUGUCCGUGUAAAUCCGAAUGUUCCACCUCCUCCACCCCCUCCUAUUCCUCAACCGGUCCCCGUAGCUCCACGAAGUGCUGAAUUGGUGAGAUCAAGUAAACCACCCGUUGACAGAAUUCGAAAGCAUGGGGCUGAAGAUUUCUGGGCUAAUGUUGAUGAUGAUUCGGAAAAAGUCGAGUUUUGGCUUGAAAAUACUAUCCGGGUAUUUGAUGAAUUAUCUUGUACUCCCGAGGAAUGUUUGAAAUGUGCUGUGUCUUUAUUAGAGGUGCUCAUGAGCCGAGCCGGGCCGGGUUCGAGCUAGGCCCAUAAAAAAAUUUCGGCCCGGAUCCUAGGCCGGGCCCGGCCCGGCCCGAAAUAUGGGCCUAAGAUUUUGCCCAGGCCCGGCCCGGGAAAAAAAUCAUAAGCCCGGGCCCGGCCCGGCCCGGCCCAUUUUUAUUUUAAAAAUUUUUAAAAAUUAAAAAAAGUAUUUUAAAAAUAUUUUAAAAUUAAAAAAAUUAAAAAAAGUAUUUUAAAAUUAAAAAAAUUAAAAAAAGUAUUUUAAAAAUAUUUUAAAAUUUAAAAAAAUUAAAAAAGUAUGUAAAAAAUAUUUUAAAAUUAAAAAAAUAAAUAUAUUUAUUAUAUCGGCCCGGCCCGGGCCGAAAAAGUGGUGCCCGAGGCCUGGCUCGUUUUCUAAACGGGCCUCGUUUUUUUGCCCAAGCCCAUAUUUCAGGCCUAUAUUUUUACCCAAACCCUCCCAUAUUUCGGGCGGGCCAUCGGGCCGGGCCGGGCCGCCCGGCCCAUGAGCACCUCUAGUCUUUAUUGAAGGAUUCGGCAUACCGUUGGUGGAAAACAUUAAUAACGGUGGUUCCAAAAGAAAGAGUUACUUGGGACUUCUUUCAGGAAGAAUUCAGAAAGAAAUAUGUAAGCCAACGGUUUAUUGAUCAGAAGCGCAAAGAGUUUCUCGGAUUGAAACAGGGCCGAAUGUCAGUAGCAGAAUAUGAAUUGGAGUUUGUCCGGCUUAGUAAAUAUGCCCAGGAAUGUGUGCCUACGGAGGCUAUUAUGUGUAAAAGAUUUGAAGAGGGGCUAAAUGAAGACAUCAGAUUGCAUGUUGGAAUUUUAGAGUUAAAAGAAUUUGUGGUAUUAGUUGAUUGUGCCUGCAAAGCUGAAGAGCUGAGUAGAGAAAAGAGAAGGGCAGAGAUGGAAGCUCGAGAUGUAAGGAAGAGGUCAAUGGGCAGAACAUUUCAAUCUCACCCGAAGAAGUUUAAAGGGAUGGAUCCACGACCAACUGGUUCAGUUGGGUAUUCACGUAGAGACCGAGGGAGGUCAUAUUCUGGAACUACAACUCGAGCUACCUCAGUGGCAAGUGUGGGUAAUGUAGGAAACACCAGACCUGAAUGUCAACAGUGUGGCAGGCGACAUACUGGUGAGUGUUGGGGAUUUAAAUGAGCUUGUUUCAGAUGUGGUUCCCAAGAGCAUUAUGUAAAAGACUGCCCUGAGAGAAUAGAAGAAGAAAAAUUACAAAGAGCUGGAUCGGGUGAUGUUGUCAGUAGAGGCAGACCACCGAGAAAUGUGGGAAGCAAAGCCAGUGGUAAGAGUGUGAUAAAAGAUGCAGCUGGAGGAUCAGAAACUAGAGCGCCUGCUAGGACUUAUGCCAUACGCGCUCGAGAGGAUGCCUCAUCUCCCGAUGUGAUUACUGGUACAUUUUCUCUUCAUGAUAUUGAUGUUAUUGCUUUGAUUGACCCGGCUCUACUCAUUCGUAUGUAUGCAUGAAUUUGGUAUCUAGUAAGAAAUUUCCUGUUGAAAACACUGAAUUUGUAGUUAAAGUAUCAAAUCCUUUAGGCAAAUGUGUCUUAGUCGAUAAGGUUUGCAAGAAUUGUCCCCUGAUGAUUCAAGGUCACUGUUUCCCGGCUAAUUUGAUGUUGUUACCAUUUGAUGAGUUUGAUAUUAUUUUGGGGAUAGAUUGGUUGAUAUUGCAUGAUGCCAAGGUAAAUUGUAGACAGAAAAUUCUUGAAUUAAAUUGUGAAAACGGUGAAAUUCUCCGGGUUGAAACAAAGGAGCUGAAUAAGUUGCCUAUGGUGAUCUCGCACAUGUCUGCUCAGAAAUACUUGAGAAAGGGAUGUGAAGUUUAUCUUGCUUAUGUGCUGAACACGGAUAUUACUGGGUCGAAGCUUGAAUCAGUGCCGGUAGUUUGUGAAUUUCCAGAUGUAUUUCCAGAGGAAUUGCCUGGGUUACCUCCGAUUAGAGAAGUUGAGUUUUCUAUUGAUCUGUUACCUGGUACUGCACCGAUUUCUAUUGCACCGUAUCGAAUGGCUCCGACUGAGUUGAAGGAAUUGAAAGCUCAGUUACAAGAGUUGACAGAUAAAGGAUUUGUGAGACCGAGUUUUUCUCCUUGGGGUGCUCCUGUGUUAUUUGUGAAAAAGAAGGACGGCUCUAUGAGACUUUGUAUUGACUAUCGUCAGCUCAACAAGGUGACUAUAAAGAACAAGUAUCCUUUGCCGAGAAUUGAUGAUUUAUUUGAUCAAUUAAAAGGGGCAACAGUGUUCUCUAAGAUCGAUUUGAGGUCUGGUUACUAUCAGUUAAGAGUUAAAGAGUCUGAUGUGCCGAAAACCGCCUUUAGAACAAGGUAUGGACACUAUGAAUUUCUGGUAAUGCCUUUUGGGUUAACAAAUGCUCCGGCUAUUUUUAUGGACUUGAUGAACUGAAUUUUUCGGCCGUACUUGGAUAAGUUCGUGGUGGUGUUCAUAGAUGAUAUUUUAAUCUAUUCUCGGGAUAAAUCUGAGCAUGCAGAACAUUUGAGAACUGUGUUGCAGAUUCUGAGAGAAAAGAAAUUGUAUGCUAAAUUCAGCAAAAGUGAGUUUUGGCUUCGUGAGGUUGGAUUCUUGGGACAUAUAGUUUCAAGUGAAGGUAUUCGGGUUGAUCCAAGCAAAAUUUCAGCAAUUGUUGAUUGGGAGCCACCAAAGAAUGUGACAGAAGUUAGAAGCUUUCUGGGCUUAGCUGGGUAUUACAGACGCUUUGUCAAGGGAUUUUCGAUGAUUGCUUCUCCUAUGACAAAGUUACUGCAGAAGAAUGUCAAGUUUGAAUGGACCGAUAAAUGUCAACAAAGUUUUGAAAAGUUGAAGGCAUUAUUGACUGAGGCGCCAGUGUUGGUGCAACCUGAGUCCGGGAAGGAGUUUGUAAUUUACAGUGAUGCAUCGUUGAAUGAUCUUGGGUGUGUGUUAAUGCAAGAGGGUAAAGUAAUAGCUUAUGCUUCGAGACAGUUGAAACCACAUGAGAAGAAUUAUCCGACGCAUGAUUUAGAAUUGGCUGCUAUUGUUUUUGCUUUAAAAAUUUGGCGUCAUUAUUUGUAUGGUGAAAAGUGCCGAAUCUUCACUGAUCAUAAGAGUUUGAAGUAUUUGAUGAGCCAAAAAGACUUGAAUUUGCGGCAACGAAGAUGGCUCGAGCUAAUUAAAGACUAUGAGCUAGUGAUUGAUUAUCACCCCGGGAAAGCUAAUGUGGUUGCUGAUGCCUUGAGCAGAAAAUCUUUAUUUACUUUGAGAGCUAUGAGUACGAGAUUAACUUUAUCUGAUGAUGGUUCAAUUUUGGCUGAAUUGAGAGUUAGACGUUAUUUCUUCAGCAGAUGCGGGAAGCUUAAAAGAAUGACAAUAAAUUGCAAGUCAGAAGAGCUCAGUGUGAAACAGGCUUUAAUUCAGAUUUUCAAAUUGGUUCAGAUGACUGCCUGAUGUUCCGAGAUAGAAUAUGUGUACCGAGAAAUGAUGAGCUAAUUCGGACCAUUUUAUGUGAGGCACACAAUGGUUGUUUAUCAGUCCAUCCAGGUAGUGUGAAAAUGUAUAAUGAUUUGAAGAAGUUGUACUGGUGGCCGGGCAUGAAAAAGGAUAUCUCGGAAUUUGUAUCGAAUUGUUUAAUUUGUCAACAAGUGAAAGCUGAGCAUCAAGUACCAUCGGGUUUACUUCAGCCGAUAACGAUUCCAGAGUGGAAGUGGGACAGUAUUACGAUGGAUUUUGUGACAGGAUUGCCUUUAACUCCAAAGAAGAAAGAUGCUAUUUGGGUAAUUGUUGAUAGAUUGACAAAGUCAGCCCAUUUUAUUCCGAUACGCAUUGAUUACUCACUUGACAGGUUGGCGGAAUUAUAUGUUGCUGAAAUAGUGAGAUUACACGGGGUGCCUAAAUCUAUUAUAUCGGAUAGAGAUCCGAGAUUUACUUCGAGGUUUUGGAUAAAGUUGUAGGAAGCCUUGGGUACGAAAUUGAAUUUUAGUACUGCGUUUCAUCCGUAAACUGACGGGCAAUCAGAAAGAGUGAUUCAAGUUCUUGAAGACAUGCUCCGAUGUUGUAUUUUAGAAUUGGAAGGCAGUUGGGAGAAAUAUCUACCAUUGGUUGAAUUUGCUUAUAACAAUAGCUAUCAGUCAAGUAUACGAAUGACACCGUAUGAAGCAUUAUAUGGGCGUAAGUGUAGAACUCCUUUAUAUUGGACUGAGCUCGGUGAGAACCAGAUUCAUGGAGUUGACUUGGUGAAAGAAACUGAAGAAAAGGUGAAAAUAAUUCGUGACUGUUUAAAGGCUGCUUCAGAUCGGCAAAAGUCGUAUGCAGAUUUAAAGAGGAAAGAAAUUGAGUUUCAAGUGGGUGAUAAAGUAUUCUUGAAAGUAUCUCCAUGGAAAAAGAUUCUGAGAUUUGGUCGUAAAGGCAAAUUGAGUCCACGUUUUAUUGGACCAUAUGAAGUUAUUGAAAGAGUUGACCCUGUAGCUUAUCGGUUAGCUUUACCGCCGGAGUUGAAAAAAUACAUAAUGUAUUUCAUGUGUCGAUGUUGCGACGUUAUCGUUCGGAUCCUUCACAUAUAGUUUCUCCUACAGAGAUUGAGGUUCGACCAUAUAUGACUUAUGAGGAGGAACCGAUAAAAAUUCUGGCUCGGGAGGUCAAACAGUUAAGGAAUAAAAGUGUAGCCUUAGUGAAAGUGUUGUGGCAGAAACAUGGAAUGGAAGAGGCUACGUGGGAACCGGAGGAAAUUAUGAGGAAACAGUACCCAAACCUCUUUUCCGGUAAGAUUUUCGGGGACGAAAAUCCCUAAGGGGGGAGAGUUGUAACAGCCCGAUUCUAGGCCUAGUCGGAAUAGUGGUUUCGAGACCACAAAUCCGACGAGGGAAAAUAUGGUUAUUAUUAUAUUUUUAUGGUCUACAAUUUCACGGAAAAUUUUCGUAAAAAUUUCGUUCGAAAAUUUUGACGUUUGGGCACUCAAUUUAGUCAAAAGGACUAAAUUUUAAAAAGUGCAAAAGUUGAGUUCUAUAUGUAGAAGUGUCUAAUUGAUAUGAAAUUAUAAGUUGCGGGUCCUUAUGUGGUAAUUAGACCCUUAGUAAUUGAUGGACAAAAUAGACCUAAGAAAUGAGAGAAAUAGAUUUUUUUUAAGUGGGGGCAUUUUAGUCAUUUGGUUAUAAAAAGAAUAAAAUGGGAAAAAGAUGACAAAAAUCAUCAUCUUCUCCAUAAGUUGCUGCUGAAUUUUAAGGGACACCAUAGCUAAGGUUUCUUUGCUUUCUCAAGCUCAUAGUAAGUGCAUCCUAGCCCCGUUUUUAAUGUUCUUUGCAUUUUUGAAAUCCUCGUAGCUCGGUUUAGCUUAUUUUACUGUUAAUUCAUGUUAGGGUUUAUAUUUGGAAAAAUACCCAUAGGUGAAAAGUGUUUAUUUUGCUGUUUUAUGGUGGAAUAUGAAGCUAGAAAUUAUGUUAAACAACUUUUGCUAAGCGAUUUUAAACGAAAACGAGUAAAUUGACAUAAUCGGUAAAAAUAGUUAAUGUUCAAAAGUAUGUGUUAGAGUGAGAAUUUGAUGUUGCCAUAGAAGGGAAAAAUAUUCAGCAUGUCAUAAGACAUAAGAAUAAGUGAUGAAAUUUAAUUUCCGAGCUUGGGGACAAAAAUGUAAUUAUGCAAAAGUUUGGGGGCAAAAUUGUAAUUUUUCAAAACUUUGGGUGGAGGAUUAUUUUAAUAAAUGUGAACCUUAAAUAAGUUAAAUUUGUUAUUAUAGAUCAAGAAAGACGAGAGGACUACCUCAAACGAGGAAAAGAAAAGAAGUGGAAUAAAUUGCAAAAUUACGAUAUUUUGCACCGAGGUAAGUAAACACGUGACUUAAUGUAUUAUUUUGGUAUUAUUUGAUUGAGAUUUAUUUGAAUAUAAAAUAAAUGUUUGGCAAGAUUCCAAAAAUGUCGUUAAAUUGGGAAAGGUGGUAAGGAGUUGCAAAACACGGUUUUUGGUUGAACACUCGGAAUAGGCCGAGCAUAUUGCAUAUAAAGGGGUUGUUGUGUGCUGAUUCCCCUAUUCAUUGGUGGUUGCUAAGUGCUGAUUCCACCGUAUUUUAAAUGUGGAAGGGGGUUGCUAAGUGCUGAUUCCCCCGAGGGGUUGCUAAGUGCUGAUUCCCCUACCUAUUGGUGGUUGCUAAGUGCUGAUUCCACCGUAUUUUAAAUGUGAAAGGGGGUUGCUAAGUGCUGAUUCCCCUGAGGGGUUGCUAAGUGCUGAUUCCCCUACCUAUUUGGUGGUUGCUAAGUGCUGAUUCCACCGCAUCUGAAAUGUGAAGGGGGUUGCUAAGUGCUGAUUCCCCCAAGGGGUUGCUGUGUGCUGAUUCCCCGAUUCAUUGGUGGUGCUAAGUGCGGAAUCCACCAACAACGGUUAACAUUCCGAGUGUUCAACGAGUAAAUUGAGAAGGUGAAUAUUCAUAUAUGUGGUGGACGAGUUUAUGGGAGGAAUAUCGGGUUUGAUACUUAAUCAACCCAUGUAUAAGAUGGGAGGAAAAAUCAAAAAUACAAAAGAAACAAUUUGAAUGCAAAACUGUUUUGAAUGGCAGCAGUUGGGCAACUUUGAAAAAUCACCAUAAAUGGUGAAAAAUGAAUUGGAGGUUGAAUAAAACAUGAAAUUGAAGCUGAAUGAGUCUAUUUUCAUAUGAAAGAAGUGGGGAAAGCAAAGGAAUUAUAUAUUUGGGGAUAUUUAAAUUUUACUGAGACAGGGUUGGAUUGAAUUCGAAAUCCCCUGUUCCAACUUUGGAAAAUCACCAAAGAUUCUAAAAAAAUAAUUAUGGCUUGAAAUUUAUAUGUCUGGAUUCCUUUUUGAGUCUAUUUUUAAUAUAAACAAACGAGAACAUUGUUUGAAACUUGUAUAGAGAGUUAUGUGAAUUUUUGUAAGGGGAGGUCAGGACUGUCGGGUAGUGAAACAGGGGAAACUUUAAUGAAUAAACUGUACUAAUUGGCCCAACCAAAAAUUCUGAAAAUUUUAUGGUGGAAAUAUAUAUGAAACUAGUUUCAGGGAAAAUUUACGGAAUCUGAUUUGGAGCCCUGUAGCUCCCGAUAAAAAUAAAUUAGUGACCAUGACGCAGAAAUACUGCUUGCUGGAAUUUGACCAAAUAAUGAAAUUUAUUUGUGAUAAAAGUUAUAUUUUGGUGUAAUCAUGUGGGAAAUUUAUCUACUUGUCAUAUGUUUACUUACUAAGCUAUAUGCUUACUUGCUUUUAUUUUUCCCUUGAUUAUAGUGAUAUCCAUCAACUUGGAAUUGGGACGGAGUCGGACAAUCAUCCACACUAUCAUCCGUGUUUGGGUAUUUUGCUACUGGUAUUCCAGAAAUUAUGGCAUGUAUAGACGACUUUAUGUAAUAUGGCGUCACUGUAUAUAUAUAUGUUAUGGUUCGAUCUAAAAUGUGGCGUUUAUAAAUAGUUAAAUUGUGUAUCUUUAUACAACUGUUUUGGUUGGAAAUUUGAAUUGUGGUUGGAAAUUGCAGGAGGUUUAAGCAAAAACAAGCAGAAAUGCUGUUGAAAUUUUUUUAAAAAAAAUUUAGUAAUACCUCGUACUCUGUUUCGGUAAGGAAUAAGAGUAAGGGGUGUUACAAGCAACAUCAAAACCUUCAUAAUUAAACACUCUUGAAAAGUUGCCUACACACCCUCUUUACUCAUCCUUAGGUUAAAACAUGUUCUUAUCACCCCUAAACACCACCAGUCAAAAUCAUAUCUUACUCGAGUUGAAAAAACCUCCUAGUUGAAGAGAAGACAAUCGAAAUCAUCCUUAACCCACCAACCCUUACCCAACAUGGAUCAAGAGGACACUGGACAUGAUUCCAUAAUAAGCUUGUUAAAAUCCCUCAAGAAAGGAAAGCUGGAUCGGCAGCAUUCAACAGUGUUCCUCAUCAGUUAUGGCCGUCGAUGAUGAACCCCAGCCCCCUCAGCCUUUCGAGUUCACAUCCUGAUUUCGCUUGGAUUUCGUUUCGAUGAUAGUUUUUAGAGACAACUUGUGUUUCAUCACAUUCUUUAGUUCAGGAGUUCUCUACUAAUCAGUUACAUUCUUUCUAUUUGUACGGACAAUCUUGUCAUAUACAUGCUCAACCAUUAGGGAAUUCGAUUUUGUUGCCUAAUUUCUUUUUGUUGAUGCUUUGCUCUCAAUUCUUUUCACAUUUUUUCAAAUCAUAGAUAUAGGUUACAACUACGUGGCAUAGCUUUUAAAUCAUUAUUUGUCACGAUAAUAAUAUUUCACAUGUUGAUUAUUUUUAAAAAAAUUAAUUCAAGGUAAAUUCCUUAUAAAUAUUUUCAUGUAAUUGUUGAUGCUCUAAAUGUUGAUAUGCAUGAAUAUAUUAAAUAUACACUAAAAAUAUAAAAUUAAACUUAAUUAUAAGAAAUAUAAACUAUAAAGCAAAUUGAAGCAUUUUAAUAAAGAUUGAUUAAAGUAAAUAUAUUUCAAAAUCUUAAUUAAUUUAAACAAAACUCAAUUAUAAGAAAAAAAAUAUUAAUUUCUUUUUCAAACUCUAACAAAUUUAUGGGAAAAUUGAAUGUUCCAUAUUCUUAUCCUUGGAAUGGAAAUGCUGGGAUAUUAUGGGAAAAGAAAUAUUGACAAAUAGUCGCACAAGCCAACGACGAAAUUGAUUCUUCUCUUUAACGACAAAAGCAAAGACCUAAGAAAGUAUACCACAAAGAGUGGAGUAAAGUGAAGCAAACUCGAGGGUUUUCUUGUAAUGGAUGUGAGUGAGUGUGAGAGUAGGACAGAGGGGGAGACCAUGGAACUUCAACAUUUCAGUCAUCCACAUCCUUUGGUCUCCUUCAAAUAUCAGACUGUUGCACGCGAAGAAGUAGACCCGGAAGCAGCUCUGGCUGCAAUCAAUGUGAGUUUUAUCUUCAUAAGGGAUGUGCUGAGUUAGAGUUAGCCCCCAAGAUUCAGAAUCCCUUCCACCCCAAACACCCUCUCACUCUUUUGCCAAAUUCACCUCAGUCUAGGUCAGGAUUUUGCGAUUUGUGUGGUAAGAAUUAUGGGGGAUUUGUUUAUUAUUGUAAUGAUUGUAAUUUCGAUCUGCACAUCAAUUGUGCUUUGCUUCAAUCAUCCAUUGCUGCAAAUUUUCCUAAUUCUUUGCACCCCCAUUCUUUACAUUUCAUUCAAAACUAUAACAAGGAAGUUGAGCCUGAUUGCCCCGGGUGUCAAAAACCAAUAUCUGGUCCACUUUACCACUGUUCAGAUUGCACUUAUCCUACAUUCUUUAACCUUCAUAAGGAAUGUGCUGAACUACCCCUUGAGAUUAAUCACCCCUGUGACCGUAAGCAUCCUCUUACUCUCUUGCCACAACCGCCAACUCAUCCCCAGAAAUGUAGUUGCUAUUUGUGCAGAAUCCAAUGGAAGGGGUUUGUUUAUUCCUGCUCUCUAUGCAACUUUGAUCUUUCACUUGAUGAUUUUCUUUUUUCACCACCAACAAUCACAGUUGCAAGUCAUGAACAUCCGUGGAUGCUUGUAUCUAGAAAAAUGUCGUUUGUUUGUGAUUGUUGUGGCACUGACGGCUAUCACUCCCCCUAUUUCUGUGCUACAUGUCACCUCCUUGUCCACAAGAAUUGCAUUUCAUUGCCACGCAACAUCAGGAUAACACGACAUUGUCACGUGAUUUGUUUUUCAUAUUCUUUUCAACAAAAUCAAGUUGAAGAUUGUAUGUGCAGAAUUUGUUACACGGAAGUUGAUACAAGUUAUGGUAGGUAUUGUUGUUCUGCUUCUGGUUGUGAUUAUAUUGCUCAUGCACAUUGUGCAACCAAUAAAUCAAUUUGGGAUGGAACAAUUAUCAAGGAAGGCUAUGAUGAGAGGCAUGGACCUUCGAAUUUGAUCACUGAUGUUAUUGAACAAAUAAGUAUUGAAGAAAUUAUGGUAGCAAGUGAGAUCAAGCAUUCCUAUCAUGAUCAUAAUUUAAGACUCACUUUUAGUGGGAAGACCAAAGAUGAUGACAGUCAGUGCGAUGGGUGCACGAGACCUUUAUCAACUCCUUUUUAUAGUUGUGAGCAAUGCAAGUUCUUUCUCCACAAAGAUUGCGCUGAAUUGCCUAAAGAAAUGCCACACCCCUUUCACAAGCAUUUGCUUACUCUCGUGAACUCACACGAUUGGGGUGGUUAUUCAGUGUGCGAUGCUUGCGGUCGUCUAUAUCAAGGAUUUAGGUACAGAUGCUACAAAGGAGAUUGCUACUUCGAAAUUGACAUUCAAUGUAUGUUAUUGUCGGACACCUUGAAGCACCCAAGUCAUGAGCAUUCACUCUUUCUUGUCCACAACAACGAGGGAACGAGUUGCAGUGCUUGUUUCAGAAAACUACACUUAAGGGAUGUUGCAUAUAGAUGCAUGAAGCGGUGUGAUUUCAGUUUAGAUGUAGGUUGUGCAACACUACCACUCUCUGCUUGGUAUAAGUAUGACAGGCAUGCUCUUACAGUUUUUUUGAUGAUUCUGAGCCUUCUCAACUUUAUUGCGAUCUCUGCGAAAAAGAAAGAGAGCCAAAUAAUUGGUUUUACUACUGUGCUGAUUGUGAUAACUCUCUUCAUCUCAAUUGUGUUAUCGGGGAUCUCCAAUAUUUGAAGCUUGGGAACAAAUUGAAGCAUUAUAGGCAUAAACAUCCAUUCACUAUUGUAAAAAACAUCUGGAAUUGCCCUCCAUGUAAGGCAUGUGGUGAGAUUUGCAAUGGACAGGCCCUAGAAUGUAAAGAAUCUGAAUGCAACUUUAUCGUCCAUUGGGAUUGCUGUCGGGUUCUCCAGAGAACCAUUUGAAUGAUAUUCCACUCAAGUUUAAGAAACAGAGAAGGCAGAGAGAUGUGUUGUGUUCUGCGGAAAGGUGUAGCAGAUUUGGUAAAAAUGGGUGAUGGCCUUACUUCUUGUGUUCUGCAUUAUGUUAUGUUUAUGAUAGUUGUUUGAGCAGUAGAAGAUUGUGUUAGAUGAAACAUGAUUUGUAACCACACAUCUGUAUCUUUCACUUUUCUAUUUGAUUCUUAUCUAAAAUACUAAAAUAAUGAACAUAAUGUUGAGUUUGGAAAUUUAAAUAGAAAAUCAUUCCUCCAUUCAUAAAAAUUGUGAGUGAAUGUUCAGACCAUGAAAUGUAUAAAUGGUUUCUCAAUUUUAUUUAUCUAAAAAUCUGAAAUUUAGCAUUUGAAGAUCGAAUUUGGUAUAUCUUAUUAUUUUUGAAAAGUGGAAAUGUACGAGGUCUAUGACAUAAAUCAAUCAAGAUUUUGUGACUUUAAAUCAACCAGCCAUAGAAAAAGUGUACAUAUAUUUUAGCUUUACAAUGUAGGUUCAUUUUAUUUCACCUAAUCAGUAAACAUUUGUACUCCAUAUUCAAAAUAAUAUUAUUAUGCCUAAAUUCUAAAAUAAAUAAUAUUAAUUUUUUUGAAUUUUCCAUCAGAUUCUAUUGUAAUUUCAUUUCAAAGAUAAAUCAGCACUUUUCACAACUUAGAAAAGAAUAAAGUCAAUUUAGGCAAGAAGUCCUUUUUUUUUUCUUUGCCCUGAAAAUAUUAAGAAAAACCCUCUUUCUUUUAUUUUGCUUUUUAAUUUUUAUAUUUAUCAAAUUAUCCAGAAUUAGGUGAAAAAGUUAACGAGCCCUGAAUUUUGAUGAUGGGAAUGAUUAACGUUUAUGUGACAUUCAUGAACUCUAAAAGAUACUUCAAUCUCUUGAACCCGCAUUCGGAUCAUCUGAAGAUUCUAAACAUAGCAUGUUGCGCUUACAAGUAGAGAAACGAGCUUUUAACUCAAAUGAGAGAACAUUAUUUAUAUUGAAUUGAUGAAUAAAUUGAUAUAGUUCUAGCCUUCUAUAGGUCAAGCUAAAAAUAACAAAACUAAAUAUGAGAAAAUUUUCAAAUUUUAUUUAAGUUCUCUCGAAUUUUUUAAAAUUCUCAUUAAUUUUUUCAAAAGUUUUAAAAAUUCUUAUUAAUCCCCAAAAAUAUUUUUUAAUGUCAAAAUCCACUGUUGAUUCCAUAUAACAAAAAUACUAUUAUGCAAAAAUUCUGAAUUGAAUCCGGGGGAAAUUAAUUAACUAUUCCAAAAUUAUUCCUCUCUAUUAUAUUUUUAUUAUCAGUUGAAGUCAAACAUAAUACCGGUCGAAGGGGACAUAACCACAAUGAGAAUGACCAAAUUCCAAAUUAUUGUAUUUUGAUACCAUAAUAAUGGCAUAUUCAACCCCUAUACUUUAUCAAAAUAUCUAUUAUGGUAUCUUCACUUUUAAAAUAUCAAUUUUGAUACCUAAACUUUAGAAUUUUUUUAGGAUUUAAAUAAUAUAAUUUUUGUUAUAAUUUUAUAAGAUACACAGAUUAUUUUUAUAUUACAUUUUUUUAGAAUUUAUAUUAUAAUUUUUUUUUGCCACAACAAUCUCAAAUAAUCAUGUGUUUAUACUUAUGAUGUAAUUUUUAUAACUUGUAAAGUAUAAUUUUUAAAAAUUAGAUUUUGGUAUAAUUAUAUACGUAAUUAUUCUAAUUCUCACCCUACCCUAGAAAUUGGUGGGGUGCUCCGAUUACAACCAAUUCAGUGGGAUCCACAAAUUAUAGUGCUUAUAAAAACAUGACAUUCUUAGGUAAUUACAAAUAAUUACACCUAAAUCCAAUUAUCAGAUGACUUUCUAAGCACUAUCUCGGUAAAAAUUAGUGAUUGUCCAAAAAAGCUACUUGAAAGCUUUGCUUCUUUUUUUAAAACUAAUGGUGUUCAUGGGCUGGGUGACCCAGCCCGAAAGCCUGCCUGAAAAGUGGGAGAGUUUAGGCAAAAAUAUAAACCCGAAAUAAGUUUGGACAAAAGUUAAGGCUUGCUUAGGCAAAAAAAUGAGUCGAACCUCGAGUAAGGUUUUUUUUUAACCUGGACCAAGCUCGAAUUUGCAAAAAAAAAAAAAAAACUUUUUUUUUAUUGUUUUUCACUGUUUUGCUGUCAUUUCACUAUUAUGUUGUUAUUGUUUAGAUAUUGUAUAACUCUUAUUUUAUUGUCAAUUUUGCUACUGUUUUAGAGACAUUUGCUUGUUAAGUUGCACUUAUCUUAGUUUUAUUUAAGUAUAAAAGUUUUUAUUUUAAUUUAUUUCCAAUUUUUUAGGAAACAUUUAUUUUAAUGUUUUAAGUGUAUUUGGUGUAUUAUAUUUUUAAAUUUUUUAUAUAAAAAAUAAAAUACAAGUGGGCCAGACCAAACCUAUCAAUUGGGCCUAAAAAAUUGUUAAGGCCUAACCUGAUUUGACCCAUGACACCUCUAUUUUAAAUCAUCUUCUUUGCUGACUUAGGCAAGCGAGGAAAUAGAAAGAAAAAAAUAAUCCGAGAAAUAAAAUAAAAAAAUUUUGGUUGCAAAGAGAAGCAUAAUAUAAAGAAUAUAAAUAUGAAAAUCUUUAUAACUUGUUAAAGAAAUUUCGGAUCAACGUAAUGAUAAAAGAAUGAUAAUAGCAGAUUCAACCCCUAUACUUUAUCGAUAUAUCAAAUAUGGUGUCUUUACUUUUAAAAUAUCAAUUUUGAUACUUAAACUUUAAUUCCAUUUAUUAUUGCCAUAUAUCCUUCUAAUGGAGUUAAAAUUUUACAGCACUUUGAAUGUAACCAAUUGUAUGCUGCCAUGUGGCACUAUUAGUUUGAAAAAUUUUAAUCAAAGUCGAGGGAUUCGAAAAUAGUUAUACCAAAAAUUAUUUUAAAGGCCAAAAGAAGAAAAAAAAAUUAAGACCAACCCAAGCCCGGCACAUUUUAGCCCAUCAAAUCAUCUACCCUAAACUUAAACUUUGCUCUCACAAUACCCAAUUCAUAUAAAAAGUUUUUGGCUUCGUCACUAUAGGGGACUGUCUCCCAAAUAUGAGAUUUCAUAUAAAUGAUGAUAUUAUAAAUUAAUAUAUAGUAAAACUCUAUUUUAGUCCUUUAAAAUGAAAACAAUUCUAUUUAAUCCCUUUAAAUAUGAUAAAUUUACAUUUUAACCUUUCAAAAAUUUAUAAUUUAAUUUAGAUCCAAGGGAAGGAGGUUCUAUUGGUUGAGCUCAUCCACCACACCAAACAUUAAUUAUUGGCAAAAAGAAGUUGUUACAAACUUACAAUGCAUGGAGAAAGCAUAGAAAUGUACGAAAAGAAAAUCCCAAUCCUUUUGCAUUAUUUCUCAAUAUCAAGAGUACUUAAAUUUUUAGUGAUUAUGUUGAGAUUUCCAAUAAAGUUCUCUUCUUUUUUUCAAGAAAUCCAAAACUCUGGUGUAAUCGGGGACAUUGUCUUUGAUCACAGGGUGUUCGCUGAAAUGCCUGACCCAAGCAUGCAGGCGUGGGAAGCUAUCGGCUUUAAUGAAGUUUACUCCCCCCACCACCUCUUCCAUGGGUGCCAACAUAUGAAUAACCAUUCCAAAAACAAGGUCAGCUACGCCAAUUUGGUCGCCGCCAAAGAACUUUUUGUCUCCAAGACCAUGUUCCUCAAUCGUCCUCAGAAUUUCAUAGUUGUCCUCGAUUGCCUUCUGCUGUUCUUCGCCAUGUUUAGCAAAGAAUUCCCACGUUGGUUGAGUCUGCAAACUUAUAUUAAUAAGGUUAGGAUCAAACAUUACUGGUCUGCAAGUGGUUUGAGACUAGAUCCCCAGCUUGGAGGGAGGGGUGAAAUUGGUUUUAAAAUGGAUUAAUUUGAGUUAAAAUUUUUUUUUUUAUCAUUUUGGGUUCGAAUUUUUUACGGUCUAACUCGUUUUUAAGUUUGGAUUGGGCAAGUUUUGAUCAGUCAAUCCUGGAUUUGGCUUCACUCUAUUACUUUUAAUCUAUUAAUAUCCAAUGCAUGUCUAAUGAUCAUUCACUAAUUAAUAUUUACAUUUAAUAGAUGGUCCUACACAUUUGAAUGGUGAUGAUAAUUAUAUUGGAUAUUAUUAAUGGAAGAAAAAGUAAUGGAGUAGAUCUUGACCCGUUAAUUCUAACCCAAACUUAAAAAAUUAACCCAAUUAUAUUGAAUCCGAACAAAAAAUGACUUAUAUCCAAAACGAUUUAGAAUGAUCUAAAUCCAAAAUGAUCUGAUCAAGUACCUUGAAUUGACUUGAACUCAAGAUGACUUAAGCAGGAAAAAAAAAAACUAACUAGUAAAUUGGAAAUAUUCGAACCGAAAAUAACCCAAACAUCACAAACUCAAAACUGAUUUAAACUUGAAAUGACUCGGGCCCAAAACAACCCAAAGUUUUAAAAACUAAAUUGGAAUUAUUAAUCGAGCGAGUCUUAGUUCAAUCGACACAAUUACUAUUGCAAUAACUAGAAAGGCGUGGGUUUGAGUUUAAAGAUAAUGAGAGAUUAUAAAUAAAAAUACAUGAGUUUGAAAUAUUGACUUAUGAUUAUCAAAUCAGACAAAUUAAUUGAAUUGAACUUCCAGACUCGAAUCAAAAUUCACAAGAGAACAAAUUUGGGAAGAAGAAGUAGAUUAAAAAAAUGAGGAAGCAUAUGACAAAUGUUGAACAAAAUCAAGAUAACACGUACGUUUUCCUGAAUGAAUUUGGCCCAAAAUCUAGCUACGGAUCUCUCGUAAGCAUCUUUUGGCAACAAAGGAUUAUGUGGCCACACUUCAUCUAUAUAUUCCAAAAUAACCAAUGACUCUACAAUUGGCUUUCCUCCAUGAACGAGCACUGGGAUCUUUUUAUGAACUGGGUUGUACUGCAACAACAGAUCACUCUUAUUAUAAGGCAGAUCUUCUUCAAUGUAUUCAUAUUCCACACCUUUUAGCUUUAAUGCCCAAAUGACCCUUCUACUAAAAGGACUUGCCCAAAACCCAAAGAGCUUCACUUCAUCCAUGGUGUAGUGUUUUGGUCUCUGUUUUGUGGAGUAUUUACUUUCUUGGGUAACAAAACUUUUCUCACUUUUGCAAUUUAAUCCUUUCUUAAAUUAAUAUGUCAUAAUAUACUUCCCAAUGUUGUCAUAACUCAAAAUUCUCCUUUUUGUCACUUUAUUUACUUACUAUAUCAAAGAUAAUAUCUUACUGUAAAAAGUUUUGGGGUAUUACAAAAAUUGUACGAUGUUAAUUGUUGACACCAUUUUUUUGAUGAAACGGGGUCGACUUGGAUUUUACAAAAUAAAAACGAAAAUGGGAGUCGCCACCAAUCUUUUUUGAUAAGGUGUGAUCGGAUCACCUUAAAAAGGUUGUUUUCAAUAAACGAUUUGAUUUUAUUAAAACAACGAUUUUGGUCCACGAAAUUCAGAAAAACGGAUUUGGGAGUCGACUACGCACGAGGAAGGGUUAGCACCCUCGAUAUGCCCAAAAUUGGUACCUAGUCGAUUACUUAAUGUCUUGGUGUCGAAAAUUAAAAACUCGAAAAGAAUAUAUUCCAAAAUAACCAAUGACUCUGCAAUUGGCUUUCCUCCAUGAACGAGCACUGGGAUCUUUUUAUGAACUGGGUUGUACUGCAACAACAGAUCACUCUUAUUAUAAGGCAGAUCUUCUUCAAUGUAUUCAUAUUCCACACCUUUUAGCUUUAAUGCCCAAAUGACCCUUCUACUAAAAGGACUUGGCCAAAACCCAAAGAGCUUCACUUCAUCCAUGGUGUAGUGUCUUGGUCUUUGUUUUGUGAAGUAAACUAGGGGACAUUAUAUAAUUGUUUUAGGUGGGGGGAUUUGGACUGCUCUUGGUCAGCCUGUCUUGGUCUUUGUUUUGUGAAGUAAACUAGUGGCCAUUAUAUAAUUGUUUUAGGUGGGGGGAUUUGGACUGUUCUUGGUCAGCCUAAAUACAAUCGUCAUGGAUGAUGUAUCGCAAUUACUAAUACUAUGGCUUGCUGCAAAUCAUAUUUUGCUAAAUUCUCCAGUUAAAUUGUGCAUAUAUGCCGGGUUUGUUUUUUAAUUGGUCAAAUAGGUCGUUUUUUUCAAGAUUUAAGGAAAUAGGUUAAUUUUGGAGAGAGCGUAUAAAAGUGCGUCCGGUUGGACGAGCUUUUGCUGACACAUCAGGAAAACGUGCCGAGUUAGAAGCAUUUUCUAAAAAUUCCAAAGAAAGCUCAUCCAGCUUCUUGCCAACUGUGCAGCUGGCGUGCUUUUCAUACUCUCUCUCCAAAAUUGGUCUAGUUCCUUAAAUCUUCAAAAAAAUGACCUAUUUGACCAAUUAAAAAAACAACAGUAUAUAUGACUAAUUUAGCCAAAUUCUUCACUUUUAUUGACUGUAAUAAUAAUUUUUAAGUCCAUACAAUUACAUUUUUGUGAUUAUAAUUUAUACCAUGAAUUUAUUAAAAACUCUUAAUUUUCAUGAAAUGGUCAAUGUUAUUUUGAGAAUAUUUUUGUUUGGCUUAAUUGAAAGUGAGGUCCUUAAACUAUGUCCUUUGUUUGAGUGAAGUACUUAAAUUUUUUUUGGCCGAAUUAGAUACCUAAACUUUAUUUCGUACUCGAAAUUGGCCCCUUUUUUUACAUUCGUUAAAAAAAAUCAUUCCAACCAAUCAAAAAGUGUCAUGUCACUAUCUAAUUAAAAUAUAAAUAAAUAAAAAUGUUAUAUUAAUAUUAAAUAAAAAAGAUUACCUCCCAACUAAAAAUAUAUAAAAAGGAUCAUAGCAUCAUCCAAAAAAUAUUUAAAAAAGAUAUAAAUAAAAACAAACAGAAAUUGUAUAUAUUAAUAGACCUUGAUCAUCAAGCAAAAACGUCAACCUUCCAACUAAAAUCAACAGCACUUUUACUUUUAUAUAUAUGGCCCCCUCUUCCUUUACUUGUUUGAGAAAAUAUUCCAAGAGCCGCCAUAAAAUAUUCAGUAAAAUGGAGUGGGAGUGGGAGUGGGGUUGAGGUAAAAUAUUCACUAAGCUCAUUUCAAAUAUAAAACAAACCCAUAAACAUUUUAUACACCAAACACCCAAAAUUUUCUGAUAUCAAUUAAACUAAAACUCGAUAUUUUUCUGAUUCUUAUUACAAUCACCCAAAUUUCAAUUUUUUUUAUCUCUUGGAUUUUUUCAAAAAUCAUUGAAUGCUAUCAUUUUAUACACCAAACAAAACAUUAAUUAUUGGCAAAAUUUUUUUUUAUUGUUACAAACAUACAAUGCAUAAAAAAAAAGAAGUAAAAAUGCUGCAAGAAAAAGAACACUCAAGCCUUUUGCAUUAUUUCCCAAUUUUUAGUUCUUAAACGAUCAAAAGUACCUUCUUUCUUUCUUUUUUCUAGCUAUUCUGUUGAGAAUUCCUAUAAAAUUCUCUUCUUAUCUUCAAGAAAUCAACAACUUUAGUGUAAUCAGGGACAUUGUCUUUGAUCACAGGGUGUUCGCUGAAAUGCUUGACCCAAGCAUGCAGGCGUGGGAAGCUAUCGGCUUUAAUGAACUUAUACCCCACCACCUCUUCCAUAGGCGCCAACAUAUGAAUAACCAUUCCAAAAACAAGAUCAGCUAUGCCAAUUUGGUCACCCCCAAAGAAUUUUUUGUCUCGUAGACCAUGUUCUUCUAUUUUUCUCAGAAUUUCAGAGUAGCUCUCAAUUGCCUUUUGUUGUUCUUCACCGAAUUUUUGAAAGAAUCCCCACAUUGGUCCAGUCUGCAAGCAUAAUAUUAAUAGGUCAUUUUUAAGUUCAAAGUGGGCAAGUUUAGAUUCGCUAAAUCUAACCCAAACCCGACAAUUAUUCUAAAUAACCAAAUUCUAAAACAUAAAUGAGUUAACUUUUAAAUGAUCUAGACUCAAAAUGAUCUGAACAAGUAUCUCAAAAUAACAUGAAGUUCAGAUGACUCGACUAGAAAAAAUCUAAGUCAUAAGACCCCAAUUCAAAAUACCUGAAUCGAAAAUGUCUCAAGCCCAAACUCCAUCCAAAGUUGAAAUGACACAAGUAAAAGCAAAAAAAAAAAAAAUCUCGAAAACACAUACAUUUUCAUCAAUGAAUUUGGCCCAAAACUUGGCUUCAGAUUUCUCAUAAGCAUCUUUUGGCAACAAAGGAUUAUGUGGCCACACUUCAUCUAUGUAUUCCAAAAUAACCAAUGAUUCUGCAAUUGGCUUUCCGCCAUGAACCAGCACCGGAAUCUUCUUAUGAACUGGGUUGUACUGCAACAGCAACUCACUCUUAUUAAAGGGUAGAUCUUCCUCAAUGUAUUCAUAAUCUACACCUUUUAGCUUCAUAGCCCAAAUGACCCUUCGACUAUAAGGACUUGGCCAAAAUCCAAAGAGCUUCAAUUCAUCCAUGGUGUGUGAUGUUUGGUUUCUGUUCUGAAUUAGAUUAAAGGUGGCAUUAUAUCGUUGUUUUUGGGUGGCGGAUUUUGACUGUUCUUGGUCAGUCUAAAUGCAAUGUUCCAAUUUUUGCAAAGAGAUUGUCAACGAAUAAAGUACAAACUGUCUUUGUUUGAAAUUUGACCCAAUUAUUUGCGUCAUGGAUGAUGCAUCUCAAUCACCAUGCUUCCUGCAAUUUCUCUAUUAUAGUUAAACCACUCGAAAUGUUGAAGGGAAUAGAUGAAAGUACGAGUUUUUAAAAUAGGCUCAUUUAAAAUAUUAGUUAAACUUCGAACUUUAACAUUCGAUGUCUGAGUUUUUAAAAUAGGCUCAUUUAUAUAUUAUGUAAUUUAUAUCACGUGAAAUUAAAUAUAAAAUAAUAAAAUAUUGUGUAAUCAUUAAAAGCAUAUUAAUUUGUCCAAAUUUAUAAUUUUAAUGAAAGAAAUACUAGUUAAAAUAUUAAAUUAGAAUAAUAUUUAUUUUUUUUAAAGAUAAAUAUGAGCAAACUCAAAAUAGACUUGAAUUAGUCAUUUACAUAUAUAUAAAUUGGUCACCAACUCAAUUGAGAAAUGAUGGGCAAAUUGUGCUUCUUACUAUAUUAUUAUGUAUGUCUGUUUUAUGGUUUAUGUUUAGAGUUCGUGGCUGCCUCUUCUAACAAUGUUGCUUUAUGAUUUAUGUUUGGAAUUCAUGGCUGUCCCUUCUAACAAUGUUGUCUUCAAAAUUUGUACCUACGUUCUCCUUUUAAGAGUAUAAUAUACUUUACCAUUAGACCCAAUCAUUUAUUAAUGGGAUAAAUAGGUUUUAGCUCGCCUUAACUUAACCAAAAUCUUUACUUCCUAUCUUAACCUUGUUCUGAAUUCGAUCUUGUUUAAAUUUUUAUUGCUCAAACCUAAAGCAUAAAACAAAAAUUCUUUUUUACUCGAGCUGCUUUGAAAUAUUAAAUAAAUUUUUUUAUAUUACCUUAAUUUUUAUAAGGUUAAAAUAUAUAUAUUAUAAAAUCUCAUAAAAAUUAAAAUAUUUAGUUAAAAUCAUAUACAAAUAUUAAAAUGUUAUGUUUAAAGUUUGAUGAAUGUGUUUUUUUAAUUAUCUUCUACGUCAUAUAUGAGCUGUUAACACUUAACCUUUAAGUUGAUAGAAUGAUCUCAAACUACAUUUAACACUCAAAUUGUCUAUGUGAUAAAAUAGGUGAUAUUUGAAUUAGAUCAAAUCGAAAACCAAUCGAAGUAUCGAUUAAGAAGAAACCAAUUGGAAUUAGUACAAUAAAUCGGUAGCUUGAGUAAUUCAAAUUCUAAAAACCUUAAAUAAAGUACAUAAAUGUUCAAAUCCUCUCAAAUUCUUAAACCCUUAGAUUUUGUUUUAUUUAUUUGUAUGGGGAACAUUUAACACUUCCAUGGGAGAAAAUGCAAUCAAUAUUCCAAACCCUAACUCGAUUUUGAUGCCAGCAACAUUUCUCUCCAACGUUUCAACAACGCAAGCAUCUUAUCAGUAUCGGGCAAGUUGUCUUUGAUUACAGGGACUGAUUUUAAAUUUUGAAUCCACGAAUUCAAUCGAGGGAACUUGUGUGGUUCAAAGAUUUUAGGCCCUGCAAAGACUUCGACAACCCUGAGCCAGUGAGCAACCGAGCAAAAUGCAAUGUCCACCAUGUUUAUCUCGUCUCCGCCGAAGAAUUUUUUCCCUCCGAUCAAUGCGUGCUCUUCAAGGACUUCCAGCAUUUCAAAGUACUCCUUCGCUGCCUCCUGCUGUUCUUCGCCAUCGGUUCGAUAAAGCUUUGCGAUUAAAUGACUCUGUUUUAAACAAAGAUAUGGGUUCUUCAGUCAAAAGUUAUGUACGAUAAAAAAAUUACAAACAACAUGGUGCUAAAAUCUUAAUUUGAACUAACUUAAAAUAUGCUACAAGUCCUUAUACUCUUUAUACAUUUAAAAUUUAGUCCUUAAGAAAUUUAAUCCCACUACCUUUUUAAAUUUAAAAAUGUAAAUCAAAUCUUGAACACAAUUAUUUGGGUAAAUUACACCAGUAAUCACCCUAUGCUUUUUUUCUUUUUUAGUUAAAAGUGACAAGAGAACAAAUUUGGGAAGAAAAAGUAGAUUAAAAAAAAUGAGGAGGCAUAUGACAAAUAUUGAACAAAAUCAGGCUAACACAUACCUUUUCCUCAAUGAAUUUGGCCCAAAAUCUAGCUACGGAUCUCUCGUAAGCAUCUUUUGGCAACAAAGGAUUAUGUGGCCACACUUCAUCUAUAUAUUCCAAAAUAACCAAUGACUCUACAAUUGGCUUUCCUCCAUGAACGAGCACUGGGAUCUUUUUAUGAACUGGGUUGUACUGCAACAACAGAUCACUCUUAUUAUAAGGCAGAUCUUCUUCAAUGUAUUCAUAUUCCACACCUUUUAGCUUUAAUGCCCAAAUGACCCUUCUACUAAAAGGACUUGCCCAAAACCCAAAGAGCUUCACUUCAUCCAUGGUGUAGUGUUUUGGUCUCUGUUUUGUGAAGUAAACUACGGGCCAUUAUAUAAUUGUUUUGGGUGGGGGGAUUUGGACUGUUCUUGGUCAGCCUAAAUACAAUCGUCAUGGAUGAUGUAUCGCAAUUACUAAUACUAUGGCUUGCUGCAAAUUAUAUUUUGCCAGAUUCUCCAGUUAAAUUAUGCAUAUAUGCCGGUUUUUUUUAAUUAGUUAAAUAGGUCGUUUUUUUCAAGAUUUAAGGAAAUAGGUUAAUUUUGAUGAGAUUGUAUGAAAGUACUUGAUGAGAUUGUAUGAAAGUGCGUCCAGUUGUACGUGCUUUUGCUGACACGUCAGAAAAACGUGCCAGUUAAAAGGUUUUCUAAAAAUUCCAAAGAAAGCUCGUCCAGCUUCCUGGCAACUGUGCAGCUGGACACGUAUUUCAUACUCUCUCUCCAAAAUCGGUCGAGUUUCUUAAAUCUUCAAAAAAAUAACCUAUUUGACUAAUUAAAAAAAAAGGGGUAUAUAUGACUAAUUUAACCAAAUUCUUCACUUUUCUUGACUGUAAUAAUAAUUUUUAAGUCCAUACAAUUACAUUUUUGUGGUUAUAAUUUGUACCAUCAAUUUAUUAAAAACUCUUAAUUUUUAUAAAAUGGUCAAUAUUAUUUUGAGGAUAUUUUUGUUUGGCUUAAUUGAAAAUGAGGUCCUUAAACUAUGUCCUUUGUUGGAGUUAAGUACUUAAAACUUUUUUUGACCGAAUUAGAUACCUAAACUUUAUAUAUUUUUGAGGAUAUUUUUGUUUGGUUUCUGUUCUGAAUUAGAUUAAAGGUGGCAUUAUAUCGUUGUUUUUGGGUGGCGGAUUUUGACUGUUCUUGGUCAGUCUAAAUGCAAUGUUCCAAUUUUUGCAAAGAGAUUGUCAACGAAUAAAGUACAAACUGUCUUUGUUUGAAAUUUGACCCAAUUAUUUGCGUCAUGGAUGAUGUAUCUCAAUCACCAUGCUUCCUGCAAUUUCUCUAUUAUAGUUAAACCUCUUUAUAGGAUCUAUUUCUACAACGGUCCAAGUUUGAAAGUCCACUCGAAAUAUUGAAAGGAUUAGAUAAAAGUACGGGUUUUUAAAAUAGGCUAAGGUAAAGAAAAUAAGAUUCAUUUAAAAUAUUGGUUAAAUUUGAAUUUUAACUUUCGAUGUCUGAGUUGGGUCAGACUCGUUUUAUACUUUUGUAAUAUAUUUUUAUUUUAUUUUUAUAUAUUAUGUAAUUUAUAUCACAUGAAGCUAAAUAUAAACCAAUAAAAUAUUGUGCUUCUUACUAUUAUUAUGUAUGUCUGUUUUAUGGUUCAUAUUCAGAUUUCAUGAAUGCCUCUUCAAACAAUGUUGCUUUAUGAUUUAUGUUUAGAAUUCAUGGCUGUCCCUUCUAACAAUAUGAUCUUCAAGAUUCAAACUUGGGUUCUCCUUUUGAGAGUAUAAUAUACUUUACCAUUAAACCCAAUCACUUAAUGAUAGGAUAAAUAGGUUUUAACUCGCCUUAACUUAACCAAAAUUUUUACUUCCUAUCUUAACCUUGUUCUGAAUUCGAUCUUGUUUAAAUUUUUAUUGCACAAACCUAAUGCCUAAAAGAAAAAUUCUUUUUUACUCGAGCUGCUUUGAAAUAUUAAAUAAUUUUUUUAUAUUAGCUUAAUUUUUAUAAGGUUAAAAUAUAUAUUAUAAAAUCUCAUAAAAUUAAAAUAUUUAGGUAAAAUUAUACACAAAUAUUAAAAUGUUAUGUUUAAAGUUUGAUGAAUGUGUUUUAAAUAUCUUCUAUGUCAUAUAUGAGGUGUUAACACUUAACCUUCAAGUUGAUAGAAUGAUCUCAAACUACAUUUAACACUCAAAUUGUGUAUGUGAUAAAAUCGGUGAUAUUUGAAUUAGAUCAAAUCGAAAAUCAAUUGAGGUAUCGAUGAAGAGGAAACCAAUUGGAAUUGGUUCAAUAAAUUGGUAGCUUGAGUAAUUCAAAUUCUAAAAACCUUAAAUAAAGAACAAAAAUGUUCAAAUCCUCUCAAAUUCUUAAAACCUUAGAUUUUGUUUUAUUUAUUUGCAUGGGGAACAUUUAACACUUCCAUGGGAGAAAAUGCAAUCAAUAUUCCAAACCCUAACUCGAUUUUGAUGCCAGCAACAUUUCUCUCCGACGUUUCAACAACGCAAGCAUCUUAUCAGUAUCGGGUAAGUUGUCUUUGAUUACAGGGACUGAUUUGAAAUUUUGAAUCCACGAAUUCAAUCGAGGGAACUUGUGUGGUUCAAAGAUUUUAAGCCCUGCAAAGUCUUCGAUAACCCCGAGCCAGUGAGCAACCGAGCAAAAUGCAAUGUCCACCAUGUUUAUCUCGUCUCCGCCGAAGAAUUUUUUCCCUCCGAUCAGCGCGUGCUCUUCAAGGACUUCCAGCAUUUCAAAGCACUCCUUCGCUACCGCCUGCUGUUCUUCGCCGUCGGUUCGAAAAAGCUUUGAGAUUAAAGGACUCUGUUUUAAACAAAGAUGGGUUUUCCAGUCAAAAGUUAUGUACGAUAAAAAAAAUUACAAACAACACGGUGCUAAAAUCUUAAUUUGAACUAACUUAAAAUAUGCUACAAGUCCUUAUACUCUUUAUACAUUUAAAAUUUAGUCCUCAAGAAAUUUAAUCCCACUACCUUUUUAAACUUAAAAAUGUAAAUCAAAUCUUGAACACAAUUAUUUGGGUAAAUUACACCAGUAAUCACCCUAUGCUUUUUUUUCUUUUUUAGUUAAAAGUUACAAAAUGGUCACCCAAUUAAUAGUAAAUUUCUUUUUGCCCAUCCAACUAUGAAAAGUUAUAAAAUAAUCACUCAAUUAUUCAAUUUUGUCUUUUUUGGUCAACCAACUCUCUUGGAUUUUUAGGUGUUUCCACUUUUAUGUUAGUCAACUGGUGACCAAAACAAACAAAAUUGAAUAGUUGGAUGACCAUUUUAUAACUUUUUAUAGACAGGAAACCAAAAGAGAGAAAAAUAAAUCAUAGUUGGGUGAACUCUAGUGUUGUUUACCUAAUUUUGUUUGUUAUCAAGUUCAUGACAUCAUUUUUUUGUUACAUGACUAUCAAGUGAGUAAUAUUUUUUAUUUCAAAAUAUCAAAUCAAUAAAUUUAACAAAAAAAAUUAAAGGCGUUAGUAGUUGAAUGUUAAUUUUGAAAUAAAAAACGUAAAGUAAUUAAAUUUUUGAAAAUAAAAAUAAAUCAACUAAAUUCCAAAUAUAUGAAAAGUAAAAAGACUUAGAGCGUAUUUUAGCUUUUCAGCUAUCAUAAAAUAUUUAAUAUUGAAUUACAACACACUCACUCCAUUAUAGACCUAUUCAUGUGUCAACCCAACUCAACCCGUUUUUAAGUUUAUAAUAAAAUAUAUAAUACUACUCUAAUGUAAACAUUAAAUUAAUGUUAAGAUAACUAUAUGAAAAUUUUUAAUGAAUAAAAUAUAUAAAAAUAUUAAAUAUUAAAAUAAUAUAAUACAAAUAUUUUUAAAAAAAUUUAAAAAAUAAUAUGGACGGGUCUAAAAUGGGCUUGGGUUAAUCUUUUACAAAUUAUGAAUAGGCUCAAGCAAAAUUUUAAGCCCAUUUCGGGUUGAACCGAAGUUGAACAAAUAUAAAAUAUGUUAAUAUUAUAUUUAGACCCAGUCCAAACUCAACCCGGCUUGACCAUGAACACCUCUAUUCCGUUAAGAUGCCUACUUCAUAAGUGGAAUGACCGUAUCUUUAUCUUUUUAUAUUUUUAUAUAAAGUAUAUAAAAGGCAAUUUAGAUGUACUAAUGUAAAAUUUUCUUCAAAUGGUGUUUUCAUCUUCUUAUGUUAUUAUUAAUUAAAUAUAAUUUAGAUCUAUUAAAAAAUUCACAUCAAGACAUUACUAAUAAUAUUAUAAAAGUAUAAAAUUAAAUUAUGUCAAAAUUAAAAUAGAAUGACUAGAUCCGAAAUUUCAACAUAAUAAAGGGACACAAAUAUAAAUAAACCGCUCUCUUACCAUAUAGGUAUAGAUUAAUAAAUAUAAAAAUCAAUAAAUGGGAAAUCGUCUUAUGCAUCAAAUAAAUAAGGUUUAGCUGCAAAAUCGAUGCUUAAACUAUAUCAAUUUUCUCAUUUAGGUACCUAAAUUUUUUCAAAAAUAUACUUCAACUAUUAAUUUCAUUACAUUUUACCCAAAUAUUGUACGAUGUCAAAAAAACAUGGUACUGUGUUUUUUGGUAAAAUAAGAUAAAAUUAACAGUUUAAAUAUCAUUUUUGACCAAAAAAAAAACCCCUUAGACACCUAAGUGAGAAAUACGAUAUAGUUUGAGGGUUAUUUUUGUAUUUAAACCAAAAAAAAAAGAUUUUACCUUGUCAUCAGCAAAUUUGAUCCAAAACAGAGCAACGGCUCUCUCAUGGGGAUCAGCCGGCAGCAAGGGAUUUUGCGGCCAAAUUUCAUCGAUAUAUCGAAGGAUGACGGUGGAUUCGCAGAUGGGUUUGUCGUCGUGAAGGAGUACCGGGAUCUUCUUAUGAAUUGGAUUAUAUUGAAGAAGCAAAGGACUCUUGUUGGAGAGAUCUUCUUCGAUGUAUUCGUAAGCUAUGCCUUUGAGUUUCAGAGCCCAAAUUACUCUGUAACAGUACGGACUAAGCCAAGCUCCGAACAGUUUCACGACCGCCAUGGUUGGGAGAUUAGUCGAUUUUCUGGUAGAUUCUGAGAGCAGUGAGUGUAAAUUUAUAAUAGGUUUAGCAGCCAAAGCUUUCAGUAAGGUAAAGAUGGAAGUGUUAAUACAAGGAAUUAAAGAAAGUAUAUAGAAAUAAUUUUAUAUAAUAAUACAAGGUAAUGUCAUGCAUGAUGCAAUAUAAAGUAAUUUAAGAUGGAUGCCACUUGUCUCACCCCCAAUAUGUUACGUAGAGUUGAAAGAUAAAAUUCGAAGUUAAAAUUAAAUAUAAACAUUUUAAAUAUAAUAUUGACCAUCGUUAAAGAAUUUAUUAGCUUUGAAUUUCAUAUGAUAGCUUGAUAGUUAAAAGUGUUCAUCACCCCAAGUGUGGGGUAGAGUUCGAGUCGCGUUUGUUGUUUGGGUUUUACUUUAUUAUUAUAAUUCACAAAAAACAAAAAGGAAUCUAUAUUAGUGUUACAUGGGCUAAUGCGUUAUCUUAAUAGUGUUGUGUAAAGGUGUUUAUUUUACCAAAAGAAAAAUAGGAAAGGCAAAGGGUAGUUAGUAUUAGUACAUUUUGAGAAAGGACUAAAUUUUGAAAUUAAUUAAAUUAAAUAUAUAAUUAAAAAUUAUAUUGCAAUAGGUAUGAGGUUUUGGUAGAUGUGAUCUGGGUUCAAGCCACGCUGAUUGUGUUGCUGUUAGGACUUUGCUCUCCUCUUAUAAUUCACCAAAAAAAGAUCAUUUAUCUUUGAUGUUUUAGGAAACGUGUCAUCAUGUCGAGAGAGCAUUUGACUAUAAAAUUAUACCGUGCUGAUGUGUUGACAUGUAAUAAGUGAAAAAUAUUUUAGAAUUGUUUUAGAACUAACUGCUACUUAAAUUAUUCGAAAAUUCUAUUUUAUUAUAUAUUAUAUGUGUAUGUAAUAAGUGGAUGUAAUCAUACCCUUCCACCAUCAUAUUUUAAUAACAGUCAAUUAAUUCCAAGGUCCUCAAAUUAAUUAUUAAUUAAGUCCUCAGUCAUUUUUCUAAAUUAAAAUUUCAAAAGCGGUUGAAAUUUUAUAAAUUAGUCCCUGAACUUUAAUUAAUGAUUUUCUUGAUUAAAUUACUUAACCAUUCUUUAAUAUAUUUUCUUACUAACUUCAUAAACCUUUCUAUUCAUGAUUCCACUAACUCAAUUUACGGAAUUGAAUUUUAAAAUUAUAAUUUUUUGACAAUUUUUAAAAUCGGGUCAUUACAAGUUAAUUAAAAGAAUAAAUAAUAUUUUGGGCAUAUGAAAGAUAUUUACUGGGCUAAAAAAUUAUAUCAGUUAGUUUAAAGACAAGAUAACACAUAUAAUAGACUUAAUAAAUGAAAAGGCCCGAUAUAGGAGGGAGGGGUGGCAAACUAGUAUGGACCCAUUGAAAUUUUUUUAUUUUGAUUUUGAUAAUUUAUUUAAAUAAACUGAUCGAAAUUAUUGGACUAACAAAGCAGUGACUUGAUCAGUUCAAAUUUUGAAAACCUUCGAUAAAGAACACAAGUUUCCAAACCCUAAUUCGAUUUUGAUGUCAACAUCAUCUCUCUACCACGCUUCAAGAAAGUAGACAUCUUAUCGGCAUCAGGCAAGUUGUCUUUGAUUAUAGGACUUGAUUUGAAAUUUUGGAUCCACGAGCUCACUCGAGGGAACUUGUGUGGCUUAAAGAUUUCAAGCCCCAGUACGUCUUCGAGAAUCCCAAGCCAGUGAGCAACAAAGGAAAAUGCAAUGUCCACCAUGUUUAUCUCGUCUCCGCCGAAGAACUUUUUCACUCCUAUCAGCGCAUGUUCUUCCAUGACUUCCAACAUUUCCAACCACUCCUUUACUGCCGCCUGUUGUUCUUCGCCAUUGCCUCGAUAAAGCUUUGACAUUAAAAGACCCUGUUUUAAACAGAGAUAUGGGAUUUCUAGUAUCAGCCAUCAAAAGUUAUGUACGAUAAAAGAUUUUCAAAGAUUUCAACUAGGUUAAAAUAUGCUACAAAUCCUUGUACCCUUUGUAUGUUUAAAAUUUAGUCCUCCUAUUUUUGUUUUAAGAAAUUUAAUCCCAUUACUUUUAAAUUUAAAAAGGGUUAAAUCACUUCACGGGGUUUGAACCUAGCAACUACUCCCACAUUAGGGCAUGAACUUUUUUUUGGGUUCAAAUUAGUCCUUAAACUUGACAAUGAUUCUCACGGUAUGGCCUGAUAAAAGCUACUUAUCACUUAAUAAAGAAUAUAUUUAAUUAACUCAAUUUUAAUUAAUUUAUUUUAAUAUUAUGUUUUCCUAUAAAAACCUUAUGUUUAAAAUUUUAAUUACGGUUUAGAAUAAGGUAAAAUGUUUAAAAUUAAGAAUAAAAUGUAAAAUAUAAUUUUUUAUAAUUCAAAAUUUAUAUUUAUCAAACAAUAUAAUUAUAUUCCGUAAUUAAUUUUAAGUAAUGUAUCAAACAAAAUUUUAUAACUUAAAUUUGGUACUUAAAUUUUCAACCCUUAUUUUUUCUGCACUUAAUCUUUUAGUUUAUCAAAGAACACCUUAGCCCCUAUGUUUUCUUGAAAACCCUUAUAUCCAAGCCCCAACAUAGGAACAAUUACCUAGCCCAAGCACUAACAUGAGAACAAUUACCACGUUUAUGGACUAACUUGGACAAAAAAAGUUCAAGUCCCAAUGUGGGAACAAUUACCUAAUUCAAGCCUUAACAUGUGAUCCAAUGUGAGAACUGUUACCAAGUUCAGCCUCAAAUAAUGAUUUAACCCAUUUAAAAAUAUAAAUAUAACUGUAAACAUGAAUUUUUUUGGUUAAAUUAAAGUUCAUAACUCAUUUUUUUUGUUAUAUGACUACCAAAUGAAUAACUAUUUUUUUUAUUUCAAAAUAUCACACAAAAAAAUUUAAUAAAAAAAUUAACAUUGUUAACAAUUGAGUUCGGGUUUAGAGUAAAAAAUUACCAAUUUUAUAUGUCAAUGACAUGAAAAAAAUUACUGAAAUAUCAUUAAAUAAUUGGAAAUAGACAAUGGAUGAUGUGGUGGGAAGGGUCCAUAAAAUAGUUUCUCCCAAUACAACACUUAAUAAAUAAUUUUGGCUAUAAAUAUAGAUAAAUAAAUAUAAAUAUAAAAAAUCAAUAAACAGGAAAAUCGUCAUAUGGAUCAAAUAAAUAAAUAAAAGGUUUAAUUGCAAAAUUAGUGUCUAAACUAUAUCAAUUUUCUCAUUUUAAGUACCCAAAAUUUUUGGUAAAAAUAUACUUAAACUAUUAAUUUUGUUACAUUUUACCUAAAAAGUGCACGAUGGCGAUAAAACAUGCUACUGUAUUUUUGGCAAAAUAAGACAAAAUUAACCAUUUAAAAAUCAUUUUGCAAAGAAGAGAAAACAAACAUAACUCUUAGACACCUAAAUGAUAAAUACGAUAUAGUUGGAGGGUUAAUGUUGUAUUUAAUCCAAAAAAGAAAAGAACAGAUUUUACCUUGUCAUCUGCAAAUUUGAUCCAAAACAGAGCAACAGCUCUGUCAUAGGGAUCAGCCGGCAGCAAAGGAUUCUGCGGCCAAAUUUCAUCGAUAUAUUGAAGGAUAACGGUGGAUUCACAGAUCGGUUUUCCACCAUGAACGAGCACCGGGACUUGCUUAUGAAUUGGAUUAUAUUGAAGAAGCGAAGGACUCUUGUUGCGGACAUCUUCUUCAAUAUAUUCGUACAGUAUGCCUUUGAGUUUUAGAGCCCAAAUUACUCUGUGACCGUACGGACUAAACCAAGUUCCGAGCAAUUUCACGACCGCCAUGGUUGGGAGGUUAGUUCAGAGAUUCUGAGAGCGCUGAGUGCAAACUUAUAAUAGGAUUACUGGUCAAAGAUUUGUCUAAGAUUACUGGUCAAAGAUUUCAUGACAUAAUUCUAAAUUUCAUGAUAUAAAAAAGAGAAAUUGACAAAAAUUGUAGGCCCUAAAAGUUGGAAUCUGUCACUAAGACUUUUAUACGAAGAUGAAGUAUUAUAAAAGAUUUUAUAUAAUAAUAUAAGGUAAUGUCAUGCAUGAUGCAAUAUAAGGUAAGGUAGUCCAACCGAACAAUCCAAUCCUAUUUAAACACAAGUAAAAACCCCAUAUAUAAUUUUGAACCCAUAUAUAAUUGAAUAUAUAUGUUUUUUUUAUAAUUAAGGUAUCAUAUAUAUUUAUUUUACCCGUGUGUUGAUUUGAUGAUCAGGGUGUUCAUCGUCUCAGAUGUGAUUUGGUUUCAAGUCACACUAAUCGCGUUGCUGUUAGGACUUUACUCUCCUCUUAUAAUUCACUAAAAAAGAUAAUUUAUCUUUGACGUUUUAGCAAGCGUGUCAUCAUGUCUAGGGAGCAUUUCACUAUAAAAUCAAACCGUGCUAAUGUGUCGAUAUGUAAUAAGUGAAAAAUAUUUUAGAAUUGUUUUAGAACUAACUACUACUUAAAUUAAUCGAAAAUUCUAUUUUAUUAUAUAUUAUAUGUGUAUGUACGCUAACAAAUAUAAUAAACAAAAAUAAAAUAAAAUAAGAUGACUUCUUUUUUCAUGUUUCUUACUCGUUGAAUUCUGUAAUAAUUCAAUUUUUUGUAGUGCCGGAAAGUGAAAUAUCGACACUUUAUUUUCGUAAAUCAAAUUCGUAAAAAUUAUUAUUAAAUCACACCCAACAAUUUUGAGACCUUGAGAAUUUUUUUUUUAACUUUUGAAAUUUGCAUGUUAAAUAGUUGUUUCUUCAUGUGGGAGACGGUCAAAGUGGUAAAGGCAAGGAGCAAGGUUGUGCUUGUGACGGCAACUUGGGGAAGAUUUGGGUAAGUUUCCUUGAAAUUUACAGACUUAAUUGCCAGGUUGAAGUAAGCUAGUUGGUGACUUCAAUUAAGUUGUCUGAAUUUUAUGAAUAAACUCUGAAUUAGCUGCUGUUGAUUUUCGGUAUGUAGCAAAUAAAACGUGCUGGAAAUUUGAAGAAAUGGUUGUCCAAAAUGACUGUUGUUUUCAUAAUAUAUUUUGUCUGACAUAUGAAGAAAUGAUUGUCUAAAAUGGCUGCUAUUUCCAGAACUUAUUAUGUCUGACAUUUAAGAAAUGGUUGUCCAAAACGACCGUCGUUUUCGUAAUUUAUUAUUGUCUAAAAUGGCUGUUGUUCGGUUAUGGUGCGAGUUUAAUUCAUUUCUUUCUUGAAUGGUUGGUUGUAUUCUUAUUUUGGUAAGUAGGUGAAUAAAAUUUGAUUCGACUUUAAAAAUUUAAUAAAAAAUUUAAAAUUUAAAUUAAAUAGUUCGAAUUAAUCGAGUUAUUUGGAUCAACUCGAAUAAAAAAUCAAUUUUUUUGGUUUAAUUCGAAUAUGAACUCGAAUAUGAAUUACACAAUUCGAGUUAUUUGAAAAUCUAAAUAAAAAAUACAAAAUUACAUCAUUUUGAUAAAUAUUUACUUCGUCUAAAGUUAAAAGGCAAAAUUAAGUUGUUUUAAUAAAUAUUUUACCCAUCAGCCUUAUUUUCUUUCUCGAAUCCCCCACUUUCCCUUUUUUCUUUACUAAAAAUUAACCUAAAAGUUUAUAAUUCGUCUACUAGUUAAAUAAUCAGUCUAUGUAAACGCAAUAUUGAAUAUAAAUAAUAAGAUUCGUUAACUCGACUCAACUUGACUCGAAAUUUUUUUACUCAAUUCGACAAAAUUUUAAAAAAUACAAAUUAAAUUCGGUUGCUAAAAUAAUGCCCACCUCUACUGGUAAGUGUGAUGAAAGUUGAGAGAAAAGUUUUGAUGAUUGUUGUAAUACCCAAUUUUUCCCCGGGCCUGUUAAAAUAAUACAAAAACCAAAAUAUAAAUAAAGUCCAAAUAUUAGACAGUCCAUUGACAUAGUCCAAUUAAUUACACCAGCCCAUAUAGCCAAUAACCAAAAAAAAGCCCAAAGCUCCGACCCAAAUACAAUUGUUAACCUAAUUCUAGAAACCAUCCCGCCUUCCUCGCACGCCGCCAGCAGCCUCUCGCCAUAGCCACCCGCGUGCAUGCGCCCCUAGCUGUACCUGCAACUAGGGGUUGUGCCAAAUUCGGGUAAAAUCGAAAAAAUUCAGUUAACCGACCGAAUUCGGUUAAUUGGUCGAUUAACCAAAUUUUUUCGGUCGGGGGUCGGUUAAUUAUUUUUUGGUUAACGGUUAAUUCGGUUCGAAACUGGUCGGUUAACCGAAUUUUUUCGGUUUAAUCGAAAAAAUUAAUAAAUAAAAUUAUAAUAUAUAAAUAGGCCCACUAUUCACCUAAACCCAAUCCAAACCCAAGUAUUCAAUCCAACCCAAUUACCCAACUCAACCCAAUCAUAAAAAUUACAAAUAAUUUAAUAAAUAUAAAUAAAAUUCUAAAACUAAAACUAAAACUAAAACUAAAGUCUAAAAGUCUAAAAAAAAUUAAUUAUGUAGUGAUUCAAUUCGGUUAAUUCGGGUAAUUCGGUUAAUUUUUAACCAAAAAUAAAAGACAUAUUGUCGAAACCAUUUUUCCCCCUUUCUCUUUUGCCCUUUUCUCUGUUAUUCUAGUGCUCCCUUCUGUUACCGUUGUUGGUGGUUCAUUGCAGGUGCAUACUGGAAGAGAACGUGCGCGGCGUGCAACGUGCGGAUGGGCGAGAGACGUGUGGACGAGUGGUGCGAUCUGCGGCGCUGAGGAAGGGAAAAAAAACUGCUGCUAGGGUUCCUAUUUUCUGCUCCUGUUCAAUAUUUUGGGCUAGUGGGUUAGGGUUUGGUGUAUUGGGUCAUUGGGCUUUAGGAUUUUGGGCCCCGGGAAAUAAUUGGGUAUUACACAUAUAAUUUUCGAUUAAUUCGGAUAACCGACCGAAUUAACUGAAAAAUUUCGGUUCGGUUAAUUUUUUUGAAAAAAAUUUCGGUUCGGUUAACGGUUAAAAAUUUUGAAAGGUCGGUUAAUUCGGUUAAUAUUAUUUUGGGUUGGUUAACCGAACGAACACCCCUACCUGCAACAGCAAAUAGCAAACAAUACCAACAAAACAGUAACAGCAAAAUAGAAUAACAGAAAAGGGAAUAACAAAAUAUAGGAAAUGUAUUUCUUUGUUUAUUUUUAUUUUAUUAUUAUUUUUCUAUUUCAUUUUUCGGCUAUAAAAGAGCCGAUUCAAGCACUGUAAAAGGAGACGCAUUCAAAGAAAAAGAAACAGAAUCAUCAAAAAAAGAAGAAUAGAGUUUUUUUUUUCUAAAGGUUUUUUUUUUCGAUUUCAAUUUAUUUUCCUUGUUUCAUUUGAUUGGCUUUGAUUAUAAGCUAAAAGAGGAAGAGAAGAAGCGUCUUACCAGAGCGGGCGUCAUUGGAACCUGGUUUGCUCUGUCUGAAUCGGAGUCAGAUCGGGUUCGUGACUGGAGACCGGCGGGGAGAAAGGCUAGGUUGUUGGUAUGUUUUAGGAUAGCAAAACAACUUAUUAGGGUUUUAUUUUUUAGUUUUUUAAAGAUAAAAAAACGGUGCCGUUUAAGCCCGAUUUGAUGGCUUCAAAACGACACCGUGUUGACUAACACCCGAUGACCCGACCCAAACGAGGUGGGAUCCGCGCGUUUUGAGUCUGUUUGGAUUUUUGCACAUCAGAUCCCUCUGUUUUGCGUUUUGGUUCAAUCUAAUCCUUUUGUUUUUUUAAUUUUGGCCACCUAUUUCUUUGUAAAUGCCAUUUGGUCCGUGAUGAAACGCCACGUUUUGGGGGAUGGGAUAUUUUCUCAUUUAAUCCCUAUGUAACUCGCGCGUUUUUUCUUUGGCCCUCACUGAUAUAGUAUUUUCAUUUUUCUCUCUUAAUUUUGUAUUAAAUACAUUUUAGCCCACAUUUUUUAGUCUAAAAAUGCAUUAAUUAUUUAAAUUUGUUAUGGAUUAUUAUUUUAAGUUAGUCAUGUAUAUUUUAAUUCAUUAUGAAUAUUUUAAAUGUAUCAUACAUCAUUAUUUUUAAAUCUAUUAUGUAUGCAUAUUUUAAUUGUAUUAUGUAUAAUUAUUUUAAAAUUCAUAUUUAUAUUGUUAUUUUCUUAAUGUUAUUAUAGUAUCAUAAGUUUAGCAUGUACCAUUAUUUUAAGUUUUUAUAUUACUAUUGAAUAUAUUACUAUUUAGUUUAGUCAUGAAUAUUUUUUUUUAUUUUAAUUCAAUAAAAUCUAUACCAAAUUGAUUUCAUUUUAUAAUUCAUUUUUAGUUCUUUCAUAUACUUUUAUCUUUAAAUUUGUAUGGUAACAUUCUAUAAUGUAAUUUCAUAUAUAUAUAUAUACAUACAAUUUAUAUUAAAUUAUUAUUUUGUAUACAUAUAUGUACAUAUAUAUAGUAUAUUAUUUAAUUUUGGAACUGUAUAUUUCUAUAUAUACAUAGAUAUUUUAUUUCUUCCUAAUAUAUUUAGUUUAUUUCACAUUUUUGUAUAUUUGUAUAUUAUCACUUGCAUGAAAUUCCAAACCCUAUGUAUUAUUUAUUUAAAAAUUAAUUUAUAUUUUUUAUGCUUUAUUUUUCCCUUGUGUAAAAUUUGCUUCAAAAUUCAUCUAAACACCAUUAGUUAAUGUUUUUUUUUUUUUGCAAAUUUGUUUUAAACUUAUGUAUAUGUUUUUAAUUUUUGAAUGUAUAUUGAUUGCAAUUUGUUCUUUUGUACAUUUAGCAAAUAAAUUGACAAUUCAUUUGGUUUUGGAAUAUUGAUUUUAUUAGCGUUUGCAUAAUAUGUGAUUGUGAUUAUUGUUGCUAUGUGAAUUAUUGGGUUCGUCUUUAUUUACUGUUUAUUUGAUUAGUGCAAGUUUGUUUACAAAUUGUCUUUUUUUUUUUUUGGCGUUGUACAUAAACAUUCAAUUAUACUACAUUUGUUUUAAAAAUUGUGUUUCAUUAGAGCACUAAAAUCAUUCUAUUCUGUGAAUUUUCAAAAAUGCUCGGUGUUCACGAUUCUCGAGAGGAUUGUGCCCUAACUUACUGGGCUUCAAUUGUUUUCUAUGAAUUUAGAUAGCCAAGUAUUUAUUUUCCAAUAAAACCAUACAAUUUCAAAAUAAAGUUUUUCCGGGAUUUCAAAAUGUUGAAUCCUAACUCAUUGGAUAUGACAUUUUGCUACCUCGAAUUAAGGAUUUUUAAAAUAAAGGAAUAUUCGAUGUUUAGGAAUUUCGAGAAAUUGAAUCCUAACUUACUGGGUUCUGAUUUUUUUCGUUUGACCCAAAUAGCCAAAUAUCCUUCUCAAAAUGCACAAGUUUUAAAAGUUAAAAAGAUAAACUUAAUUUUGAAGAUUAAAAAUGUUACACUCUAACUCACUAAGUGUGACAAUUUAUUUCUUUGAAAUGAGUGUGUCUUAUCAUUCAAUUCGUUUUAUUCAAAUUUUCUUUUCAAAGGAUCGUAUUUUAAAACCUUUUUAAAUUUUCAACACUAAGACAUCAAAUAAUCAAUUCGGUACCAAUUUUGGGCGUUACGAGGGUGCUAACCCUUCCUCAUGCGUAACCAACUCCCGAACCUAUUUUCUCAAAUUUCGAAGACCAAAAUCGUUUUUAAUGCGAGCCGAUCACACCUCAAUAAAGGAUUGGUGGCGACUCCAAUUUUCGUUUCUAAGUCGACAACUAAAUUUUGUUUUCAAAAAGUGGUUUUGACAAUUGUCAGUUGUUGAGUGAGCUGUCGUGACAUGCAAAACCCAUGCAUGUAGUCCGAAUAAGACUUACUGUUAUGAAAAUAAUGUCCUGCUGGAGUUGUUUAAAUAUGAAUGUCCUAUGCUGCAAUUAAAAGAUGUCAUAGUGUUGUAUCGUGUUUAAAAUGUGAGUAUUUAUGUUGUCUUAAAACAUUAUCUGUGUGGAUUAAUUACUGUAAUUUAAACCGUCUUAAUAAUGAAAUUGUGAUAUCUUAAAGCAGUAAAUUGUGGUUAAAAUGUAUAACUCUGGGAGUAAAUCGAGUUUUAUUUGUGGAAUGACAUGUUAUUUUAGAAGUACAAAUUGAGUGUCGCUAAUGGUGAGUUCUUUCAGUUUUUAUCGAUUUAUGUGUAAUGUUUAAUUCAAUUUUUGAGUUUACAGGUCGGGAAUUUGAAGAUGAUUAUGUGACAACCAGUUGAUAUGAUUACAAAUGUGAUAUGAAAAGAUUAUAUUCAUAAUAUAAGUUGACAUAUUAAACUGCCUACGAACUUUUGAUUUUUAUUUAUGUCCUCACAUAAUUUACAUAAUAAACCAGAUUUUACCUUGUCGUCUGCAAAUUUGAUCCAAAACAGAGCAACAGCUCUGUCAUAGGGAUCAGCCGGCAGCAAGGGAUUCUGCGACCAAAUUUCAUCGAUAUAUUGAAGGAUGACGGUGGAUUCACAAAUCGGUUUUCCGUCAUGAACGAGCACCGGGACUUUCUCAUGAAUUGGAUUAUAUUGAAGAAGCAAAGGACUCUUGUUGCGGAGAUCUUCGUCAAUAUAUUCGUAAGGUAUGCCUUUGAGUUUCAGAGCCCAAAUUACUCUGUAACCGUACGGGCUAAAGAAAGCUCCGAACAAUUUCACGACCACCAUGGUUGGGAGAUUAGGUCAGAGAUUUUGAGAGCGCUGAGUGCAAAUUUAUAAUAGGAUUACUGGUCAAAGAUUUGCCUAAGGUUUAUAAUAGGAUUACUGGUCAAAGAUUUGUAGACAAAAGAGAAAUCGACAAAAAUUGUAGACCCUAAAAGUUAGAAUUUGUCACUAAGACUUUUUUAUAUAAAAGAUUUUAUAUAAUAAUAUAAGGUAAUGUGAUGCAUGAUGCAUCUUUAUUAAUUGUUUUUUUAAUUUGAAUAAAUGUUUUUAGAAAUAAAUUAGUGGUUGGUUGAAUUGAUUAGGUCAUUAGUUCGUCGAUUUGAUAAGUUCAAUAAAGAUAUAAUAAUAAAUUCAUAAAAAAAAUUAUGAAAUACAGUUCAACCGUCAAUUUAAUUGAUUUUUUAACCGGUUCAAUCGAUUCAAUGUUUUUUUUCGAAUCUAUAUUUCAACCUGUUUCCAGUUCAACCGAACAAUCCAAUCAUAUAUAAACACAAGUAAACACCCCAUAUAUAAUUGAAUAUAUAUGCUUUUUUAUAAUUAAGGUAUCAUAUAUAUUUAUUUUACGUGCGUGUUGAUUUGAUGAUUAGGGUGUUUACCGUCUCAGAUGUGAUCUUGGUUCAAGCCACGCUAAUCGUGUUGCUGUUAGGACUUUGCUCUCCUCUAAAUCACACCCAACAAUUUUGAGACCUUGAGAAUGUUUUUUUUUUUUUACUUUAGAAAUUUGCAUGUCAAAUAGUUGUUUCUUCAUGUGGAAGACGGUCAAAGUGGUAAAGGGAAGGAGCAAGCUUGCGCUUGCGACAGCAACUUGGGGAAGAUUUCGUUAAGUUUCCUUGAAAUCUACACACUGACUCGUUUACUUAAUUGCCAGAUUGAAGUAAACUGGUUGCUGACUUCAAUUAAGUUAUCUGAAUUUUAUGAAUAAACUGUGAAUUAGCUGCUGUUGGAAAUUUGAAGAAAUGGUUGUCCAAAAUCACUGUUGUUUUCAUCUGACAUAUGAAGAAAUGAUUGUCUAAAAUGGCUGCUGUUUCCAGAACUUAUUAUAUCUGAUAUUUAAGAAAUGGUUGUCCAAAAUAACCCUUUUUUUUCAUAAUUUAUAUUUUCAUACUAACUUCAUAAACCUUUCUAUUCAUGAUUCCACUAACUCAAUUUACGGAAAUGGAUUUCAAAAUUGUAUUUUUUUCGACAAUGUAUAAAAUCGGGUCAUUACAAGUAAAUUAAAAGAAUAAAUAAUAUUUUGGGCAAAUGAAAGAUAUUUAUUGUGCUAAAAAACUAUAUUAGUUAGUUUAGAGACAAGAUAACACAUAUAAUUGACUUAAUAAAUGAAAAGGCCGAUAUAGGAGGGAGGGGCGGCAAACUAGUAUGGACCCAUUGAAUUUUUUUAUUUUUAUUUUGAUAAUUUAUUUAAACAAACUGAUCGAAAUUAUUGGACUAACAAAGCAGUGACUUGAUCAGUUCGAACUUUGAAAACCUUCAAUAAAGAACACAAGUGUCCAAACCCUAAUUCGAUUUUGAUGUCAACAUCAUCUCUCUACCAUGCUUCAAGAAAGUAGACAUCUUAUCGGUAUCAGGAAAGUUGUCUUUGAUUACAGGGAUUGAUUUGAAAUUUUGGAUCCACGAGCUCACUCGAGGGAACUUGUGUGGCUCACAGAUUUCAAGCCCUAGUAUGUCUUCGAGAACCCCAAGCCAGAUAGCAACAAAGGAAAAUGCAAUGUCCACCAUGUUUAUCUCGUCUCCGCCGAAUAACUUUUUCACUCCGAUCAGCGCAUGUUCUUCCAUGACUUCCAACAUUUCCAACCACUCUUUCACUGCUGCCUGUUGUUCUUCGCCAUUGGCUCGAUAAAGCUUUAACAUUAAAUAACCCUGUUUUAAACAGAGAUAUGGGAUUUCUAGUAUGAGGCAUCAAAAGUUAUGUACAAUAAAAGAUUUUCAAAGAUUUCAACUAGGUUAAAAUAUGCUACAGAUCCUUUUAUUCUUUGUAUGUUUAAAAUUUAGUCCUCCUAUUUUUGUUUUAAGAAAUUUAAUCCCAUUACUUUUAAAUUUAAAAAGGGUUAAAUCACUUCACGGGGUUUGAACUUAGCAAGUACUCCCACAUUAGGGCAUGAACUUUUUUUUUGUUCAAAUUAGUCCUUAAACUUGACAAUUAUUCUCACGGUAUGGCCUGAUAAAAGUUACUUAUCACUUAAUAAAUAAUAUUUUUAAUUAACUCAAUUUUAAUUUAUUUAUUUUAAUAUUACGUUAUCCUAUAAAAACCUUAUGUUUAAAAUUUUAAUUAUGGUUUAGAAUAAGGUAAAAUGUUUAAAAAAUAAGAAUAAAAUGUAAAAUAUAUUUUUUUUAUAAUUCAAGAUCUAUAUUUAUCAAACAAUAUAAUUAUAUUCCGUAAUUAAUUUUAAGUAAUGUAUCAAACAAAUUUUAUAACUUAAAUUCGGCACGUAAAUUUUCAAUACUUAAUUUUUCAACCCUUAUUUUUUCUGCACUUUAUCUUUUAGUUUAUCAAAGAACACCUUAGUCCCUAUAUUUUCUUGAAAACCCUAAUAAGCCCCAACAUCGGAACAAUUGCCUAGUCCAAGCACUAGCAUGAGAACAAUUACCACAUUUAGGGACUAACUUGGACAAAAAAAAGUUCAAGCCUCAAUGUAGGAACAAUUACCUAAUUCAAGCCUUAACAUGUGACCCAAUAUGAGAAUUGUUGCCAAGUUCAGGCCUCAAAUAAUGAUUUAACCCAUUUAAAAAUGUAAAUAUAAUCGUAAACAUGAUUUUUUUGGAUUAAAUUCAAGUUCAUAACUCAUUUUUUUCGUUAUAUGACUACCAAAUGAAUAACUAUUUUUUUUAUUUCAAAAUAUCAUACCAAAAAAUUUAAUAAAAAAAUUAACUGUGUUGACAAUUGAGUUCGGGUUUAGAGUAAAAAAAUUACCAAUUUUAUAUGUCAAUGACAUGAAAAAAUUACUAAAAAUAUUAUUAAAUAAUUAGAAAUAGACAAUGGAUGAGGUGGUGGGAAGGGUCCAUAAAAUAGUUUCUCCCAAUACAACAUUUAAUAAAUAAUUUUGGCUAUAAAUAUAAAUAUAAAAAAUCAGUAAACGGGAAAAUCGUCAUAUGCAUCAAAUAAAUAAAUAAAAGGUUUAAUUGCAAAAUUAGUGUCUAAACUAUAUCAAUUUUCUCAUUUUAAGUACCUAAAAGUUUUGGUAAAAAUAUUCUUAAACUAUUAAUUUUAUUACAUUUUACCUAAAAAGUGCACGAUGGCAAUAAAACAUGCUACUGUAUUUUUGGUAAAAUAAGACAAAAUUAACCAUAUAAAAAUCAUUUUGCAAAGAAGAGAAAAAAAAUUAACUCUUAGACACCUAAGUGAUAAAUACGAUAUAGUUGGAGGGUUAAUUUUGUAUUUAAUCCAAAAAAGAAAAGAACAGAUUUGACCUUGUCAUCUGCAAAUUUGAUCCAAAACAGAGCAACAGCUCUGUCAUAGGGAUCAGCCGGCAGCAAGAGAUUCUGCGGCCAAAUUUCAUCGAUAUAUUGAAGGAUGACGGUGGAUUCACAGAUCGGUUUUCCGUCAUGAACGAGCACCGGGACUUGCUUAUGAAUUGGAUUAUAUUGAAGAAGCAAAGGACUCUUGUUGCGGAGAUCUUCGUCAAUAUAUUCGUAAGGUAUGCCUUUGAGUUUCAGAGCCCAAAUUACUCUGUAACCGUACGGGCUAAAAAAAGAUCCGAACAAUUUCAGGACCGCCAUGGUUGGGAGAUUAGUUCAGAGAUUCUGAGAGCGCUGAGUGCAAAUUUAUAAUAGGAUUACUGGUCAAAGAUUUGUCUAAGGUAACGAUGGUGACUGUUUUUUUUCAUGACAUAAAAAAGAGAAAUUGACAAAAAUUGUAGGCCCUAAGAGUUAGAAUUUGUCACUAUAACUUUUUUAUACAAAGAUGAAGUAUUAUAAAAGAUUUUAUAUAAUAAUAUCAUGCAUGAUGCUAUAUAAGAUUUUAUAAAAUAUUUUAUAUAAUAAUAUAAGGUAAUGUGAUGCAUGAUGCAUCUUUAUUAAUUGUUUUUUUUAAUUUGAAUAAAUGUUUUUAGAAAUAAAUUAGUGGUUAGUUGAAUUGAUUAGGUCAUUAGUUCGUCGAUUUAAUAAGUUCGAUAAAGAUAUAAUAAUAAAUUCAUAAAAAAUAAUAUUUAAGAAAUCCAGUUCAACCGUCAAUUUAAUUGAUUUUAUAACCGGUUCAAUCGAUUCGAUGUUUUUUUUUUUGAAUCUAUAUUUCGACCUGUUUCCAGUUCAACCGAACAAUCUAUCCUAUUUAAACACAAGUAAACACCCCAAUAUAAUUGAAUAUAUAUGUUUUUUUAUAAUUAAUGUACCAUAUAUAUUAAUUUUACCCAUGUGUUGAUUUGAUGAUCAGGGUGUUCACCGUCUCAGAUGUGAUCUGGGUUCAAGUCACGCUAAUCGCGUUGCUGUUUAGAACUUUGCUCUCCUCUUAUAAUUCGCCAAAAAAAGAUCAUUUAUCUUUGAUGUUUUAGCAAACGUGUCAUCAUGUCGAGGGAGCAUUUGACUAUAAAAUCAAACCGUGCUAAUGUGUCGUCGAUAUGUAAUAAGAGAAAAUUAUUUUAGAAUUGUUUUAGAAGUAACUACUACUUAAAUUAUUCGAAAAUUCUAUUUUAUUAUAUAUUAUAUGUAUAUGUAUGCUAACAUAUAUAAUAAACAAAAAUAAAUUAAAAUAAGAUUACUUCUUUUUUAUGCUUCUUACUCGUUGAAUUCUGUAAUAAUCCGAUUUUUUGUAGUGUUGGAAAGUAAAAUAUCGACACGUCAUUUCUAUAAAUCAAAUUCGUAAAAUUCAUUAUUAAAUCACACCCAACAAGUUUGAGACCUUAAGAACUUUUGAAAUUUGCAUGUUAAAUAGUUGUUUCUUCAUGUGGGAGACGGUGAAAGUGGUAAAGGCAAGGAGCAAGGUUGUGCUUGUGACAGCAACUUGGGGAAGAUUUCGGUAAGUUUCCUUGAAAUUUACACACUGACUCGUUUACUUAAUUGCCAGGUUGAAGUAAUUAAACUAAUUGGUGACUUCAAUUAAGUUUUCUGAAUUUUAUGAAUAAACUGUGAAUUAGCUGCUGUUGAUUUUCGGUAUGUAGCAAAUCAAACGUGUUGGAAAUAAAUGAGUACUGUUGUUUUCAUCUGACAUAUGAAGAAAUGAUUGUCUAAAAUGGCUGCUGUUUCCAGAACUUAUUAUAUCUGAUAUUUAAGAAAUGGUUGUCCUUAAUGACCGUUGUUUUCAUAAUUUAUUAUGUCUGACAUACGAAGAAAUGGUUGUCUAAAAUAGCUGUUGUAUUAUGUGUGAGUUUAAUUCAUUUCUUCUGAAUAAAAUUCGAUUCGUUUUAAAAUUUUGAUAAAAAAUUAAAAAUUUAAAUUAAAUAGUUUUAAUUAAUCGAAUUAUUUGGAUCAACUCGAAUAAAAAAAUUUAAAUUUUUGGUUUAAUUCGAAUAUGAACUCAAAUAUGAAUUACACAAUUCGAGUUAUUUGAAAAUUUAAAUAAAAAAUACAAAAUUACGUCAUUUUGAUAAAUAUUUACUUCCUCUAAAGUUAAAAGAUAAAAUUACAUUGUUUUGAUAAAUAUUUACCCAUCAGCCUUAUUUUCUUUCUCAUGUGAUAUGAUUACAAAUGUGAUAUGAAAGGAUUAUAUUCUUAUAAUAUAAGUUAACAUAUUAAAUUUGCUUACGAACUUUUGUUUUGUAUUUAUAUCCUCAAAUAAUUUGUGUUUUGUUAUAAUAUUAGUUAUAGAAAUCUCACUGAGUUGAUUACUCAGCAUUCGGUUUGCUUUCUGUGCGCAGGUUAGGUUCAAUUGUGUGCACUCAUUGUUAUCAGCAUCCAGCAGAAAAUCGAGUUGGUGAAACUCUUACUAUUUUGGUUGGCAUGUACCUAUAGGUUUUUAUGUUAUAUUAAGCUUAGUUAGAGAAUUAUUUCAUACUUUGAGACGUAUAGAUAGACAAGUUAAUUAAUAACUUUGAAUUAUCUUACUAUAAACAAGGAAUCACUCGAAAAUUAAUUAAUGACUAUGAAUUAUUAUUUUAUUAAAUAAUUGAAUUUUGAGGUGAAAUUUUAUUACUAUUUCAUCGUGACAAGUUAAUUAAAUUAAUUUGUUCAUAGAUUUUUAUCGAUAAAGUUGUCAUGAGUUUAACGAAAUUAGAAUUGAGUUGAAAAAAUAAUUUAGUUAAUUUAAUUAAUUAAAAGAAUAAAAAAUAUUUCGAGCAUAAAAAAUAUUUAUUGGAAUAAAAAUUAUAUGAGUUGGUUUAAAAACAAAACAACCCAUAUAAUUAACCCGAUAAAUAAAAAAUGCCCAAAUAGACCCGAUAUAGGAGGGAGGGGAUGCAAACCAGUAUAGACCCAUUGAACUAGAUUUUUAUUGUUUUUUAAUCUUGAUGAUUUAUUUAAACGAACUAGACAGACCAAUUGAAACUAUUAGACCAACAAAUCAAUAACUUGUUAUGUUUGAAUUCUGAAAACGUUCGAUAAAGAACAUAAGUGUUCAGAUCCUCUCAAAUAUCGGAUUACAUCUUCAACCUUAUGUGGAACAUUUAACACUUCCAUGGGAGAAAAUACAAUCAAUGUUCCAAACCCUAAUUCGAUUUUGAUGUGAACAACAUCUCUUUACGACGCUUCAAGUAAGCAACACAAGUAAACACCCCAAUAUAAUUGAAUAUAUAUGUUUUUUUUUAUAAUUAAUGUAUCAUAUAUAUUAAUUUUACCCAUGUGUUGAUUUGAUGAUCAGGGUGUUCACCGUCUCAGAUGUGAUCUGCGUUCAAGUCACGCUAAUCGCAUUGCUGUUAGGACUUUGCUCUCCCCUUAUAAAAAAAAAGAUCAUUUAUCUUUGAUGUUUUAGCAAACGUGUCAUCAUGUCGAGGGAGCAUUUGACUAUAAAAUCAAACCGUGCUAAUGUGUCGUCGAUAUGUAAUAAGAGAAAAAUAUUUUAGAAUUGUUUUAGAACUAACUACUACUUAAAUUAUUCGAAAAUUCUAUUUUAUUAUAUAUUAUAUGUGUAUGUAUGCUAACAUAUAGAAUAAACAAAAAUAAAAUAAAAUAAGAUUACUUCUUUUUUCAUGUUUCUUACUCGUUGAAUUCUGUAAUAAUCCGAUUUUUUGUAGUGUUGGAAAGUGAAAUAUCGACACUUCAUUUCCGUAAAUCAAAUUCGUAAAAUUCAUUAUUAAAUCACACCCAACAAGUUUGAGACCUUAAGAAUUUUUUUAAAAAACUUUUGAAAUUUGCAUGUUAAAUAGUUGUUUCUUCAUGUGGGAGACGGUCAAAGUGGUAAAGUCAAGGAGCAAGCUUGUGCUUGUGACGGUCAAAUUCAUGUUUCCUUGAAAUUUAUACACUUACUCCUUUACUUAAUUCCCAGGUUGAAGUAAACUAGUUGGUGACUUCAAUUAAGUUGUCUGAAUUUUAUGAAUAAACUGUGAAUUAGCUGCUGUUGACUUCGGUAUGUAGCAAAGAAAACGUGUUGGAUAAAUGAAGAAAUGGUUGUCCAAAAUGACUGUUGUUUUCAUAAUAUAUUUUGUCUGACAUAUGAAGAUAUGAUUGUCUAAAAUGGCUGCUGUUUCCAGAACUUAUUAUGUCUGACAUUUAAGAAAUGGUUGUCCAAAACGGCCGUUGUUUUCAUAAUUUCCGACAUAUGAAGAAAUGGUUGUCUAAAAUGGCUGUUGUUCGGUUAUGGUGUGAGUUUAAUUCAUUUCUUUCUUCAAUAGUUGGUUGUAUUCUUAUGUUGGUAAGUGGGGUGAAUAAAAUUCAAUUCGAUUUUAAAAAUUUGAUAAAAAAUUUAAAUUUUAAAUUAAUCGAGUUAUUUGCAUCAACUCGAAUAAAAAAUCAAUUUUUUUGGUUUAAUUCGAAUAUGAACUCGAAUAUGAACUCGAAUAUUACACAAUUUCGAGUUAUCUGAAAAUCUAAAUAAAAAAUACAAAAUUACGUUGUUUUGAUAAAUAUUUACUCCCUUCAAAGUUAAAAGGUAAAAUUACGUUGUUUUAAUAAAUAUUUACCCAUCAUCCUUAUUUUCUUUCUCAAAUCCCCCACUUUCCCUUUUUCCUUUACUCAAAAGUAACUUAAAAGCUUGUACUUCAUCUAUUAGUUGAAUAAUCAGUCCAUGUAAACGCAAUAUUGAGUAUAAAUAAUAGGAUUCAUUAACUAGACUCGAAUUUUUUUUACUCGAUUCAUCUCAAUUUAAAAAAAAUACUAAUUGAGUUCAGUUGCUAAAAUAGUAUUUAUCAACUUGACUAACUUUUUUUUUUUUUACUCUAUUGAAUGCUCACCUCUACUGGUAAGUGGGAUCAAAAUUGAAGGAAAAGUUUUAAUGAUUGUCAGUUGUUGAGUGAGCUGUCGUUACAUGCAAAACCCAUGCAUGCUGUCCGAAUAUGACUUAUUGUUAUGAAAUUAAUGUCCUGCCGGAGUUGAUUAAAUAUUAAUGUCCUAUGCUGCAAUUAAAAGAUGUCAUAGUGCUGUAUCGUGUUUAAAAUCUGAGUAUUUAUGUUGUCUUAAAACAUUAUCUGUAUGGAUUAAUUACUGUAAUUUAAACCGUUUUAAUAAUGAAAUCGUGAUAUCUUAAAGCACAAAUUGUGGUUAAAAUGUAUAAAUCUGGGAGUAAAUCGAGUUUUAUUUGUGGAAUGACAUGUUAUUUUAGAAGUACAAAUUGAGUGUUGCUAAUGGUGAGUUCUUUCAGUUUUUAUCAAUUUAUAUGUAAUGUUUAAUUGAAUUUUUGAGUUUACAGAUCGGGAAUUUGAAGGUGAAUAUGUGACAACCUGUUGAUACGAUUACAAAUGUGAUAUGAAAGGAUUAUAUUCUUAUAAUAUAAGUUAACGUAUUAAACUGUUUACGAACUUUUGAUUUUUAUUUAUGUCCUCAAAUAAUUUAUGUUUUGUUAUAAUAUUAGUUAUAGAAAUGUCACUGAGUUGAUUACUCAGCAUUGCAGGUUAGGUUCAAUUGUGUGCACUCAUUGUUAUCAGCAUCCAGCAGAAAAUCUCACACUUAUCGAGUUGGUGAAACUCUUAUAUUUUGGUUGGCAUGUACCUAUAGGUUUUUAUGUUAUAUUAAGCUUAGUUAGAGAAUUAUUUCAUACUUUGAGACGUAUAAAUAUACAAGUUAAUUAAUGACUUUGAAUUAUCUUACUAUAAACAAGGAAUCACUCGAAAAUUACUUAAUGACUUUGAAUUAUUAUUUUAUUAAAUAGUUGAAUUUCGAGGUGAAUUUUUAUUACUAGGUCAUCGUGACAAGUUAAUUAAAUUAAUUUGUUCAUAGAUUUUUAUCGGUAAAGUUGUCACGAGUUUAACAAAAUUAGAAUUGAGUUGAGAAAAUAAUUUAGUUAAUUUAAUUAAUUAAAAGAAUAAAAAAUAUUUCGAGCGUAAAAAAUAUUUAUUGGAAUAAAAAUUAUAUGAGUUGGUUUAAAAAACAAAACAACCCAUAUAAUUAACCCAAUAAAUAAAAAAUGCCCAAAUAGGUCCAAGUUAGACAUUGUUUGAUAAACCACUAAGAAAAUUUAAUCAAUUAAAAACUAAUAUUUUCAAUGAUUAGUAUUUUACACAUGUUUGAUAAUCCAAAAUAAAAAAUAAUCCAAUAGAAUUUUUUUCUAUAAAAAAGUGUGGAAAAUGAUGAGUAAAUAAAAUUUAAUUAUCACUUAAUGGAGAAUAUUUUCAAUAAACUCAAUUUUAUUUUAUUUAUUUUAAUAUUAUGUUAUCCUAUAAAAACUAAAUGUUUAAAAAUAUAAAAAGACAAAAAUAUCUAUAUAAUCUUAUAAGUUACUUAGUAGAUUAAAUAUUUUUUUAGUAAUUUCCUAAAUUGGGACAUAGUUGGUGGGUGACACCGACACAGUAAAAAGCUUAAUAACUAACUAGAAAUUCUAUCACACAUGUAUGCAUAGAGUACCACAAAUUUCGAAUGCAAAUGUAUGUUUAAGAAAUUAGCGUACAAUAAAUAAUGAAAUAUAUGAUUUGAAACUAAUUAAUAAUAACAUGUGAAACAUAUUUGAUGUUAAAAUGAAAAAAUAAAUAAAAAGUUGUUUAUCAUUUUGUUGUCUUCAAUCUUGAGUCAGUGUCGAGUUAACUUGUGACAUCAACUCAGUUAAAAGCUUUAUUAAUAUUAACUAUAUAUACAACUGGUGGAGGUAAUAAAACGUGCGUAAUAAAAUAAAAAUGUAUAAAAUUAUCAAAAUAAAACUUUAGUUGAAUGGUAAAUUAAAAACUUUAAUAGUACAAUUGGCAUGGGUUUAAUUCCUACCAUUUUUUAAAGUGACAAGAAUAAAUUAACCUUGAAUAAUAUUACUUAUUUUAAUUACGUAAAGGCCUUCUCGUAAUUUCCUAACCGAGUUGGUGCCUAGUGACUUGUGACACCAACUUAGUCAGUGCUUUAUUAAUACUAGAAAUCCUAUUACACGCGUAUGCGUGUGGAAACUACAAAUUUAGAAUACAAAUGUGUGUUUAAAAAUAACAUACAAUAAAUAAUAAAAUGUAUAGGUUGACACUAAAUAAUAAUAAUAACACGUGAAAUUUGAAGAUAUUAAAAUGAAAAUGAAUAGAUUAAAAUUCGACUUUCUAAUAUGUUAAAAGAAAUGGGAAAGGUAUGAUAACAGAGGGAGAAACAAAAGAGAAUGGAAAAAAAGAGGAAAGUUUAAAGAACAUAAAAGAAAAAAAUUAAAUUACUUAAAAUGAAAAAAAUAUGGGGAUCAAUUGUAUAAUUUAACCUAAAAUUUUGUUUGAAAUGAUGAUUUAACGUGCCACAUCAGCUUACCGUUACACCAUUAACAACGAUUAAUGGCUCAGUGAGUAAAAUGUUACAACAUGAUAACGUAAAUGACUAAAACGUAACAUUUCAAACAUAAGUGACUAAAACGUAACCUAAGGUAAACAAAAGUGACCAUGGGUGUAGUUUACCCAUCUUAAAAAGACUGGUGAUCAAAUUCUACUCUUUUGAAAAAAAUUUAAUCCCAGAUGUAACUAAAAAAAAAAGAGAAAUUGACCAAAAUUUUUGGCCUUAAAAGUUAGAAUUUGUCGCUAAGACUUUUUUAUACAAAGAUGAAGCGAUGAUGUUAGGACUUUGUUCUCCUCUUAUAAUUCAAAAAAAAAAAAAGAUAAUUUAUCUUUGAUGUUUUAGAAACGUGUCAUCAUGUCGAGGGAGCAUUUGACUAUAAAAUCAAACCAUGCUAAUGUGUCGAUAAAUAAUAAGUGAAAAAUAUUUUAGAAUUGUUUUAGAAAAUUCUAUUUUUUUUAUAUUAUAUAAGUUCAACCGUCAAAGAUAACUUUUGAAAUUUGCAUGUUAAAUAGUUGUUCCAUCAUGUGGGAGACAGUCGGUAAAGGCAAGAAGCAAGCUUGUGCUUGUGACAGCAACCUGGGGAAGAUUUCAGUAUGUAUAGCAAAUCAAACGUGUUGGAAAUUUGAUGAAAUGGUUGUCCAAAAUGACCGUUGUUUUCAUAAUUUAUUAUGUCUUGACAUAUGAAGAAAUGGUUGUCUAAAAUGGCUGUUGUUCGGUUAUGGUGUGAGUUUAAUUCAUUUCUUACUCUUGUGUUGGUAAGUUAGGUGAAUAAAAUUUGAUUCGAUUUCAAAAUUUUGAUAAAAAUUUUAAAUUUUAAAUUAAAUUGUUCGAAUUAAUCAAGUUAUUUGGACCAACUCGAAUAAAAAAUCAAUUUUUUUGUUUAAUUCGAAUAUGAACUCGAAUAUGAAUUACACAAUUCGAGUUAUCUGAAAAUCUAAAUAAAAAACACAAAAUUAUGCCGUUUUGAUAAAUAUUUACUUCCUCUAAAGUUAAGAGGCAAAAUUACAUUAUUUUGAUAAAUAUUUACCCAUUAGCCUUAUUUUCUUUCUCGAAUCCCCCCACUUUCCCUUUUUCCUUUAAUAAAAUUAACCUAAAAGUUUGUACUUCGUCUACUAGUUAAAUAAUCAGUCCAUGUAAACACAAUAUUGAAUAUAAAUAAUAGGAUUUGUUAACUCGACUCGACUUGACUCAAAAUUUUUUUUACUCGAUUCGACUCAAUUUUAAAAAAAAAAGUACAAAUUGAGUUCAAUUGCUAAAAUAGUAUUCAUCAACUUGGCUAACUUAAAUUUUUUUACUCUAUUGAAUGCUCACCUCUACUGGUAAGGAUGAAAAUUGAGGGAAAAAUUUUGAUGAUUGUCAGUAGUUGAGUGAGUUGUCUGUGACAUGCAAAACCCAUGCAUGUUGUUCGAAUAUGACUUAUUGUUAUGAAAAACCUGGCUCUGAUACAAUGUUAAGAUGAUAAAAGAAAUAUGAAGAAUAUUUUCUACGUUUAUGAUUAUCUUUACAAAUGAAUAGAGCUACAGAAUAUAUACAGCUAAUGUGUAACUAAUUACAUUGCUAAUUACACUAUACAGCUCACUACUUUAACUAACUGUACACAAAUAACUAAUUUAGUUUUUUUCUACAAAGAUGUCAUAGUGCUGUAUCGUACGUGUUUAAAAUGUGAGUAUUUAUGUUGUCUUAAAACAUUAUUUGUAUGGAUUAAUUACUGUAAUUUAAACCGUCUUUAUAAUGAAAUUGUGAUAUCUUAAAGCAGUAAAUUGAGAGGAGUUUAUCGUGCUUUGGUGCCGUGGUUAAAAUGUAUAACUCUGGGAGUAAAUCGAGUUUUAUUUCUGGAAUAACAUGUUAUUUUAGAAGUACAAAUUGAGUGUUUCUAAUGGUGAGUUCUUUCAGUUUUUAUUGAUUUAUGUGUAAUGUUUAAUUGAAUUUUUUAGUUUACAGGUCGGGAAUUUGAAGAUGGAUAUAUAACAACCAGUUGAUAUGAUGACAAAUGUGAUAUGAAAGUAUUAUGUUCUUAUAAUAUAAGUUAACAUAUUAAUAUGCUUACGAACUUUUGAUUUUUAUUUAUGUCCUCACAUAAUUUAUGUUUUGUUACUAUAUUAGUUAUAGAAAUGUCACUAAGUUGAUUACUCAACAUUCGUGUUUGCUUUCCGUGCACAGGUUAGAUUCAAUUGUGUGCACUCAUUGUUAUCAGCAUCUAGCAGAAAAUCUUGCACUCAUCGAGUUGGUGAAACUCUUACUAUUUUGGUUGGCAUGUACCUAUAAGUUUUUAUGUUAUAUUAAGCUUCGUUAGAGAAUUGUUUCAUACUUUGAGACGUAUAAAUAGACAAGUACUUAAUUAAUGACUUUGAAUUAUCUUACUAUAAAAAAGGAAUCACUCAAAAAUUAAUUAAUGACUUGGAAUUAUUAUUUUAUUAAAUAAUUGAAUUUCGAGGUGAAAUUUUAUUACUAAUUCAUCGUGGUUUCAUAAGGACAAGUUAAUUGAAUUAAUUUGUUCAUAGAUUUUUAUCAGUAAAGUCGUCAUGAGUUUAACGAAAUUAGAAUUGAGUUGAGAAAAUAAUUUAAUUAAUUUAAUUAAUUAAAAGAAUAAAAAAUGUUUUGAGCAUAAAAAAUAUUUAUUGAAAUAAAAAUUAUAUGAGUUGGUUUAAAAACAAAACAACCCAUAUAAUUAACCUGACAAAUAAAAAUGCCCAAAUAGACCCGAUAAAGAUUGAUGAUCAAAUUCGACUCUUUUCAAAAAAAAAUAAUCCCAAUUUUAACUAAAAAAAAAGAGAAAUUGACAAAAAUUGUAGCCCUAAAAGUUAUGAAUUUAUCACUAAGAUAUUUUUUUUAUACAAAUAUGAAGUAUUAUUAAAGAUUUUAUAUAAUAAUAUAAGGUAAUGUCAUGCAUGAUGCAUCUUUAUUAAUUGUUUUUUUUAAUUUGAAUAAAUGUUUUUAGAAAUAAAUUAGUGGCUGGUUGAAUUGAUUAGGUCAUUAAUUCGUCGAUUUGAUAAGUUCGAUAAAGAUAUAAUAAUAAAUUCAUAAAAAAGAAUAUUUAAGAAAUCCAAUUCAACAGUCAAUUUAAUUGAUUUUUUAACAGGUUCAAUCGAUUUGAUAUUUUUUUUAAAUUUAUAUUUUGACCUAUUUCCGGUCCAACCGAACAAUCCAAUCCUAUUUAAACACAAGUAAAAACCCCAUAUAUAAUUUUGAACCCCAUAUAUAAUUGAAUAUAUAUGUUCUUUUUUAUGAUUAAGGUAUCAUAUAUAUUUAUUUUACCCGUGUGUUGAUUUGAUGAUCGAGGUGUUCACCAUCUCAGAUGUGAUUUGGGUUCAAGUCAUGCUAAUCUUGUUGUUGUUAAGACUUUGCUCUCCUCUUACAAUUCACCAAAAAAAGAUAAUAUAUCUUUGAUGCAUCCACGUUGCCAAACUUUGUUGUUGGUAUGUGGAUUUCCAUCCUUUCAUGUUGCCAUAUUCUUUGACUUUAACCUUCUUGCAUAUUGUUGUGAUUCAUUGCUUUAAUUUCAUCUAAAUGCAAUGAGUCAGAUGAAAGUCUUGGUGAGUUACAAGCUUCCCACGUGCUUCUGAUUUGUUCCAGAAUGUGAGAUGGAUAAUCUUCAAAUUCUAUAUCAGCUAUCUUUUUUAAUAGCUUCAAAGAUUCUUCAUCUCUUUCUUCCUAGGUGUUUCUAGUGUAGUAUGCCAGUAUUCUUCUGCCAUCAGUCCGUAGAUGAUAAUUUUUUUGCUGGAAAAGAUCUUGGGCUGUUGCUAUUAUAUCAAUCCCUACUUGGGUUUGAUAAUAACUUGGAUCAUUAUAACACCUGUCAAUAUUUUUUGUCAAGUGUUCUUUGACCUCUUUUAUAGCGGAUAAUCAGGGACUUCCAAUUAUUCUUUGAAUAAUCCAUAUUUGAUAUGGCUGAUAAAAUUUUUCUUUUUCAGCUAUACCAAUUAAACUACUUAUUUCAAUAUGAAAAUAGUAGAAGAAAUCAUCAUUGUUUAUGAUGUUUUGUAAUUUAGAUUUUACCAUUGCUGGAAAAUCUUUUAAAUGAUGAAAAGAAAAGUUUUGUACAACUAUUUCUUUUACAAAACCCCAUUCAAUACUUGUUAUAUCGAACGGUUCGUGAUCCAAUCUAAAUUUUAUAGUUGGAAAACUUUCUCCUAUAAAAUUGGUAAAAACAUAAGAUUAUAGAAAAUAUUCAGAAAAAGAUUUUUCAAAUUGUCUACUGUUGUAGAUAACUCUAUUUAUUUUAGAAAAUAUUUCUAGAGGUAAAAUCUGUCUAGAUUUAUUAUAUAAAUAGAUCCUAAAUACCUUAUUCACAAUAGGACUGUUUUUCCCUUUAUGAAUAAAAUAUUAAAUUAUAUCAAGAAGAUUAUUUAUCUCCUUAAUAUCCAUAAUAAAGAGUUGGAAUUCAUCCCAAUCUAUGUAUAAAAUAGAUUUUAAUAAUAAAUCUUCAGCUUCAUUUUCCUUAGUUGUUUUUUCAACUUAAAGUAAUGAAAAUGGUGUAAGAGCUCUCCUGAAAUUUGCUCUUUGAUUUAAAAUAUGGGUUUUCCAUAUUUCGUUUAUAAAAUUAUAAAAUUCUGGCGGUAUACCAGGACUAAAAAAAUCUUUUAUUUCUGGAAAUUGUUGUUGUUUCAACAAAUUUUCUGCAUCCUUAAUAAUAUCAGCAUAACUGGUUUGAAAUGCCGAAUUUGGAUCUUGGAACCAUUGUGAUUGACUUACUGUUUUUGGUGUCAAUGACAAACAAGUUCCAAUUGGUUGAUUUACCAUUGGAUAUGGCACAUAAUGUCCUUGAUUAGGAUAAAAUGAUAUUUGUGCAGGUACAAAUCCUUGUUUGGAAUUUGUUGUUGUUUUCCCUUUGUUAGGCUUUUUGUGAAUGGUAGUCCAUGUAGCGACCUAAAAAUUUGGAUACGAUGGCACGGGCGCUAGUCGAAAUAAUUAUUAAAAAAUUAAAAACAUCGUCUCGAUUUUAUUUGCAAAAGGAGUUGCCACCGAUCUUUUUUAGGUGUGAUCGGACACCUAAUAAAUUCUCUUUUUAGAAGAAAUAUUUAUUUUUAAAUUUUCCUAAAAAGAGGUAAUUUUAGGUCUGCGUGAAAAUCCAAAGAAAAUUAGAGUUCGGGAGUCGGUUAUCGCGAGGAAGGUAUUAGCACCCUCGCGACGCCCAAAAUUGGUAUCUCGUUAAACGCGCGUUUUCUUAAUUUUCAAAAAUACAAGUUCAAUUUAAUAUUUAAUUGUGAUCCGAUUGAAACUUGAGAAAACCUUUUUUUUUUGUUUUUAAACACGAGAACUUUGAAACACAAUAAUAAUUUUUGAAAACACGAAGAUUUUCGAAACACGAAAUUUUUUUGACACGAAAAAUUUUGAAAACACGAAAAUUUCGAAAACUUGAAUUUUUUUUUAAACAUGAUUUUUUUUUAAAAAAACACGAGAAUUUUUUGAAAACACGAAAGCACGAAAAUUUUGAAAACACAGGAAUUUUUUUAAAACACGAAAAUUUUUGAAACAUGAGAAUUUUUUGACACGAAAAUUUCGAAAACAUGAAUUUUUUUUUAAAAUACGAAUUUUUUUAAAAAACAUGAAAACAUGAAAAUUUUGAAAACACGAAAAUUUUUGAAACAUGAGAAUUUUUUGAAAACACGAAAAAAAUUUUAAACAUGGGAAUUUUUGAAAACAAGAAAUUUUUUUAAAAACACGGAAAUUUUAAAACAUGGAAACUUUAAAAACACGAAUUUUUUUUUAAAACACAAGAUUUUUAUUUUUUUAUUUUUUUAAAUACCGUAUUUAACACGAACCGGUGACAUUCACCCCGUUAUGGCGAUGAAACCAUCGAAUUAGUGUUAACUCAAUUCAAUUUAAUAUUUAAUCGGGAUUCUAAUAAAACACGAGAAUUUUUAUUAAAAUACGAGGAUUUUUGAAUAUUUUUAUUUUUAAAAGGGCGUCCCGAAUUUAUCACGAGCUAUCGAUAUCCACCCAACAUAGCGAUGAAUUUGAUGACUCGAUGCUAAAUCGGUUCGUUGCCUUAUGCAUUAAAAUAUUAUUAUUUUUAUUUUUAUUUUUAAAAAAUAUGCAAUUAAAAUGACAUAAUAAUAUUUAUGAAAACUAUUUUUAAACAUACUAAUUUAAAUUAAAUAAAACACCAUUUAAAUACAUUAAAUAAAAUAAAAUAGAUUAAAAAGAAAAAAAAUUACCCGAAAAGGCCCUUUUCCUUUUUUUCGGUUUGGGCCUCAAUUGGCCCGCUUCACUGCUGCAAUCGGCCCGCUGGAGCUGCUGGGGUAUUGGGCCUGCACUGGGUCAAGUCCAUUGGUGGUGGACUGCUGGUGGCUUACCAAAAAUGGGCUGCUGUUUUUAUUUUUUUAUUACUUUUUAUUUUCUUUUUUCUUUCUUUUUUCUCUCUUUUUCUUCCUCUUUUUUUCUUCUUCUCUUCUUCUUGUCUCAAAGCCUUGGCCCUUCUUUUUCACCGCCGUCGGUGUCUCCUGGGUGCGGUGGUUGGACGGUCGCCGGCGUUCUCCUUUCCCUCCUCUCUUCUUCUUCUUUCUUCACUUCUUUCUACUUUACUUUUUGUUUUUGCUUGCUUGCUGCUAUUUUCCUUUCUUUUGUUUAUGCUUGCACAUUUCUUAGCUUGACUUCGGCGAGGAGCAACGAUGAUCGUUGCACGGCGAUCGUGGUGGCGUGGGUACGGUGGCGGUGAGCGUGGGAUCGGCCCAUGGGAGUAUUUUUUGCUGCUGGAAUUUUUUGCUAUUUUUUUUGCUUUGGUUGCCGAAAAUCCUCCUCCCUUCUCUUCAAUUUUUUCUUUUUAAAAGCUCCAAAUUUUGUCCUCUUUCUCAUUGUUUGCAGGUGGCAGAGGAGCCAUGAUGGCCUAGAGGGGGUUGCUGGAGUAGCUCGGCUGGGAGGGGUACGCUCGGCUGCUGCAGCGGCGAUUAGACAAGUCCAGAAGGACUAAAUUGCAUAGGAUGCAAAGCUUCUGGGGCAAAAGUGUAAUUUUAGCAAAAAUAUGGGCCAAAAUGUAAUUUCUUGAGAGUUUAGGGGUCAAAGUGAAUUUUUGAGAAAGUCUAAGGGUCAAAAUGUAAUUUUAGAAAGUUUUGGGUCAAAAUGUAAAUUUUAGAAAAGUUUGGGGUUAAAAUGUAAUUUUUGAAAAGUACAGGGGUUAAAAUGAAAAAAUAAAAAAUUCUUUUUUUUUCAAACACGAAAUUAAUCUCGGACAAAAUUCAGUGAUUACAGCUGCCCCUCUUUGCUCAUCACUAUGAAACAGGGAUAGAGCAAAGACUAAAAAGCACUGAAUUUUGUUCGACCAUCUAAAAUUUUCCUCUUUAUUUGAAAAGCAGAAAUCGAGAACAGCUCGGCGUGCGACCCGAGACUCAACUCACCUCUUGAAUUAUGAGUUGAUCUUCGAAAAACAAAAAUCGAAAAUACCUUGACAUGUGCCCCGAGGCUCAACUCACCUCUCGCAAUAUGAGUUGAUUUUUGAAAAACAUGAAUUGAAAAAUACCUUUGCGUGACCCGAGGCUCAACUCACCUCUCGCAAUAUGAGUUGAUUUUUUGAAAAACAUAAAUUUAAAAGAAAUACCUCGGCAUGGUCCAAGGCUCAACUCACCUCUCGCAAUAUGAGUUGAUUUUUUUGAAAAACAUAAAUUUAAAAGAAAUACAUCGGCAUGGUCCGAGGCUCAACUCACCUCUCGCAAUAUGAGUUGAUUUUUUGAAAAACCAUAAAUUUAAAAGAAAUACCUCAGCAUGGUCCGAGGCUCAACUCACCUCUCGCAAUAUGAGUUGAUUUUUUGAAAAACAUAAAUUUAAAAGAAAUACCUCGGCAUGGUCCGAGGCUCAACUCACCUCUCGCAAUAUGAGUUGAUUUUUUUGAAAAAAAAUAGAAAUUUAAAAGAAAUACCUCGACAUGGUCCGAGGCUCAACUCACCUCUCGCAAUAUGAGUUGAUUUUUAAAAAAAACAGAAAUUUAAAAGAAAUACCUCAGGGUGACGUGAGGCUCAACUCACCUCUCAUAUUAUGAGUUGAUUUAAAAAAGACAGGAAUUAAAAAUACCUCAGCGUGACCCGAGGCUCAACUCACCUCUGUAUUAUGAGUUGAAAAAAAAGACAUGAAUUAAAAAUACCUCAGCGUGACCCGAGGCUCAACUCACCUCUGUAUUAUGAGUUGAAAAAAAAGACAUGAAUUAAAAAUACCUCAGCGUGACCCGAGGCUCAACUCACCUCUGUGUUAUGAGUUGAUUUUAAAAAAGACAGAAAUUAAAAAUACCUCAGCGUGACCCGAGGCUCAACUCACCUCUGUAUUAUGAGUUGAUUUUUUGAAAAAAAGCAGAAAUUUAAAAAUACCUCAGCGUGACCCGAGGCUCAACUCACCUCUGUAUUAUGAGUUGAUUUCUUGCAAAAAACAGAAUUUUAAAAAUAUUUCUUGAAAGAAACAAGGUUUCAAAAAACAUCAGGUGAAACUAAAAGCCUUCAUCUUCACUGAUUCUGUGCAGCUUUCUCCUAGUAUUCCUUGCUCUACCGGUAUACCUGUAUACGUCAUGUAUGAUGUUAUUACGAUAUGCACAUGUUUGUCCUAAAUGCUUUUGUGUCUACAUGAUCAUGCAAUGCACCGUAGGCUAUUUGUCACGUGCCCCACUUUUGAUUUUUGUGAGGGUCCGCAUUCAUUUCCUCAAUUCUUGACUUUUCUCUCUAAUUUUGUACUCAUCCUCAAGUUCUGUGAGUAAUCUACAUUUCUUCGUAUAUCGCUCUCUUGCCCCCUGCUGAACAUUGUUCCUACUUUGGGGCCCUUGUAUUUAUCAAAUUCUCAUCCAGGUAAUGCUCAACAUUCCUUUUGUUUAAAGUAUGUCAUCUUACUAUUUAUCAUUUAAAUGAAUCAAACACAAGAUGCAUGACAAAAGUGGCAAAGUAGGCAUGAAAGAAAUACCUCACAUUCAUUUUUUUAAAGCAACGAAAGAAAUUGACAAGGAAAGUUCAACAAAUAAAUUGUCAUAAAGAAAAGAAAGCAAAUUCAAUGGCCAGAAAUGCUCUAGAUAUCCAAUGCAUGAACUUUCCACGUUUCUUCAUCCUGGAUCUUUUCGAGCACGGCUUCUUGUGUAGAAGAUUUUGAGCUUCUAAGAAUGCUUCAAAUAUUGUAACCUUGCCAUUCGACUCCCUGUUCAAGUCGCCUUGCUCCUUAAGUCCGAGCCCACUUUGUUAGGACGCCCUUUUGGGUUUUCAUCCUAAUCCUUUUUGUUUAUCAAGACGCCCUUUUUGGGUUUUCAUCUUGAUUUUUCUUUUUCUUUUCUUUGUUUUUUUUGUUUUUGUUUUUGUUUUUUUUGUUUUUUUGUUUUUUUGUCCCUUUUUUAAAGCAUAAUAUUUCUUCACAGCAUCUGAGUUCACUGGAUUAGGUAAUUCUUUCCCAUCCAUUUCAGUAAGAAUCAGAGCCCCUCUUGAGAAUGCCUUUUUUACAACGUAUGGUCCUUCCCAAUUUGGUGACCAUUUUCCUUGAAAGUCCUUUUGUAUCAGGAGGAUCUUUCUUAAAACGAGUUCCCCUUCGCGAAAUUCUCUUGGUCGCACCUUAUUAUCAUGGGCCGUGAUCAUUCUCUCUUGGUACAUCUGUCCAUGACAAAUUGCCUUCAAGCAUUUCCCUUCAAUAAGGUUUAGCUGGUCAUAUCGAACUCGAACCCAUUUCGAUUCUUCUAGUUUUGUCUCCAUCAUGACUCACAAGGAUGAGAUCUCUACUUCAAUAGGCAAAACGGCUUCCAUUUCGUAGACUAAGGAGAAAGGAGUUACUCUCGUAGAUGUCCGCACGGAGGUGCGGUACGCAUACAAAGCUAAUGGUAGCUUCUCGUGCCAAUCUUUAUAUGUCUCAGUCAUCUUUCCGAGAAUCCUCUUAAUGUUUUUGUUGGCCGCUUCAACAGCUCCGUUCAUUUUCGGGCGAUAGUGUGAGGAAUUAUGAUGUUUUAUCUUGAAUUGCUCGCACACUUCUUUCAUCAUUUUGUUGUUCAAAUUUAAAGCAUUAUCUGAGAUGAUUCUUUCAGGCAGACUAUGUCGACAUAUGAUUUCCUUUUUUAAGAACCUACAGACCGUAGCCUUCGUCAUAUUAGCAAACGAAGUGGCUUCUACCCAUUUUGUGAAGUAGUCUAUAACCACAAAGAUGAAUCGAUGUCCAUUGGAAGCUUUCAGGGAAAUCGGCCCUAUAACAUCCAUGCCCCACAUAGAAAAGGGCCACGGAGAAGUCAUGACAUAAAGGGGCGAUGGAGCUGCAUGAAUUUUAUCGCCGUAAAUUUGACACUUAUGACACUUUCGUGCGUAGCCAAUGCAAUCCCUUUCCAUCGUCAACCAAUAAUAACCAAGUCUCAUAAUCUUUCUAGCCAUGGUGAAACCACUAGCAUGCGUUCCACAAAUUCCCUCCUGAACCUCCUCAAGUAUCUUUCUAGCUUCAACAGCGUCCACACAUCUCAUGAGCACUUGAUCUUUCCCUCUUUUGUAUAGAAUAUCCCCGUCAAGAACAAAUCCAAUCGCCAUUCUUCUGAUUGUUCUUUUAUCAUUCUCGUUUGCUUGCUCGGGGUACCUUUGAUUCUUGAUGUACUCUAGGAUAUCAUGGAACCAUGGUCGUCCAUCGGACUCAUUCUCAGACUCAUGCUCGAGAUAUCGCGCUCCCCUUUACUGACUCUUGGCUCUCAUAUACAAUGUCAUACUCAGACAAUAGGAUCUGCCAUCGUGCCAUUCUCCCUCAUAUUCUGUGAACUUUUUACUGAGGCAGUAAAUUGUCUUUUCUCUUUUUCCUGACUCAUCAUGUUGCCCCAGCAUUCUUCAAUUCAAAUGGCAUCACUUUGUAGCAGAACGUUUCCCACAUUGUGACGAAUGUGGUUUUCUCCAUAUAUUCGGAAGCCAUCUUUAUCUGAUUAUAACCUGAGAAACUAUCCAUGAAAGAAAAUGAAUAAUGUUUUGUCGUGUUAUCCUGGCAUGUCUUGAUACGACCAAACAAAUAUAUCUUUGUACUCAUGGAGCAAGGCGAUUAAAUUCUGUUUGGUGUUCUCCGAAACGGAAGUCCUAAUCUUCACUUCUUGUUUCUUUUCUUCACUCCCUAAGUUCACUGUCUCAACAGAUUCUUGAUGAGGUAAAAUCUGUUUCUCUUCUUGUUCAACUAUUCUCUGUAAGUCAGGAGGCAGGUCACAAUUUUCAGCAUCUUCCUUGGCUUCGAAUUCUCCUAAACAAAUAGCCUUCUUGAAAUUAAUUUCAGGACUUGUAACGGGAUUAUUCCUGCCAUGGAUAUCUGAGCACCUAAAAGAUGGGUAGAAAAGACAGCUAUAGAGGAGUAUCAAAGUAUUAGAAUCAACACUCAAUGAUAUGAUAUGGUAUGAAAUACAUGUAGGAGAAUGAUGUGAAGAGAAGUGAUAGUUACGAGACUAGUAGAAAUAAAAAGACCAUGACAAAAUGCAUCUUCAUCGAUGUUCAUUGAAAUGAUAAAGAGCAAGCAUAUGCUCUUACAAAAGGAAUCCCACUAUCUAGGGAUAUACAAAAUAAUGGAGAAUUAUCAUUGAGCAUUACUCUAGAGGGGAAUCAAAAACUACAAGGAGGUCCACAGAAGUCUAAUUGUUCAAAACAUAUCCUGGAGGACAAGGGCGUAUCAUUGAAACAUCCCCAAUUGCAUCACCCUCGUUGUCAACAACAUUUAUGCUGAUGUUCUAAAAUCCCUUUUCAUUUAAGGCGCUUCGCAGAUUGUUUUGCCCCUCAUCUUCAUUCGUUGCCGAAUUCACAUUCCCAUCAGCAUGGUUAGGAAAAGGGCUUCCAGCCUCAUUACUAACACCAUCAAAUCGCAAAAUGCCCGCAUUGAUAAGAUCUUGAACCCUCCUUUUAAAGGCAAGGCAAUUUUCUGUAGAAUGCCCCUGAUUUCCAGCGUGAUACAUGCAACUAGCAUUAGGAUCAUACCAUUUUGGGUAUGGAGGCUUCAGGGGUGCCAUGUAAUGUGGUGAUAUUAAUUGAUUCUCUAAUAGUUUCGGGUAUAAUUCUCCAUAUGACACAGGAAUUGGGGUGAACUGAGGUCUCUCAGGAUUAGAUCUUGCUGGUCUUGCUCAUUUUUGGGUUGGCUUUGUGUGGGCAUGGUAUUUGGUGGGAACAUGGUGAACGGUCUUUGGUUGUUCAUGGCAUAAACGGGGUAAAGAGGAGGUGUUUGACAAUAAGGACUUUGGGAGGGAAAGUAGAAGUUUGAAGGCGGGCGAUAACGAGUUCGUGGUUGGGCUGGAUGCGGAUUGGAGGUAUAGUGGCUCUCAGUUCCGACCAUAUGGGUUUCUGCCUCUUUAUUCCUUACAGGUACUGUCUUUUUUGAACUUUCGGGGCCUUCCAUCCUCCCACUCUUGAUGGCGUUUUCUAUAAGCUCCCCAGAUAUUACAAUGUCCUUUGUGGCACUUCCUACCAACUUAUCGUAAAAUGACACUUUCAGAGUAUUAAUGAAGAGGACCGUUAUCUCCGUCUUAGUUAACGGGGGUUCCACCUGAGCUGAGAUAUCCCUCCAUCUUUGUGCGUAUUGUCUAAAGGUCUCUGUCAGCUUUUUUUCCAUCAUUUGCAAAGUUAGUCGAUCAGGCACCAUAUCUGAUACAUGCUUGUAUUGCUCACAGAAUGCUGAUGCUAAGUCCUUCCAUGAUCGGAUCCUCUCUCUGCUGAGCUGAUUAUACUAUCGAAGAGCCGGUCUAACUAAACUGUCCUGAAAACAUUGUAUCAGCAAUUUAUCCUCAUUCACGUAAUCAGUCAUCUUCCGACAAAACAUGACGAGAUGCGCCUUUGGACAUCGCGUCCCAUCAUACUUUUCAAAAUCUGGUGCCUUGAAUUUUGAGGGUAGAACCAGAUCGGGCACCAGACUGAGUUCUUUAGCACUCAAAGCAGAAAAGACUUCAGCACCUUCUAUUGCCUUGAGCCUUUCUUCUAAGAUCUGGUAUCUAUCUUGACCGUCAUAAUCAUUAGUUUUCAAUUUUGCUAUUUCCACAGGAUCGUCCAGAUCUGGAACAAAUGGAUAUGCUGGAUUAACCCCGGGGUUCGAUACCAACAUACCUUGCCCCAGAUGAGCAGAUGGUGCAGGACGUUGUUCCAGGAUUGUAUGGGCGUGAGGUGGAGUAAAUCCUGGGGGAUAGAGUGGAUCCUGAUCAUUAUUAGCUCUUGACUAGGGCUCCAUGAUAUCAUGGCUCUGCAUGGGUCCCUUUCCUUUUACUAAAGCUGUCGUCAUUUCCAUCAUUUUAGCCAUUUGGUCUCUUUGCUCGAGUGAUUCUUCUCGAGAUCUCACCAUCAUAUCUGUUGCCUCUUGUUGUGACUUGGCCAAUUGCUCUUGUAACUCUCUUUGGACCCUUUCCAUCCUUUUGAUUUUUUCGUUAAGUUCAGCGUCCAUAGCUCUAGUUCUUAGACGUGUCCUGUAAAGAUGAUGUGAUUCCAGCCUUGUAGUACCGCCACUGUGGAUUAUGCGAUUUUUGCCUCAGUGAAUGGUAAGGGUGAUAUGUACAUGCAAUGCAUGAAUGAAUGAAUGACAAGUGAAUAUUAGUCAUGAAUAAAUAUACAAGUAUUUGGUGUUGAUUUCAAGACAGCCCCAUAUUUUGGCGUUUCAUUAAUCAAAAGAGUCCAUUACAAAAGAUUUGGCCAAUGAAGAUACCCCUAGUGCCUGAGUCUCAUUGUUUCCAAAUCCUAAUCAAGUCUUCGCGGUUAUUCUGACGAUGCUUUUUGGGUCCUCAAAGAUCAGUCUCAGACUACAACAUUUUCCUCAAUUACUUGCGUAAUUGAUUCCUCCAUCAGAAACCCAUUUUUGGCAACCAAUCUCUAAUCAACACCAUCCUAAUGAGAUGCCUAUGAUGCAUGAUGAAAAAUAAAAUUAAGACAAAUAAACCUAGUUAGCAAUCACGGCAAAUAUAAACAAAGAAAAACUAUGGAAAAUCUAACAAACCGACCUAUUUUUUUUUGGUUUUAUCCCAUCAUGCUUUACAAAAAUAAACUUACCCCAUAUGCUCAUCAAUCUACCCGAUCAAAUUUAUUAAACAGACCAAAUUCCCUUGCAAAAAGUGUAAAUGUGAAAGAAAUAAAAGGUAAGAGGCGUUUCUCCCGUGUAUUUAUUUUGGUGACUAUUCAUCGGACAGAGGUUCGGCAUGACUCUAAUUGGGUGGCUCGUACGGUUCACUAUAUGUGGCUUUGGUUCUAGAGAGGUACUCGAAUUGUCCAUACUGUCACCUACUAAGGUUAGUACGAAGUCUCGGUUAUCGCCCGUCAUGGGCUUGCGAGCUCAAUUCGAGGGAUUACAUUUACUUAUGCCUAUGCGGAGGGACGAGUUAACUCACGAAAACAUAAGUCAUAUGUAACCCGGAAGUAUUUCACUAGCCUGUGCGGAGGGACGAGUUAACUCACGAAGGCGUAGCGUUUACUUCCACUUAAACGGAUGGAGCCCGGGUAGAGAGCUCAUGUUAUGCAAGAAUGCAAGUGCAUGGUGUGUGGGGAGAAACUCACAAACCUUUUUAUUUUUAUUUUUACUAAAAAAACAAACUAAAACCAUAAAACUUAAAGCUGAAAAAAAACACGAAAAUAAAACAGGUUAGAAAAAUAUUAAUUUCAAAACCGGAUGUAGAUGCAUGAUUUUUCAAAACAAAAUUCAAGGAUCACGAUUAAAAAUUAAAUUGAACAAGAAAUUUUAAAAAUUUUGACAACACGCGUUUAACAUCAGACUCGACUCUAAAAAAAUGUCCCCAGCGGAGUCACCAGCUGUAGCGACCUAAAAAUUUGGGUACGAUGGCACGGGCGCUAGUCGAAAUAAUUAUUGAAAAAUUAAAAACGUCUCGAUUUUAUUUGCAAAAGGAGUCGCCACCGAUCUAUUUUAAGUGUGAUCGAACACCUAAUAAAUUCUCUUUUUAGAAGAAAAUUUUAUUUUUAAAUUUUCCCAAAAAAGAGGUAAUUUUAGGUCUGCGUGAAAAUCCAGAGAAAAUUAGGGUUCGGGAGUCGGUUACGCGCGAGGAAGGUAUUAGCACCCUCGCGACGCCCAAAAUUGGUAUCUCGUUAAACGCGCGUUGUCUUAAUUUUCAAAAAUACAAGUUCAAUUUAAUAUUUAAUUGUGAUCCGAUUGAAACUUGAGAAAACCCUUUUUUUUGUUUUUAAACACGAGAACUUUGAAACACAAUAAUAAUUUUUGAAAACACGAAGAUUUUUGAAACACGAAAUUUUUUUGAAAACACGGAUUUUUUUUUGAACAUAAGGAAAUUUUCGAUACAUGAGAAUUUUUUGACACGAAAAAUUUUGAAAACACGAAAAUUUCGAAAACUUGAAUUUUUUUUAAACAUGAAUUUUUUUUAAAAAACACAAGAAUUUUUUGAAAACACGAAAGCAUGAAAAUUUUGAAAACACGGGAAUUUUUUUAAAACACGAAAAUUUUUGAAACAUGAGAAUUUUUUGACACGAAAAUUUCGAAAACAUGAAUUUUUUUUAAAAUACGAAUUUUUUUAAAAACACGAGAAUUUUUUUGAAAACACGAAAACAUGAAAAUUUUGAAAACACGAAAAUUUUUGAAACAUGAGAAUUUUUUGAAAACACGAAAAAAAUUUUAAACACGGGAAUUUUUGAAAACAAGAAAUUUUUUUUUAAAAACACGGAAAUUUUAAAACAUGGAAACUUUAACAACACGAAAUUUUUUUUUAAAACACAAGAUUUUUAUUUUUUUUUAUUUUUUUAAAUACCGUAUUUAACACGAAUCGGUGACAUUCACCCCGUUAUGGCGAUGAAACCAUCGAAUUAGUGUUAACUCAAUUCAAUUUAAUAUUUAAUCGGGAUUCUAAUAAAACACGAGAAUUUUUAUUAAAAUACGAGGAUUUUUGAAUAUUUUUAUUUUUAAAAGGGCGUCCCGAAUUUAACACGAGCUAUCGAUAUCCACCCAACAUAGCAAUGAAUUUGAUGACUCGAUACUAAAUCGGUUCGUUGCCUUAUGCAUUAAAAUAUUAUUAUUAUUAUUUUUAAAAAAUAUGCAAUUAAAAUGACAUAAUAAUAUUUAUGAAAACUAUUUUUAAACAUACUAAUUUAAAUUAAAUAAAACACCAUUUAAAUACAUUAAAUAAAAUAAAAUAGAUUAAAAAGAAAAAAAAAUUACCCAAAAAGGCCCUUUUCCUUUUUUUCGGUUUGGGCCUCAGUUGGCCCGCUUCACUGCUGCAAUCGGCCCGCUGGAGCUGCUGGGGUAUUGGGCCUGCACUGGGUCAAGUCCAUUGGUGGUGGACUGCUGGUGGCUUACCAAAAAUGGGCUGCUGUUUUUAUUUUUUUAUUACUUUUUAUUUUAUUUUUUUCUUUCUUUUUUCUCUCUUUUUCUUCCUCUUUUUUUCUUCUUCUCUUCUUCUUGUCUCAAAGCCUUGGCCCUUCUUUUUCACCGCCGUCGGUGUCUCCUGGGUGCGGUGGUUGGACGGUCGCCGGCGUUCUCCUUUCCCUCCUCUCUUCUUCUUCUUUCUUCACUUCUUUCUACUUUACUUUUUUUUUUUGCUUGCUUGCUGCUAUUUUCCUUUCUUUUGUUUAUGCUUGCACAUUUCUUAGCUUGAUUUCGGCGAGGAGCAACGAUGAUCGUUGCACGGCGAUCGUGGUGGCGUGGGUACGGUGGCGGUGAGCGUGGGAUCGGCCCAUGGGAGUAUUUUUUGCUGCUGGAAUUUUCUGCUAUUUUUUUUGCUUUGGUUGCCGAAAAUCCUCCUCCCUUCUCUUCAAAUUUUUCUUUUUAAAAGCUCCAAAUUUUGUCCUCUUUCUCACUGUUUGCAGGUGGCAGAGGAGCCAUGAUGGCCUAGGGGGGCUGCUGGAGUAGCUCGGCUGGGAGGGGUACGCUCGGCUGCUGCAGCGGCGAUUAGACAAGUCCAGAAGGACUAAAUUGCAUAGGAUGCAAAGCUUCUGGGGCAAAAGUGUAAUUUUAGCAAAAAUAUGGGCCAAAAUGUAAUUUAUUGAGAGUUUAGGGGUCAAAGUGAAAUUUUGAGAACGUGUAAGGGUCGAAAUGUAAUUUUAUAAAGUUUUGGGGUUAAAAUGUAAAUUUUAGAAAAGUUUGGGGUCAAAUUGUAAAUUUUGAGAAGUAUAGGGGUUAAAAUGCAAAAAAGUAAUAAAAUUUCUUUUUUUUUUUCAAGCACGAAAUUAAUCCCGGACAAAAUUCAGUGAUUACAGUCCAUUCACCAACUAUUAGAGGUUCUUUUACCCCUGUCCAUAGGACCUGCUAAGAUAGUCAACAAUUAUUAGUACAAUAAAUAUUUGAUACUAAUAAAUUAUUUUAAUUUAAUUUUACACCAAUUUUAUUUUUUUCUACUGUAUUUUCAUAGUAAUUGUUUUCUACAGACAACCUAAUAAAAUUUCUAUCAGAAAUUUCCGAUUAGACUUCCUAGUUUAAUUUCUAGCAGAAAAUGACUGUUGUUUUCAUAAUAUAUUUUAUCUGACAUGUGAAGAAAUGAUUGUCUAAAAUGGCUGCUGUUUCCAGAACUUAUCAUGUCUGACAUUUAAGAAAUGGUUGUCCAAAAUGAACUUGUUUUCAUAACUUAUUAUGUCUGAUAUUUGUCUAAAAUGGCUGCUCUUUCCUGAACUUAUUAUGUCUGAUAUAUGAAGAAACGGUUGUCUAAAAUGGCGUUGCUUGGUUACGGUGUGAGUUUAAUUCAUUUCUUUCUCGAAUGGUUGGUUGUAUUCUUAUUUUGGUAGGUGAAGUGAAUAAAAUUUGAUUCAAUUUCAAAAUUUUGAUAAAAGAUUUUAAAUUUAAAUUAAAUAGUUCAAAUUAAUCGAGUUAUUUGGAUCAAUUCGAAUAAAAAAAUCAAAUUUUUUGGUUGAAUUCGAAUAUGAACCCGAAUAUGAAUUACACAAUUCGAGUUAUCUAAAAAUCUAAAUAAAAAAAUAUAAAAUUACGUCGUUUUGAUAAAUAUUUACUUCCUCUAAAAUUAAAAGGUAAAAUUACGUUGUUUUGAUAAAUAUUUACCCAUCAACCUUAUUUUCUUUCUUGAAUCCCCCCACUUUCCCUUUUUCCUUUACUCAAAAUUAACCUAAAAGUUAGUACUUCAUCUACUAGUUAAAUAAUCAAUCCAUGUAAGCGCAAUAUUGAGUAUAAAUAAUAUGAUUCGUUAAAUCGACUUGACUUGACUCGAAAUUUUUUUACUCGAUUCGACUCAAUUUUAAAAAAAUACAAAUUGAAUUCGAUUACUAAAAUAGUAUUCGUCAACUUGACUAACUUAAAUUUUUUUACGCUAUUGACUGCUCACCUCUACUGAUAAGUGUGAUGAAAAUUGAGGGAAAGGUUUUGAUGAUUGUCAGUUGUUGAGUGAGAUAUCGUGACUUGCAAAACCCAUGCAUGCUGUCCGAAUAUGACUUAUUGUUAUGAAAAUAAUUAAAUAUUAAUGUCCUAUGCUGCAAUUAAAAGAUGUCAUGGUGCUGUAUCGCGUUUAAAAUGUGAAUAUUUAUGUUGUCUUAAAACAUUAUCUAUAUGGAUUAAUUGCUUUAAUUUAAACCGUCUUAAUAAUGAAAUCGUGAUAUCUUAAAGCAGUAAAUUGUGGUUAAAAUGUAUAACUCUGGGAGUAAAUCGAGUUUUAUUUGUGGAAUGACAUGUUAUUUUAGAAGUACAAAUUGAGUGUUGCUAAUGGUAAGUUCUUUCAGUUUUUAUUGAUUUAUGUGUAAUGUUUAAUUGAAUUUUUGAGUUUAUAGGUCGGGAAUUUGAAGAUGAAUAUAUGACAACCAGUUGAUAUGAUUACAAACGUGAUAUGAAAGGAUUAUAUUCUUGUAAUAUAAGUUAACAUAUUAAACUGCUUACGAACUUUUGAUUUUUAUUUAUGUCCUCACAUAAUUUAUUUUUGUUAUAAUAUUAGUUAUAGAAAUGUUACUGAGUUGAUUAUUCAGCAUUCGGUUUGCUUUUCGUGUGCAGGUUAGGUUCAAUUGUGUGCGCUCAUUGUUAUCAGCAUCCAGCAGAAAAUCUCGCACUCAUCGUGUUGGUGAAACUCUUACUAUUUUGGUUGGCAUGUACCUAUUGGCUUAUGUUAUAUUAAACUUAGUUAGAGAAUUAUUUCAUACUUUAAGACGUAUAAAUAGACAAGUUAAUUAAUGACUUUGAAUUAUCUUACUAUAAACAAGGGAUCACUCGAAAAUUAAUUAAUGACUUUGAAAUAUUAUUUUAUUAAAUAAUUAAAUUUUGACGUGAAAUUUUAUUACUAGGUCAUCGUGGUUUCAUAAGGACAAGUUAGUUAAAUUAAUUUGUUCAUAGAUUUUUAUCGGUAAAGUUGUCGUGAGUUUAACGAAAUUAGAAUUAAGUUGAGAAAAUAAUUUAGUUAAUUUAAUUAAUUAAAAGAAUAAAAAAUAUUUUGAGCAUAAAAAAUAUUUAUUGGAAUAAAAUUAUAUGAGUUGGUUUAAAAACAAAACAACCUAUAUAAUUAACCCGAUAAAUAAAAAUGCCCAAAUAGAUCCGAUAUAGGAGGGAGGGGAUGCAAACCAGUAUGGACCCAUUGAACUAGAUUUUUAUUAUUUUUUAAUCUUGAUGAUUUAUUUAAACGAACUAAACAGACCAAUCGAAACUAUUAAACCAACAAAUCAAUAACUUGAUUGGUUCGAAUUCUGAAAACGUUCGAUAAAGAACAUAAGUGUUUAGAUCCUCUCAAAUAUUGGAUUACAUCACUUCCAUGGGAGAAAAUGCAAUCAAUGUUCCAAACCCUAAUUCAAUUUUGAUGUCAACAACAUCUCUUUAAGACGCUUCAAGUGAGCAACUAUCUUAUCGGUAUCAGGCAAGUUGUCUUUGAUUACAGGGACUGAUUUGAAAUUUUGGAUCCACGAGCUCACUCGAGGGAAUUUGUGUGGCUCAAAGACUUUAAGCCCUGCUGCGUCUUCGAUAGCCCCGAGCCAGUGAGCAACCAUGCAAAAUGCAAUGUCCACCAUGUUUAUCUCGUCUCCACCGAAGAAUUUUUUCCCUCCGAUUAGCACAUGUUCUUCCAUGGCUUCCAGCAUUUCCAGCCACUCCUUCACUACCGCCUGUUGUUCUUCACCUUCGGUUCGAUAAAGCUUUGCGAUUAUAGGACUUUGUUUUAAACAGAGAUUCUAGUAUCAGCCAUCAAAAUUUAUGUACCAAAAAAAUUUUCAAACUACAAAGAGCUAGAAUCUUAAUUUCAACUAGGUUAAAAUAUGUUACAAGUACUUGUAUUCUUUGUAUGUUUGCAAUUUAGUCCUACUAUUUUUUAUUUCAAGAAAUUUAAUCCCACUACUGUUAAAGUACUUUACGGGUUUGAAAUUUAACCACUACUCCCACAUCGGGGGCUUGAACUUUUUUUGUUCAAACUAGUCCUUGAACUUGGCGAUUGUUCUCAAGGUAUGGCCUAGACCAUUUUUUGUUCAAGUUAAUCCCUAAACUUGACAAUUGUUCUCACAUUGAGGUUUGAACUUUUUUUGGGUCCAAGUUAGACAUUGUAUGAUAAACCACUAAAAAAAUUUAAUCAAUAAAAAAUUAAUAUUUUCAAUGAUUAGUAUUUUACACAUGUUUGAUAAUUCAAAAUAAAAAAAUAAUCCAAUAGAAUUUUUUCUAUAAAAAAAGUGUCGAAAAUGAUGAGUAAAUAAAAGUUAAUUAUCGCUUAAUGGAGAAUAUUUUCAAUUAACUCAAUUUUAUUUUAUUUAUUUUAAUAUUAUGUUAUCCUAUAAAAACUAAAUGUUAAAAAUAUAAAAAGACAAAAAUAUCUACAUAAUCUUAUAAGCUACCUAGUAGAUUAAAUAUUUUUUUAGUAAUUUCCUAAAUUGAGACAUGGUUGGUGGGUGACACCGACUCAGUAAAAAACUUAAUAAAUAACUAGAAAUUCUAACAUACACGUAUGCAUGUGAAUACCACAAAUUUCGAAUGCAGAUUGAGUCAGUGUCUAGUUAACUUAUGAUAUCAACUCAGUUAAAAGCUUUAUUAAUAUUAACUAUAUAUACAACUGGUGGAGGUAAUAAAACGUGCGUAAUAAAAUAAAAAUGUAUAAAAAUAUCAAAAUAAAACUUUAGUUGAAUGGUAUAUUAAAAACUUUAAUAGUGCAAUUGGCAUGGGUUUAAUUCCUACCAUUCUUUAAAGUGACAAGACUAAAUUAACCUUGAAUAAUAUUACUUAUUUUAAUUACGUAAAGGCCUUCUCGUAAUUUCCUAAACAAGUUGGUGCCUGGUUGACUUGUGACACCAACUUAGUCAGUGCUUUAUUAAUACUAGAAAUUCUAUCACGUGCGUAUGCAUGUGAAAACCACAAAUUUAGAACACAAAUGUGUGUUAAAAAUAACAUACAAUAAAUAAUAAAAUGUAUAGGUUGACACUAAAUAAAAAUAAUAACAUGUAAAAUUUGAAGAUAUUAAAAUGAAAAUGAAUAGAUUAAAAUUGUUUAUCAUAAUAUUGUCAUCAAUCUUGAGUCAGUGCUGAGUUAAGUUAAGACACCAGUUCAAUAAAAUAUAUAUAAUUGAUUGGGGUAAGAGUGUGCAUAAUACAAAUUGAAAUGUACAAAAUAUUAAAAUAAUACUUUAAUUAAGUGAUAAAUUAAAAGUUUUUCUAAGUCAAUUCACCAGUUUUCAAUUCCCAUCAUAUGUAUUUUUAUUAUUAUUUUUAAAUAGAAAAAUUAAAUUAUCCUCAAAUAUAUAAAUUAUUUUACUUGCAGAAAAAUAUUUUCGUAUUAUUUCUAAUUUAGUUGGUACCACACUUAUCAAGUCAAUACAACACUUAAAAAAUAAUAUUGACUAUUUAUUCAAAAAAUAUUGACUAUUGAUAUAGAUAAAAUAAAUAUAAAUAAAAAAAAUCAAUAAAUGGGAAAAUUGCCAUAUGCAUCAAAUAAAUAAAAAGGUUUAAUUCAAAAUUAGUAUCUAAAACUAUGCCAAUUUUCUCAUUUUAAGUACCUAAAUUUUUCAGUAAAAAAUAUGCUUAAACUAUUAAAUUCGUUAUAUUUUAUCUAAAAAGUGUACGAUGCCAAUAAAAUUAAUCGUUUAAAUAUCAUUUCUGCCAAAAAAAAACUCUUAGACACCUAAGUGGUAAAUACGAUAUAGUUUGAGGGUUAAUUUUGUAUUUAAGCCAAGAAAAGAAAAGAAGAGGAUUUUACCUUGUCAUCUGCAAAUUUGAUCCAAAACAGAGCAACGGCUCUGUCAUAGGGAUCAGCCGGCAGCAAGGGAUUUUGCGGCCAAAUUUCAUCGAUAUAUCGAAGGAUGACGGUGGAUUCGCAGAUCGGUUUUCCGUCAUGAACGAGCACCGGGACUUUCUUAUGAAUUGGAUUAUAUUGAAGGAGCAAAGGACUCUUGUUGGAGAGAUCUUCUUCGAUGUAUUCGUAAGGUAUGCCUUUGAGUUUCAGAGCCCAAAUUACUCUGAAAACGUACGGACUAAGCCAAGCUCCGAACAGUUUCACAACCGCCAUGGUUGGGAGAUUAGUCGAUUUUCUGGUAGAUCCUGAGAGCGGUGAGUGUAAAUUUAUAAUAGGAUUAGUAGUCAAAGCUUUGAGUAAGGUAAAGAUGAAGCGUUAAUAUAUAUAAUAAUAUAAGGUAAUGUCAUGCAUGAUGCAACUUUAUUACUUGGUUUUUCUAAUUUGAAUAAAUAUUUUGAGAAUAUGUGUUUAAAUCGGUCAGGUUAUUAAUUUGUCGAUUUGAUUAAUGUGAUUAUUCAAUAAAAAUAAAAUAAUUUCAUUAAAAAUAUUUAAAAAUUCAGUUCAAUUCUCAAUUUAAUUAAUUUUUUAAUUGGUUUAAGUUGUUUAAUACUCUUCAUCGAACAAAUAAAUUCGACCAACCGGUUUGAUCCAUAUAUAUUUGCUUAAAAAAUAUGUUUUCUCUUAUAUAGUUAAUGUCUCAUGUAUAUUUAUUUGGUAAACUAUAAAAAUAGUUAUUUUUGUUUGCCUCAGAUUACAUUUUAAUCAGUUAUGUUUAAAAUACGUUGUAGCCACUUACUUUAUAGUUUUGAUACGAUAUGGUCACUCUGUCAUUAACCUCUGUUACCUCCUAAUGACAAUCCUACGUGGCAGUCCAAAUGAGUUUUAAAUGUCGACUUUAAUGUCCAACUUGGACAUUGAUAGGUUUUUAAUUAAUUACACCUUGAAUUGAAAAAAAGAACCGUUCGUCUCCUUUUUCUUUUAGUUUUCUUUUUCAUUUUGACUGAAAAAAUUAUUCUUAUCCCAGUUAGAUAUCUAAAUUGGCAUUUAGAACCCAUCUGGAUCGCCACAUAGGAUUGUCAUUAGGGAGGUAACAGAGCUUAACGGUAGAGUGACUACUUCGUAACAAAACAAUAACAUAAAUGACUAAAAUGUAAUCUGAGACAAACAAAAAUAACUACUUUUACAGUUUAUCCAUAUUUGUUUUGCAGUUUAUAGAGAUGAUUUGUGAUUAUUCUUUUCAAUAAUAUGGUUUUUAAAAUUUUGACUCAAACUUUUUUAUUAAAAAUAUAAUAUAACUUACCAUUACAUAAGAUAAAUUUUUAAAUACAAAAACGAUAAAUAUAUAUAUAUAAACAUUGUUGUAUAUCAUGAUUAGUGAAUAUAAUAUAUUAAAUCUUUUAGGUAUUUAAAAAUGAUCUAAUUUAAAUACAACCUAAACUCUAUCUGGUAUGUUCUAUGUUUUACGUAAGCAAACAUGUCGUCAUGUUUGAUUCCAAGAACUUGCUAGAAAUUUUGAUAUCGUAUGCAUAUGGAAAUUAUAAAUUUAAAAUAUAUAUGUGGGAGAUUUUAGAUACUCUGCUUCUUUAUACAAGCGAGAAAUUAAUAAAAUGACGAUAUUCAUUGAUAGUUUAGACGGAGGUUAAGACAUGUUCAUGAGAAAGAGAAUAAAGUUGCAUAUUUCAUAGCUAAAACAGUUUUAGACAAGAAUGAAGGUGUUUGGGUUUUCGAUGAAGCUCCCGGGGCGCUCAUAGCUAAUUUAAAAUGUUUGAUUUAGUUGUUCUCGUGACUUAUUCUUAGCUAAGAGAAUGAAUAGCUGUCCUUUAUUUUGAAGUGGUAGUAUUUUUACAAUAUUUUUUUUUUUAAUUUCAAGUUUAAAUUUGUACUAACUUUGUGUGUGUGUGUGUGAGAUAAAAAAAUUACAUCAAAUUUCCUUGAAGAAAAGCUUUGCUACUUUUAUCACAUUGCAACAUCACUAAGACUGCAUCAGGAGGGUUCUCGUAAAUCUAUAAACUUAUCUUCCAUUCUAGAGUCAUCUUUGCCAAGCAAUCGGCCACUGAAUUAGCUUCUCUAGGAACAUACCGAAUCCACCACUGCCCUUCAAAUUCUAAAAUUCGUUUAACUCUCCUAAGCAUAGUAACUCUUGAGUCGUCCCCCCACUCUCUUGUAGGGCUUUGACCAACUCCGGAUUAUCAAUUUGAACUAUUCUUUACUUCGUCCCCCCACUCUUUUGUAGGGCUUUGACCACUUCCGGAUUAUCAAUUUGAACUACUCUUUAUUUUAUGUCUAACUAUUGUAAAACAUAUAUAAUAAAUAAGUAUUUUCCUCGUGUUCUUACACUAAUAAUCAAACGAGGCAUUAGUAUUAUUUCAUCCCACAUCACUUAGACAAGGGUUUUGAACUUUGUUUAAAUGUUAUUCAACACUUCCAUGGGAGAAAAUACAAUCAAUGUUCCAAACCCUAAUUUGAUUUUGAUGUCAACAACAUCUCUCUACGACAUUUCAACAAAGCUAACAUCUUAUUAGUAUCAAGCAAGUUGUCUUUGAUUACAGGGACUGAUUUGAAAUUUUGGAUCCACAAGCUCACUCGAGGGAACUUGUGUGGCUCAAAGAUUUUAAGCCCUCUCUCUCCUUUGCUAAAUGAAUAGGUUUGUUAUUAAUUGGAUAUGGUCACAGCUGUACUGAGAUCAAUUCCACUAAAAAUUGAUGAUUUGAUUGGUUUAAUCGCCAAUUCGAUUGUUAUAAUAUUAAUUCAAAAUAGUCAAUAAAAUAGUUUUAUUCUAGGGUAGAUAUACAUUUUAAUAUUUGAGCAUGAUUUCAAGGUUCAAAUUGAUACUUAAAGUUUAGGGUUUAAGUAGGAGAAUAAUGCACUUCAACACACUCAAACCCACGCGAUUUUAGACUCUUAAAAAUUAACAAUUCAAUUUUAUUUAGUUCUUUAACCUAAAACUUUGAAGUUUGGCUCUCAAUAAUUUAUAUUUUAUGCUAAUCAUUUUUAUUAAAAUAUUUUAAUUUCGAUUUUGUUUCGAAGUGAGCAAUUGAUCAAUUCAAUCCAAUCCAAAGAUUUAACGAACUCUUUUACGAAUCAAAAUAGAACCAAAUUCUCUAUAAAACCAACAAAAUCAAAUUAAUUAUGAAUAAUUUACUACUCUACCUAUGAUUGAAUUACUAAAUAAUAUUGGCAAAAAAUACUAAAUAAUUUUUUUUGUAAAUAUAAUUUUAAUAUUAAUUUUUUCUUUCACUCGUGGAUAAGACAAAAUUCGCUAUUUGAAAUUGAAAGUAGAUUACUUUGAAUGAAAACAAAUUUACCGGACCUGCAACAUACGCGACAAAACUUUUUCUUGUUUGUCACUAUUUUACUGUCAUUUCACUAUUAUGUUGUUAUUAUUUAGAUAUUGUAUAACUCUUAUUUUAUUGUCAAUUUUGCUACUAUGUUAGAGACAUUUGUUUGUUAAGUUGCAUCUAUCUUAGUUUUAUUUAAGUAUAAAAAUUUUUAUUUUAAUUUAUUUUAAUGUUUUAAGUGUAUUUGCUGUAUUAUAUUUUUAAAAUUUUCUAUAUAAAAAAUAAAAUACAGGUAGGCUAGACCAAACCUAUAAAUUGGGCCCAAAAAUUUGUUAAGGCCUGACCUGAUCCGACUUAUAGACACUUCUAUUUUAAACCAUCUUCUUUACUGACUUAGGCAAGUAAAGGAAUUUAUUUAAGCGAGAAGAUAAAAAGGAAAAAAAUAAUCCGAGAAAUAAAAUAAAAAUUCGUAGCAAAGAGAAACAUAAUAUAAAGAAUAUAAAUAUGAAUUUCUUUAUAAAUUUCGGAUCAACGCAAUGAUAAAAGAAUGAUAAUAACAGAUUCAACCCCUAUACUUUAUCAAUAUAUCUAAUAUAUCCUUCUAAUGGAGUUAAAAUCUUACAUCACUUUGAAUGCAACCAAUUGUAUGCUGCCAUGUGGCACUAUUAGUUUGAAAAAUUUUAAUCAAAGUCGAGGGAUUUGAAAAUAGUUAUACCAAAAAUUGUUUCAAAGAUUAAGACCAACCCAAGUCCGGCACAAUUUAGCCCAUCAACUCAUCUACCCUAAACUUAAACUUAAAUUAUACAUGUUUUCUCAAAUAGAUUUUUAAAUUUUUUUUUUUGUUAAUUUGAGUAUUUAAACUAAUUUUUUCCUCACAUUGGCAUCCCCAUUAGUUAUCCCUUAGUCUGAUUUGGUGGAAUAAAAAUAAAAUAGAAAUUAGCUUUCGGAGAGAUAGCUGAGUGGUUGAUAGCUCUAGUUUUGAAAACCGGUAUAGUUCGAAACAAAGAAUUAUUGAAGGUUUGAAUCCCUCUCUCUCCUUUGCUCGAUGAAUAUAUUUCUUUCUUUAUUGCUUUUUCCUAACUUCUUAAUUAAGAAUCUUAAUAUUAAUAAAAGGUAAUGGCUCGGCAGGGUGGAAUAGCUGAGCUAGAAAAAAAAUACUUUAGAUAGAAAAUAAGUUGAAACAAAAGGAAAACAUAAUAAUUUUUUAAAUAUCACUUGAUUCUUUCAAUAUAUAUUGUGUAAUCAAAUUGAUUCCUACCUUAAGUAUUGGAUCUCCUGUCUUAGUUAUCUUAGUUAAGAAGAGUCAUGAAAAGAACAAGCUCAAAAUCACGAUCAAUUCCUUUUUCAAAUAUUCUUGCGGUUGUGCGAGCUCUUCCCGUGUGCCAUAAAUAACCCACGAAUAGGAAGAAUCCUGGAACAACAUGAGAGGUAGCUAACCGACUUCUCGAAGAGACAUAAUUAACUGCAUUGAUCUCGGUAGCUAUGCCACCUACGGAAUUUAAAGAUCCUAAAGGAGCAUGCGUCAUAUAUUUCGUAGAACACUGUUCUUGCCAAGGUUGAAUGUCUUUUUUCAACCUACUCAAGUGCAAACCAUUGGGACCUCUUAGAGGUUCUAACCAAGGAGCACGCAGAUCCCAAAAACGUAUAGUUUCCCCUCCAAAAAUAACUUUUCUGGUCAGAGAAUGUGUUAGAUAUUUACCUAACCCAAUAACCCUUGAGCAAAUCCCACGUUAGCUCCAAGACAUUGGUCUCUACUAGAAAAGUAAAUGCUUGAGCUUGAGAAGCUUCUGGUCCAGUGGGCCCGUAAAACUCACUAGGCCAGUUGUUAGUAAACCUCCAUCAAUGAUGAUGUGAUCCAAUCACCAAUCGACGUGUGAAAAAAAAUUACAUAAACAAAUCACCUCGUUAUUUGUAUAAAAUAAUUCCAAAAUUAAAAAAAUAGAGAAAUUAAGAUUAUUUCUCUCAUUAAAAGAAAUUAAAAGAAUUAUUUCUCUCAUUUCUUUCUUAAACAUUGAUUCUUUGUCCCAUAGUUGCCUUCAAAUCCAUCCACCACAUGUUUGGGAAGAUGAUCCUCAAGAAAUAAAUUUCAAGCCCGAAAUUGGUGUUUUCCUUUUCAAUGUAUUGAAUUUGUUUCCUUACAAUAAGAUCUUUUACAGUAAAGUGUUGAGAAAAAUGGGAUUAUGAUGUUUUAAUUCUUGACUUAAUGUUGACCAGGUAGAUGGAAGAUGACAAAGUCUCCAUUUGAAGAUCAAAGGAAAUUGAGAUGCAAGUUGUCUUUGGAGAGGAAGUGGGAGGGGAGGGCGGUGGUGGGGGAAGGAUAUAUAUUUUUAAUUCAUAUUAAUAUUAAUAUAAAAUUAUAAAAUCAAAAAAAGGAAUUUUCUAAUUUUUAUUUUUGCUACGUGUCAAAUGGUAAUUGGGCCUUGUGAUUUCUGAACAAAAAUGAUUGACGGAGGACUAAUAGGGUACCAAUGGGGGGAAUAGUUUAGGUACUCAAAUGGAUCAAAAGAGUGUUUAGAUUCAAACUCACACGAUUUUAGACUCUUAAAAUUUAACAAUUCAAUUUAAUUUAGCUGUUCAACUUAGAACUUUGAAGUUUGGCUCUCAAUAAUUCAUAUUUUAUGCUAACCAUUUUUUAUUAAAAUAUUUUAAUUUCGAAUUUAUUUUGAAGUGAGCAAUUGAUCAAUUAAAUUCAAUCUAAAGAUUUAACAAACUCUUUUACGAAUCAAAAUAGAACCAAAUUUUCUAUAAAACCAACAUAAUCAAAUUAAUUAUGAAUAAUUUACUGCUCUGCCUAUGAUAUUGAAUUACUAAAUAAUAUUGGUAAAAUACAUUAAUAUUAAUUUUUUCUUUCACUCGUGGAUAUGACAAAAUUCGCUAUUUAAAAUUGAAUAAUAUCGAUUCAAAUUAAUUCUUAAAUACAUUUAACGACUUAAAUUUAACUUUUAAUCCUUAGAAUUAAAUCCUUAAUUUAUGUAUAGUUCAUAUAUUAAUAAUAAAAUUUAACUUUUAAUAAAUAUUAUAUUAUGAUACAUUGUUGAUGUGGGUAAAAGAAUAUGUAAAAAUAAAUUUUAUAAAAAAAAUACUAAAAAACAAAUGAAUCUUUAUAAUAAUAGUAAAAUUUUUAAUUUUUAAUAAUUUUAAACUGAUAUUAAACUAUUUCAUAUCAUCCAAUCAAUUAAGUAGAUAUGCUUCUUUUGUAGUUUCUAGUUAUGUAUUUCACCUACAACUUAUGAAUGAUAUUUCUAAUUAAUUGGAUUUGGUCACAGCUGUACUGACAUCGAUUCAACUAAAUAUUGAUAAUUUGAUUGGUUUAACGCCAAUUCAAUUGUUAUAGUAUUAAUCUAAAAUAGUCAAAAAAAUGAUUCGAACCUCGAGUGAGGUUUUUUUUUACCUAGACCCAGCUCGAAUUUGCAAAAAAGAAAAAAAAAACUUUUUCUUGUUGUUUUUCACUAUUUUGUUGUUAUUUCACUAUUAUGUUGUUAUUGUUUGGAUAUUAUAUAACUCUUAUUUUAUUGUCAAUUUUGCUACUAUUUUAGAGACAUUUGCUUGUUAAGUUGCAUCUAUCUUCGUUUUAUUUAAGUACAAAGGUUUUUAUUUUAAUUUAUUUUCAAUUUGUUAGGAAACAUUUAUUUUAAUGUUUUAAGUUUAUUUGGUGUAUUAUAUUUUUAAAAUUUUUAUAUAAAAAAUAAAAUACGGAUGGGCCAAACCAAACCUAUCAAUUGGGCCUAAAAAUUUAUUAGGGCCUAACUUGAUCCGACCCAUAGACAACUCUAUUUUAAACCAUCUUCUUUGUUGACUUAGGCAAGUAAAGGGAUUUAUUUAAGCGAAGAGAUAGAAAGAAAAAAAAUCCGACAAAUAAAAUAAAAAAUCUUCGUUGCAAAGAGAAACAUUAUAUAAAGAAUAUAAAUAUGAAAUUCAGUUGUGGAUAUGACAAAAUUCGCUAUAUGAAAUUGAAAAUCGAUUAAUUUAAUUUUGGAUUUCCAAAAUGAAACAAAUUUAUCGGAGCUACAACAUACUCGACAAAACUAAAAUCAACCUGUUGAAUUGCUUUAGUCAGUUUGACCCGACUAUUGCACACCCUUAGUUUUGCUCCUGGAAUGUAUGUAUACUUGUUAAAAUCGGGACUGGUAUCAUUGGAAUGAAACGUGGAGAGCAAGCAACGAAAAUUUCCGAAGAAAAGUGUCCUCUCCUACUUCCUUCUUCCUUCUUCCUCCUACUUUCUUCUUUCUUUCUUUAUUUGCUUAAUUAUAUCUAUAUCUAUGCUUAGAAUUUUGAAAAUUGGGCAAAGCAUCAAUAUAUUCCUUUCUUUAUGAAGACCAGAACCAACGCCCAAGAAAAGAAUCUACUAACCAUGAGGCCUGGACUAAUUUGAUGAAGCAAUUUCAUUUUUGUUCUUCUUCUUCUAAAUAAUUUCACAGUAUCUGAGAGUUGGACAGAAAGAGAGAUGGAAAUUCAACAUUUCAGCCAUCACCAUCCUUUGGUCUUCAUCCAAUCUCACAGUGUUGCAAGCAAAGCAGCUCUUUGCCUUGUGUGUGAGAAACCUGUAGAGGGCUGGAGCUAUGGCUGCAAUCAAUGUGAGUUUUAUCUUCACAAGGGAUGUGCUGAGUUAGACUUAGCCCCCAAGAUUCAGAAUCACUUCCACCCUAAACACCCUCUCACUCUUCAGCCAAAAUCACGUUGUUCUUGGAUAGGAAAGUGCAAUUUGUGUGGUAAGAAAUUUGGGGGAUUUGCUUAUCGUUGUAAUGAUUGUAAUUUCCAUCUGGACAUCAAUUGUGCUUUGCUUCAAUCAUCCAUUGCUGCAAAUUUUCCUAAUUCUUUGCACCCCCAUCCUUUACACGUCAUUCAAAAUCAUAACAAGGAAGUCGAGCCUGAUUGCCUGGGGUGUCGGAAACCAAUAUCUGGUCCAUUUUACCACUGUUCAGAUUGCACUUAUCCUACAGUCUUUAACCUUCAUAAGGAAUGUGCUGAACUACCCCUUGAGAUUAAUCACCCCUAUGACCGUAAGCAUCCUCUUACUCUCUUGCCACAACCGCCUACUCAUCCCCAGAAAUGUAGUUGCUCUUUGUGCAGAAUCCAAUGGAAGGGGUUUGUUUAUUCCUGCUCUCUAUGCAACUUUGAUCUUUCACUUGAUGAUUUUCUUUUUUCACCACCAACAAUCACAGUUGCAAGUCAUGAACACCCGUGGAUGCUUGUAUCUAGAAAAAUGUGGUUUGUUUGUGAUUUUUGUGGCACUGACGGAGAUCACUCCCCCUUUGUCUGUGCUACAUGUCACCUCCUUGUCCACAAGAAUUGCAUUUCAUUGCCACGCCACAUCAUGAUAACACGACAUAGUCACACGAUUUCUCUUUCCUAUUCUCUUCGACAAAUUCAAGUUGAGGAUUGGAUGUGAAAAAUUUGUUACGAGGAAGUUGAU
rnacentral:lncRNA from 1 species